UUCGUUGCUAAGAAUGGAUCCUUUCUAGAGAAGGAGUUUCUCUUGAAAGAAGUGAGUGGGAGGAAAGUAGAACUUGAUGAGGUAAUUGUACCUUCUCCCAAAUUGGAAAGUAGUUCAUCAUAGAAAUCAGUUCCAUUGAUUCCUACACCAAUUAGUGAGGAAGCUACUGAUGAUGAUCAUGAAACUUUAGAUGAAGUUACUACCGAACCUCGUAGGUCUUCUAGAGUGCGGUCCGCACCAGAGUGGUAUAGUAAUCAUGUUCUGUAAGUCAUGUUACUAGACCAUGAUGAACCUACGAACUAUAAGGAAGCGAUGAUGAGCCCAGAUUCCGUGAAAUGUCUUGAGGCCAUGAAAUCUGAGAUGGGGUCCAUGUAUGAGAACAAAGUGUGGACUUUGGUGGAUUUUCCCGAUGAUCGGCAAGCCAUAGAAAAUAAAUGGAUCUCUGUAGCAUUUCUAAUAUUAUAUGUCGAUGACAUAUUGUUGAUUGGAAAUGAUAUAGAAUUUCUGGAUAGCAUAAAUGGAUACUUGAAUAAGAGUUUUUCAAUGAAAGACCUCGGUGAAGCAGCUUACAUAUUGGGCAUCAAGAUCUAUAGAGAUAGAUCAAGACGCUUAAUUGGACUUUCACAAAAGCGCAUACCUUGAUAAAGUUUUGAAGAAGUUCAAAAUGGAUCAGUCAAAGAAAGGGUUCUUGCCUGUGUUACAAGGUGUGCAGUUGAGUCAGACUCAAUGCCCAACCACUGCAGAAGAUAGAGAGAAAAUGAAAGUCAUUCCCUAUGCUUCAGCCAUAGGUUCUAUCAUGUAUGCAAUGUUGUGUACCAGACCUAAUGUGUGCCUUGAUAUAAGUAUAGCAGGGAGGUACCAAAGUAAUCCCGGAGUGGAGCAUUGGACAACGGUCAAGAACAUCCUGAAAUACCUGAAAAAGGACUAAGGAUAUGUUUCUCGUUUAUGGGGGUGACAAAGAGCUCGUUGUAAAUGGUUACGUCGACGCAAGCUUUGACACUGAUCCAGAUGACUCUAAGUCGCAAUCCGGAUACGUAUUUUUAUUGAAUGGUGGAGCCGUCAGUUGGUGCAGUUCCAAACAGAGCGUCGUGGCGGGAUCUAUGUGUGAAGCGGAGUACAUAGCUGCUUCGGAAGUAGCAAAUAAAGGAGUCUGGAUGAAGGAGUUCAUAUCCGAUCUAGGUGUCAUACCUAGUGCAUCGGGUCCAAUGAAAAUCUUUUGCAACAAUACUGGUGCAAUUGCCUUGAAAAAGGAAUCUAGAUUUCACAAGAGAACCAAGCACAUCAAGAGGCGCUUCAAUUCAAUCCGUCAUCAAGUGUCGAAGGGAGACAUAGAGAUUUGCAAAAUACAUACGGAUCUAAAUGUUGCAGACCCGUUGACUAAGCCUCUUCCACGAGCAAAACAUGAUCGGCACCAAGACUCCAUGGGUGUUAGAAUCAUUACUUUGUAAUCUAGACUAUUGACUCUAGUGCAAGUGGGAGACUGAAGGAAAUAUGCCCUAGAGGCAAUAAUAAAGUUAUUAUUUAUUUCCUUAUAUCAUGAUAAAUGUUUAUUAUUCAUGCUAGAAUUGUAUUAACCGGAAACUUAGUACAUGUGUGAAUAGAUAGACAAAACAUAGUGUCCCUUGUAUGCCUCUAUUUGACUAGCUCAUUAAUCAAAGAUGGUUAUGUUUCCUAACCAUAGACAUGUAUUGUCAUUUGAUAAACGGGAUCACAUCAUUAGGAGAAUGAUGUGAUGGACAAGACCCAUCCGUUUGCUUAGCAUUAUGAUCGUUACAGUUUCAUUGCUACUGCUUUCUUCAUGACUUAUAAAAUGUUCCUCAAACUAUGAGAUUAUGCAACUCCCGAAUACCGGAGGAACACCUUCUGUGCUAUCAAAUGCCACAAUGUAACUGGGUGAUUAUAAAGAUACUCUACAGGUGUCUCCAAAGGUAUUUGUUGGGUUGGUAUAGAUCAAGAUUAGGAUUUGUCACUUCGUGUUUUCGAGAGGUAUCUCUGGGCCAUCUCAGUAAUGCUCAUCACUAUAAGCCUUGCAAGCAAUGUGACUAAUGAGUUAGUUGCGGGAUGAAUCAUUACGAAAUGAGUAAAGAGGCUUGCCGGUAACGAGAUUGAAGUAGGUAUGAUGAUACCGACGAUCGAAUCUCGGGCAAGUAACAUACAGAUGACAAAGGGAACAACGUAUGUUGUUAUGCGGUUUGACCGAUAAAAAUCUUCGUAGAAUAUGUAGGAGCCAAUAUGAGCAUCUAGCCGCUAUUGGUUAUUGAUCGUAGAUGUGUCUCGAUCAUGUCUACAUAGUUCUCGAACCCGUAGGGUCCGCACGCUUAACGUUCAAUGACGAUUUGUACUAUGAGUUAUGUGUUUUGAUGACCAAAGUUUGUUCGGAGUCCCGGAUGAGAUCACGGACAUGAUGAGGAGUCUCUAAAUGGUCGAGACAUAAAGAAUGAUAUUUUGGAAGGCUGUAUUUGGACAUUGGAAUGGUUCCGGAGAAGUUUGGGUAUUUUCUGGAGUACCGAGAGGUUACCGGAACUCCCCGGGGAGUUGAUGGGCCUUAGUGGGCCUUAGUGGGAAGGAGAGGCAGCGGCUAGGAGGUGGCACGCGCCCCCCAAGCCUAAUCCGAAUUGGAUAAGGGGUUGGGGCGCGGCCCCCCUUCUCCCUUCCUUCCCACUUCUCCUUGAGGCGGAAUCCUACUAGGACUUGGAGUCCUAGUAGGACUCCCCUCUCCCGGCGCGCCUAGAAAGGGCCGGCCGCCCCCCCCCCAAUCCCUCCUNNNNNNNNNNNNNNNNNNNNNNNNNNNNNNNNNNNNNNNNNNNNNNNNNNNNNNNNNNNNNNNNNNNNNNNNNNNNNNNNNNNNNNNNNNNNNNNNNNNNNNNNNNNNNNNNNNNNNNNNNNNNNNNNNNNNNNNNNNNNNNNNNNNNNNNNNNNNNNNNNNNNNNNNNNNNNNNNNNNNNNNNNNNNNNNNNNNNNNNNNNNNNNNNNNNNNNNNNNNNNNNNNNNNNNNNNNNNNNNNNNNNNNNNNNNNNNNNNNNNNNNNNNNNNNNNNNNNNNNNNNNNNNNNNNNNNNNNNNNNNNNNNNNNNNNNNNNNNNNNNNNNNNNNNNNNNNNNNNNNNNNNNNNNNNNNNNNNNNNNNNNNNNNNNNNNNNNNNNNNNNNNNNNNNNNNNNNNNNNNNNNNNNNNNNNNNNNNNNNNNNNNNNNNNNNNNNNNNNNNNNNNNNNNNNNNNNNNNNNNNNNNUGCGCCAAUAACAUCAUCAUCACCGUCACCAUGCCGUCGUGCUAUCGUAACUCACCCUCGUCCUCAACUAUAUCAAGAGUACGAGGGACGUCAUCAAGCUGAACGUGUGCUGAACACGGAGGUGCCGUACGUUCGGUACUUGGAUCGGUUGGAUCGCAAAGACGUUCGACUACAUCAACCGCGUUACUAAAUGCUUCCGCUUUCGAUCUACGAGGGUAUGUGGACACACUCUUCCCUCUCGUUGCUAUGCAUCUCCUAGAUAGAUCUUGCGUGAUCGUAGGAAUUUUUUUGAAUUACUACGUUCCCCAUCAGUAUGGGUCAACGCCUCCAUGCUAGGAGGCGCCUACACCUACGUCUCCAGCCAGUCCUGAUUGACCGGGAGGGCAUAACCCAGCGGUUGUUGAUGGUGGCAAUCGAGAAAGACCGGACCCUAUCCCUCUAAUCUUGGCCUAGGAGAGUUGGCACGCCAUCACAUUCAUGGCCAUCGGCACCGAUCCAUCUGAUGGUACAACAACGCCAUGGGAGAAUGAUUCGGAAAGACACCACAAACGAGCCACAAGCAAGGAAAGCACAACACAAAGCCUUGCAUCAACAUGGACAAGUCCACCCCCUGUACCUGCGUGGCGCCGAACGACUUCAACCCCCACGUACUAGAUCCAUUCCGCUCGCCAAAGCCAGCUCACACUGGGGCACGCUCGCACGCCGACGACAUGGAUUGCACUGCCGCCGAACCACAGUAGUUGCACCAUCCCACAGCCGCUCAGGAGAUCUCAAGCAGCACCAUCGCACCGGGUCCACAUUGCACUGCCCCUAACUGAAGCAUGGUUUUCACUAGCACCAGCGCCGCCACCACAAUCCAACCCCUCCAGCCGAUAGCACCGCCUCCCACCAAGGACGUUACCCGACCCCACACCGUCACCCACCUGCCACCGAUCGAAUCUGGGAAGGAACACCAGAUGAGUCAUCAUCCUGCUCUACCCUGCUCCCAGACCAAUAGUGGUGAGCCUCGCACUUUGAGGGGUGAGGGUGUGCCGGCAGGACCACCAUGUCGUCAGGGAAAGGAGGCUCGAGCUAGGGAAGGAACGUCUCCCAACACUACAGACACACGGGUGAGCCCCCGCUCCACACCGUGCCUGUUGGGGGAAACGACCCCACCGCCGCCGCACGGGCUAUGCCCGGCAAUGCUCGCUGGCCCUGGCAAUGCUCGUCGACAAUGGCGAGGGAAGGGGGUAAGGUUAGAAAUAUAUCCAACAAUGGGUUAGUGCUCCCAGGUCACCCGCGGGGGUGUGACAUGGGGGAGGAGCAUUUUUUUCCUACAUGUAUGUAUGUUCCUCAAAGUCUUGACCUAGAAGAAUCUAUCAUCCUUUCCCUUAUUAUUCAACGACAUAGAGCAUCUCCCAUCACUAGGUAGUCCAAGGCAAUGUGUUACGUGGUAGCUUAAACACACCCUCGGCUAGGGUAUUGUAGCCUUGCUGUAUAGUUUCCUAGACUGUAUAUUCUAGUUAACAAAAAAUAUUAGAGAUGAUAUGUUUUGCAAAAAAAUAUUAGAGUUGAUAUUGUUUUCAAUAACGGUGGAGUUGUGUCAUAUUCAGGGAAAAAAAUUGAAUCAAUUACAUGAUAUAUGAAAAUAACUUGAGGAUAGUUUGAGAUGGUGUAGUGCUAUCUAAGGAGAGCGACAAAUGUGUUUGGGCCCUAACUAAAUUUUGACGAUUUAUGGUCGUUCCAUGUAUAUUGCAGUAAUGCUAGACAAAUACCUUGCCAUUUUAAAAGACUUUGCUUUGUCAAAAUUAUGUUGAAAGUCAAGAUCUUUUGUGGUCAAUGUGUAAGAACAAUAUAUUUGCUAAGGACGUAAUAAAGAUAUUUAUCACUUAUUCUUCUCAUGCCCUGUCGAAAAGUUUGUGUGGCAUGCGACUAAAUGUUCAUUUUGUCUGCCCAUGACUCAUGUUUCUUUAGAUGAUAUACCAGACUGGAUUCAAUGUUUCCCUUUAGUUAUGAAAAUGUGAUUGCCCUUUAUUAUGUAUGUUGUGUUGUGGGCAUGAAAUUUCAACAACACAUGUUUUAAUUAAUUGUAUCUUGCCACGUGAUCCGACAAGUAUCAUUUUUAUGAUUUUGUAUUAAUUGUCAUAUCAUUCUAUUUGUAGAGACAAAGAGCCAUGAAGACAUUGUCGCAAAGAAACAAAUGAGCUAACGUUGAUGGCCAGUGAAUGGCUUCAUCAUAGGCAGGUUUUGGGUGUGAUUAUCCUAGAUAUUGAAGGUGGUUGAGGGUGAGUGUCGGUGUCAAAACCGGCGGAUCUAGGGUAGGGGGUCCCGAACUGUGCGUCUAGGCGGAUGGUAACAGGAGACGAGGGACACAAUGUUUUUACCCAGGUUCAGGCCCUCUCGAUGGAGGUAAUACCCUACGUCCUGCUUGAUUAAUAUUGAUGAUAUGGGUAGUACAAGAGUAGAUCUACCACGAGAUCAAUGAGGCUAAACCCUAGAAGCUAGCCUAUGGUAUGAUUGUUGAGAUGUAAUGUUGUGUCCUACGGACAACAGCCCUCCGGUUUAUAUAGACACCGGAGGGGCUAGGGUUACACAGAGUCGGUUACAAUGGUAGGAGAUCUACAUAUCCGUAUUGCCAAGCUUGCCUUCCACGCCAAGUAAAGUACCUUCCGGACACGAGCCGGAGUCUUCAAUCUUCUAUCUUCGUAGUCUGGGAGUCCGGCGGAUAUUGAUAGUCCGGCUGUCCGGACACCCCUAGUCCAGGACUCCCUCAGUAGCCCCUGAACCAGUCUUCAAUGACGAUAAGUCCGGUGUACAUAAUGUUCGGCAUUGCAAGGCGGGUUCCCCCCUUGAAUAAUCCGGAGAAGAUAAUGAACACCAGGAUAGUGUCCGGCUCUGCAAAAUAAUUUCCACAUUCCAACGUAGAGAGAAUAAAAUACACACUUAAUUCAAUCUGCUGACGUAUUACCAGCGUGAUGUCACACCGCAGCCAAGCCCUCGUUUGAAUCGUUUUUAUUAUUCCGCCUCAGCACGUUUAGCGAAGCGGCUUCCUUGGCACGUCCUGUCGAAGCAGAGAUCGUGUUCCCUUUUAUUCCGGGAUCCUCAUCAAUACGUGCGUGGGUAACCCAACCGUUCCCGUCGCCACGCCUCCUCUAUCGAAGGGGAAUCUCGAACGGUCAUGGAGACGGCCCUUGGUAUUAUUUCCCCUUUAUAAGAGGACCAAGGCCUGUCCUUGUCUUUUAACCUCGCAUCGAAUCUUUCCUCUGCUCCCAGUUCCAACACCAAGAGCUUCAGACUCGAGCGCUUCGGAUCCACAGCAAUGUCCGGCUCCGACCUCCAGGGCCGGUGGGUGCCCUCCUCCGUCACGGAGGAGGACAUAUUGAAGUUGCGUGAGGCCAAGUACCUGGCUUACGAAGUCUCGCACAGGUUACCUUCCCCUGGGCAGGCCGUGCCAACCCCCGAGCCCGGCGAAUGUGUCGUUUUCGCAUCCCACCUCCGUCGGGGAUUAGGCUUCCCGACGGAUCCUUUCGUGAGGGGGCUCCUGUUCUUCUACGGGCUGGACUUCCACGACUUGGCACCGGAGUCCAUCCUCCAUAUCUUCGCAUUCAUUAUUGUCUGCGAAGCCUUCCUCCGCGUCAUCCCCCACUUCGGCCUGUGGCUGAAAACAUUCAAGGUGGAGCCGAAGAUGAUCGGGGGGCGUCGAGCGGAAUGUGGCGGGGCGACCAUAAGCAAGAAGGUCGAUGCCCCGUGGCUCGAAGGUUCCUUCCAAGAGGAACAGGGAUUGUGGCAGCAGGAGUGGUUCUACAUCACCGCUCCAAGGGGCAGCAAGCAAAAUCCGCCGCCCUCCUUCCGCCCGGGACCUCCACAGCAACUGAUGUCGUGGGUCAACCAAGGGCUCAACUGGGGGCCGUCCAAGGACGUGCCCGCACUGCAGGGCCGGAUUCGGGACCUCCAAACGAGGGAGAUUGAUCUGGUCAAGGUGAUGCAGGUCAUGCUAACUAGGCACCUCCUACCCUGCAAACGUCGUCCUCUCCGUUUAUGGGAGUUCAAUCCGGAGGGACCUCGUAUCCUCCAGCAUUUCAUGGGUGCGACACCCUUGGAGAUGUACGAGCUGUUCUUCGGACCGCAAGUGGCGUGUCCGGAUUCGGCCGAGGACGCUGGACUAAGCCGCGAUCGUCCGGAUACUCAGGUAAAUAGCUCAAAGCCCGGACAUCCCGCUUUGUAUGCCUUUCAAGAGAUCGUCUCCUGACCCUUUGUUCUUUUAUAGGAAUGGGUGGCGCGAUCAAAGCUGAGAAGGUGUCCGGCCCCCCUCCCAGAGACCGCACUGGAGCCCGUGCUGGUCAAAAUGUUGGAGGUUGCGCCCGCAGAGGGGGGCGACGGGGGAGAUAAAGGAGCUAAUACUUCGUCCAAAGGGGCGACCGAAGAGGAGGGAAUCAAGGAUCCCUCCCUUCAGGGGGAGAAGAGGACCGCCUCCGAAGAUCCGGAGGCCCCAGCCCCUAAGCGUGGGAAGAAAUCCCCACCGGGGGAUCCGGCGUCCGGAGAGAAUCCGGACGCGCAAUCAUCGCCCAAGGACCAGCCCUCCAACGAACCGUGAGUAUGAAAGAGGAAGUUUAAUAAAAAAAGUACCUUCGUUUAUGCUUCUGUAGGUAACCGAAAUAUUUAUAUCGCAGUUCGGAUCUGCAGCCGUCUCAGAUGAGUUCGUCCUCGGGGGAUCUUCUUCCGGAGAUGAUGGAGAGCGAUACGCCUCCGUCCGACGCGCCGCCAGAUGAGGCAGGCGAUCCCGAAGUGUCGUCACGGAGGGCGUCCCCGAGUCCGGAGGGGUCGAAGAGUUUAACACCCACCAGAGCCCGGCCGGGAGAACUGAAGAGUUUGCUUGAGAGGGCGUCCAUUUUAGAAGAUCACUGUGCGUUAAUGCGUACGGUGGUUGGAAGGAUUUCGUCCGCUGAAAGCGGAUUGCGUGAUGCUGCCAUGAGCUUGCUGGCGGGAUUUGAGGUAUGCGAAAAUAGCGUACCCCUUCGCUUUUUAACAGUUGUGCAUAUAAAAGAUGCGCCCUGUAUAGAUAGUAGCCCCUGAGACUCGGUAGGUUGUCGAAGACGACAGCGUGCCGAGGAUCGAAAAUCUAAAUAUCUCAGGUAAUAAAUAUCGCCGUUCUGAUACAGGUGGCGGAUAGUCCAGGGGCUAGCCGGACUGAUCAGUUUGCCGAACUGAGUCGGCAACUGGACAUGGCAGAUGCUGACAUAGCACUUGUCAAUCAGCGACUUGAUGAGUCGCAAGGUAAAUAAAUUCUCCAUAGCCGCUUUAUUGAGUGGGUUAAAGCCCUCCUCUGAUAAGUUAUAUGCUGUUUAUACAGACAGUGCUGCUGCUGUGGAGAGACUUCGGGCCGAGCUUGCACAAGCCAAGGAGCAAGCCCGAAGGAGUGAUGCGGCUGCCGCGAGGGCGGCCGAGGAGUUGAAGGCCGAAAAGGCUGCGCAUUGCCUAAGCAGGGCGGAGGUGGCCGGAUUGGCCAAGAAAUUAAAGGAUGCUACCGACCGUAGCGAGGCUCUUGAAAAGGAGCGCCUAUUGGAGCGGGAAGACCUAAAGAAGGCCACCGCCGAGACCAAGGAUGCCCGCUCUGCAAUGCGGGCUAUGAAGGAGGAGCUGCGCCAAGCCGGAGAAAUCACGGCUGGCAGGCCGUUUCUUAUGCGUCGCCGGUUUAUGGAUGCCGGGUAUGCCCAAUUUGAAAAGCAGUGGAGUUCGGAGGAUCCCUACAUGGACUUGGCUGCGAGUGCGGCUGACGCCGUUAAGCACUUCCGGAGCCAGGGGGAUCACGAGGUGGAAGAGUUAUAUUGGACUCAAUUCCACAGUCUGGAUUGCCCUCUUCCGCUGUCGGACAAGUUGGCCGAAUGGGCCGAACUGAAUAGACUGUCCGGGCUGGCUAUGACUGACAUUGUGGCCCAUGUGUGGCCAGAGAGGUCCAAGGCGACGAGCUAUUUUGGCCUACUGCAGCAGUUUCUUGGGGCGGUGCCGCAUAUCAAGGAGAUGAAGCGGUCGGCCUGCAUAGAGGGCGCGCGGAUGGCUCUGGCCCGUGUAAAGGCGCAGUGUCCGGAGAUGGAUGCCACCGCUGUUGCUGCCCAGGGUUCGGAUGGGAACCAGCUUCCUGCCGAACAUUAUUUCAGGGAAGUUACGCGCGGCGCUCGUAUAAUAGAGUCGCAGUGCUCGAAGAAUGUAACGUUCAAUUGAACGCAUUAACUUGUUUAUGAAUGAUUAUAGUAUGAAUGCUUUUUAUACUUGUGCUUCCAAGUAGUAGUACUUCUCCUUGCGGCCGUUUAAGUAUACUUGUGUAUAACCUGAAAGAUGCAGUCUUCGGCUUCAGCCCCCUUGCACAAGGUGCUGGGGUGUUCGCAAAAUAGCGCUUUAUCACACUUUAAUCCGACGUCUCGGUCCUGUUAUAAGGAGGUGGUAGCGUAGCGAACGAGGCAAUCCGGACUAUAAUGCUUUUAUCUCUUUCACUUAGCCAAUGGAGCUCGAGGGUGGGGCUACGACAUAGCCCCUAAAUGGCACCGCACAUCUCCGGAUUCGGGGUGCGUAUGUGCCUGACCGGGAAGCGGCCCUUCGUCAAAGCGGGGAAUUCUAAACAUUCCGUAGUCGAUCAAGUGGCUGACCAGACUCUCGCUAUAACAUGACAGUCAGUUUUCGGCUUUCUCUACUGAGGUGCUCACCCAGCCGAACUGGGGCACAAUCGCAGUAGUUCUCCUGGUGCCGCGUUAGCCGGGUGAUACGGAACGUAAGGCAGCAAAACACAGGAGCCGGGCAAACCCAACAUUUGACCAAAGACAUGAUUCGGAGCUGAUGCAUAUAGUGCCCAACUUGAGACGCCGAACACUCCCUGAGGUGUUCGGACUUUAUGAUAACGGGCAGAAUUAUACCCUAAGCCCCUUGUGUCCAGGUACGGGCAUUGUCUUCUGACGCGGCCAAUGCCAAAUCGUCAGGCUCCGCCUCGGCUGUAGGAAGAAGCCGAGGCCGAUUUAGCAACAAGAGACAGUAAUAAAAAGGUCUACAUAGGGUCUUAAUCUGAAAAGAAUCCUUGCGACGGGUCCCUACUGCACGUCUGCGCCUGUGUCUCCGUUGUGCCGUUAUCCUGGACGGGUACGCACGUUGCUCAUAUGUAGAAAAGAGAGGAACAUUUCAAAAACAGUUCGUGCGAAAAUAAUGCAAAAGAAUAAGCGUAAAUAAUUAAGGCUAGGUUUACAUGAAACCGAUGUUAAUUGUGCGCGCAGCCCCUUGUGAAAGGGUAUGCGGCUAGGGAGCCCCUAGCCUGCUGAGUCCGGAUUCGUCUAUCCGAAUCCGGGGUCUUUAAGUGACCCUCGCACUGAAAUGGUGCCAUGUGGACCGGGCAUCUUAAGUGUAAGAGAUGCGUAAUGCGGUAUGGCAUUGAAGCGGACAAAAGCCUUUCGUCCUAAUAGUGCUUGAUGUUCACUUUUAAAUGGGACGAUGUGGAAAAUUAACUUUUCUCGUCGGAAAUUGUUCGGUGAUCCGAACACGACUUCGAGUAAUAUCGAGCCUGUGCACUUGGCGUAAGGGCCGGGCGUAACUCCUUUGAAGGAAGUGCGGCUGUGUCGAAUUUUGGUAGGGUCUAUCCCCAUCCGACGGAUUGUAUUUGAAUAUAGCAGGUUUAAGUCACUGCCUCCGUCCAUUAGGACGUUUGUGAAUUGUAGUCCGUCUAUUAUCGGAUUCAAUAUCAGGGGAGUCCGUCCCGCGGUUCGAACACUUUUGGAAUAAUCCCGGUGGUCGAAAGUGAUUGGUUUUAAUAUCCAAUCUCUACGGUUUGUGGGGCCGGACCGUGCGAAGCUCUUUUUAGAAAGUGCCGCACUGUUUUUCCGUGUCCUCACAUGAAGCGAGUUUACUGCUUUGACCCCUUGUGGGAAAGUUUUUUGUUUUCCGGUGCCCUGCUGGCGGGGUUUAUCUUCUUCGCUUGACGCGUCGAGCCCCUUGCGUUCGGCGUUUAGUCGGCCGGACUGUUUGAAAACCCAACAAUCCCUGUGGGUGUGAUUUGCAGGCCUUCCGGGGGUACUGUGGAUUUGACAGAUCCGACCCAGGAUUUUGUGUAGGUUAGACAGUUCGUCGCUGUCGUCCUUGAUGGGUUGAGCUUUAUUAUUCGGCCGUGAGCUUUUAAAUCCGGCGUUGACUGCCGUGCUCUUUGGGCUUUUCUCUUUAUUCCGGCGCUGAUCUUUUCUGCGCCGUGAUUUUCCGUUUCCAUCUCUUAUCUCGGAUGUACUUGGGUCGCUGGUGCUGCUUCUUGCCAACCAGCUGUCCUCUCCUGCGCAAAAGCGGGUCAUGAGGCUUGUUAAUGCGGUCAUCGUCCUCGGUUUUUCUUGACCGAGGUGUCUGGUGGGCCAUUCGUCUCGGACAUUGUGCUUGAAAGCUGCUAAGGAUUCGGCGUCCGGACAGUCGACUAUUUGGUUCUUUUUGGUGAGGAACCUGUUCCAGAAUUUCCGCGCUGACUCUCCGGGCUGUUGGGUUAUGUGACUUAGGUCGUCUGCAUCCGAAGGCCGGACAUAAGUCCCUUGAAAGUUUGCUCUAAACGCUUCCUCGAGCUCUUCCCAACUUCCAACAGUGUUUUCUGGGAGGCUUUUGAGCCAAUGACGAGCUGGCCCUUUGAGUUUGAGGGGUAGAUAUUUUAUGGCGUGGAGAUCGUCUCCUCUGGCCAUAUGUAUAUGUAAUAUAUAGUCUUCUAUCCAGACUCGGGGGUCUGUUGUUCCAUCGUAGGCUUCUGUGUUGAUGGGUUUGAACCCUGCUGGGAAUUCAUGUUCCAGCACUUCGUCUGUGAAGCAUAGUGGAUGUGCGGCGCCCCUGUACUUGUACGUGCCGCUGUCGUCGGACACUUGACGUGUUCCUUUGCUAAUUGCGGCUUUCCUUUUGGGUCCAUAGAUGGACCUGGCUGGGCCAUUGGACGGUGGGGGCUUUAUGGCCUCUUCGUCAAAUUCUGGGAGCAGCUUGCGCUUCGGGUAGCUCUUCGGCUGGUGGCUGUUGCCUUGUUUGUCUGCGGUUUUGAGCACUUUGCUCCAUCUUAUCCGGAGCGCGUCUUCCGCUGUGUUGAGCUUCCGCUUUUCCUCCUUCAGGCUUCUUGCUGUAGCGAUGAGCCUGCGUUUGCAAAGAUCUUGUUCGACGGGCUCUUCGAGUUCGUCGUCAUCGGGGCUUGAUUCGUCCUCGGAGGGAGGUACAUAGUUGUGAUCCUCAACCUUUUCUUCUGCCGCCCUUUCGUGAGGGCUUGCUUCUACAUCCUCCUUCGCUGAGUUUUGCUGGAGGGGUUUGUCUUCGGCACUCUCCGUAGUGUUAUUAUCUCCCGUGCCGGAUUCUCCAUUCCUGUUGUGGCGGGAUUUAGAGCGGCGCCGUCGGCGCUUGGGUUGCUUCUCUAGAGAAUCUUCCUCCGCUGCUUUCUCGCCAUCCCCUUCUUUUGGGGUAUCCACCAUGUAGACGUCGUAUGAUGAGGUGGCCUUCCAGUGUCCCGUGGGCGUUGGUUCCUGAUUGUCUCCGGCAUCAUCGUCCAUGACGUCGAUGUCAUCGGAGUCGUAGUCUAGCAUGUCGGUUAGAUCCUCGAUAGUGGCUACAAAGUGGGUGGUGGGUGGGCUCCGAAUUUCUUCGUCGUCCGAACUCCAACCGUCCUGGCCAUAGUCCGGCCAGGAUUCCCCUGAUAGCGAGAGAUGCUUCAGAGAAUUCAAGAUAUCGCCAAAAGACGAGUAUUGAAAGAUGUCCGCGGCGGUGAAUUCCAUAACCGGCGCCCAAUCUGGUUUAAUUGGCAGGGGCGCGGGAGGCUCGGAGUCCGGCGAGGAGUCCGGUGCCUCGGGAUCACGAGUUUCGCGGGGGACAAGAUUGGUAUUCGGCUCCAUUGCCGUAGAUGUUGAAGUCCCCGGGGCGGCGUCUAUCCACCGACCCUCGUCAUGGGCGAUCGGCUCCGGGCAAGUAGCCGGGGUGGAUUCAAGUGCGGCCGCCAGAGCACUGUGCGGCGUCAGAGCUAGAUCAUGCCCAUCGUCACAGUGCGGCGCGCUUGGCUGUGGCUCGAGUCCGUCGAAGAUCAAGUCUCCGCGGUCGUCGGCCGUGAAGUUUAGGCUUCCAAAUCUGACCUGACGGCCAGGGGCGUAGCUUUCGAUCUGCUCCAGAUGGCCAAGAGAGUUGGCCCGCAGUGCAAAGCCGCCGAAUAUGAAGAUCUGUCCGGGGAGAAAAGUCUCGCCCCGGACGGCGCCAAAGAUUGAAGAUGCCAUCGAGCCUAUUGGUGACGACACAGAGGAACUCUCAAUGAAAGCACCAAUGUCGGUGUCAAAACCGGCGGAUCUCGGGUAGGGGGUCCCGAACUGUGCGUCUAGGCGGAUGGUAACAGGAGACGAGGGACACAAUGUUUUUACCCAGGUUCAGGCCCUCUCGAUGGAGGUAAUACCCUACGUCCUGCUUGAUUAAUAUUGAUGAUAUGGGUAGUACAAGAGUAGAUCUACCACGAGAUCAAUGAGGCUAAACCCUAGAAGCUAGCCUAUGGUAUGAUUGUUGAGAUGUAAUGUUGUGUCCUACGGACUACAGCCCUCCGGUUUAUAUAGACACCGGAGGGGCUAGGGUUACACAGAGUCGGUUACAAUGGUAGGAGAUCUACAUAUCCGUAUUGCCAAGCUUGCCUUCCACGCCAAGUAAAGUACCUUCCGGACACGAGCCGGAGUCUUCAAUCUUCUAUCUUCGUAGUCUGGGAGUCCGGCGGAUAUUGAUAGUCCGGCUGUCCGGACACCCCCUAGUCCAGGACUCCCUCAGUGAGCAAUGUAGUAGAAGCUCCUGAGUGUGGCUCUUUCGAGUUAUAGUAUUUUGAAGUGGUUUUGUGUUAUGUUCCAUUGUGUUUUUUCUAGUCAGGGACGAAGCUCCCAUGUAAGCAUUGGUGUCAAUUGACCCCAACGAAAUUAGGUAAUCCUUUAUGAGUUUAGUACUAAUUAUUGCCAUUAAUUUAAGAUGACCACACUAUCAAAGACAUGACCCCAAACUUUUUUUCUUGCUUCAUCCAUGUUUCUAGUGACCUGUUAGUAAGGGGUUUAUGUGUUGGGAGUAGCAUUUACAAGUUGCCUUUGCAUCUUAGUUAUCGUAGUAGAUAUGCUACCUUAAUAAAUGUGGUUGCACAACUAGUUUUGCCAUUGAUCAACUUGUGUGGCUCAUUACGAACGGUAUAUUAUCAACUUCAUUUCUAUGAAAUUGGGAGCCUAAAGCCUCUUGAAUUAAAUAUAUUUUUCUUAAAUGCACCCAUACAUACAUAAAAAACUCAAUAACAUAUGGAAAAUAAGGCACACGAGCAACUUGUUUUCUCCCACUCUCUUUCCUGUUAUCGAUACUCACCUCCUCAGUCUAUUGCUUCCCCAGCCUCGACCACCCAUCUCUGCGGGACCACACUACCCUCAUUUGUGCUGCCGCUUUCUUUCAUCAGAUUCCUUUUUUUCUUACACCUCAUGUCGUCAUCACCUUACAUGCCGACAUCUCGAUCACCCCUCAUUAUCAGUCGAGAGUCCCAACAUCGCCAUUGGCCGUCGAUUUGAUUAAGGUGGUAAAUUUUUCAUCAACAUAUCAACUCGAAGCAGAAUUAAUGAAACUCAGUUGUGUAUUAAUGAAACUCAGUGGUGCAUUUUCUUUUUAUGGUACUUUUUUUCCAUUGUGGCACUUUUUUCGUUUAUAGUAAAGCACUAUUGCAUUUCCACUCACAAGGCCAUGCCACGUUUAAUAAGCGCGUUAUUACAAAAAAACACAACAUGCCAAUAUUCAAAUAGAAAUCUCCAUUUCCGGCAAGGUGCACUAGGGACAAAAAUAUCGCGAGCCCCAAAUCCCCGACGCCGAUGCCAUAGCCCCUGAUCUAUGUCACCGCCGCCGCUCCGGCGACCGCCCCGCCGCGUCACCCAUGUCAUCCACCGACUAUCGCAGGUGCGGAUACUAGAUGUAGGUUUUUGCGAUCGGAAAAUAUAAAAACAGCAAGGUAUAGCAAGUAACAAAAGUGAGCACAAACGGUAUUGCAAUGCUUAGAAAUAAGGCCUAGGAUUCUACUUUCACUAGUGCAAUCUCUCAACAGUGCUAACAUAAUUGAAUCAUAUAAAAAUCCCUCACGUGCAACAAAGAAUCACUCCAAAGUUUCUAUCGGAGAACGUAGGAUGAAAACAUGUAUCAACCACUAUGCAUAGAUCACCCAAUGUCACCACGGGAAUCCGCAAGUUGAAUACCAAACAUAUAUCAAGUGACUCAAUUUAAUACCCCAUUGUCACCAGAGGGUAUCCAUAUGCAGGACAGACAUCAAGUGUUCUCAAAUCCAAUAUUCAAUCAAACAUAACGAAACUUCGAAGAGCAAGACUCAAUUCAUCACAACAAGAUAAGGAGGGGAAAACAUACAAUCCGACUAUAUUAAUAAAGCCCAUGGUUACAUCAAGAUCGUGUCGGAUCAAGAACACGAGAGAGAGAGAGAGAGGGAGAGAGAGAGUCAGGAACCUGACUCAAUGCCACACCGAUCUAGCACGUAGCACCUCAUAUCACUUUGCGGCCUCACGCACGGUAUUCCCACGGGUGUCGCCUUACCAGGCCCGGGACCAUUUGCGCCUUUUGGCACACGUAUAUGAUAGUGUCGCUAGCAUCCAUAUGACAAGGAGCCCGGGCUGACAUGACUAGUCGUGAACCCAAAGUGGCACUAACUUACAGGGACAGGCAUACAUGACCCAGCAACGAACGUGUCGGUCAUCAGCGAGUGAAUCUGGGUUGUAGCAACUGGGCUAGCAGGACUCCGGUAAACCGGGUAGUAGCAGGCUAACAGGACUCCGGUAGACACCGCGUGACAUUUCCCCGAAGGGACAGACACAGGAAUGAAGAAGGACACAUGUCAGCCAGCCUAAAUGUUUCGGAGCAGUAGCAAGCUACCAGGGCUCAGUGGAAGCACUAGGAGACAUUUCCCGGUAAGAGAGGCUACCAAGGAUAAACAACUAGAUAGUCAGAUCCCACACAUACCAAGCAUUUCAAUAACAUACACACAAUAUGCUCGAUAUGUGCAAAUACAACAUGGCAUCACAACAUGACUCUACAACUCAAGUAUUUUAUUCAAUAGGCUCCGAGGAGCUAGAUAUUACAAACAUGGGUCUCAUGACCCAACAUUCAGAGCAUACAAGUCUACAGAAGCUUAACAUGUCUGAGUACAGACAUUUACAAAUGAAAAAGCCUGAGAAGCCUGACUAUCUACCAGAUCCUGCCGAGGGCAUAAGAUCGUAGCUGAGGUAACAAGCUAAAUGUUGAAGUCCACACGGAACUACUAGUGAGACGGAAGUCUCUUCAAAAACAUAAAAUAGGCAAACGUGAGUACAAAUGUACCCAGCAAGACUUACAUCAAAACUAACUACAUAUGCAUCAUUAUCAACAAAGGGGAUGGUGGGGUUUAACUGCAGCAAGCCAGCAUUGACUCGGUGGCUAUCCUGAACUACGACUGCAAGUAACUCUUUUGAGGUGGCACACACGAGUCCACGUAUUCACCAUAUCAAUACACCACUAUGGAUCCGCUCCCGUAUCCCUACGAGAACGCCAUCCAUAGCACUCAUGCUUAUCUUGCGCAUUUUAGAGUAUCCACUUUCACUUGUCUAUGAACUGUACAGGCAACCCAAAAGUCCUUUACCGCGGACAUGGCUAUUUGAAUAGAUGAUGUUAACCCUGCAGGGGUGUACUUCUUCACACACGCUAUCGCCACUUACCAGCAUGUACACAUCGUGUAUCUCGGCAACCUUCAAGCGGAAGCCUGGCGAGGGAGUCGGCCAUGACCUGACUAACCACACAAGUCUCUAGUCCAGGUUUAUCGCCUAUUUGGGUUCCAUCCGCAAGGAGACCCGGCCGGGGUGUCGCUCACGGCCCCAAAUGAUGUGAGCAGGGUUCCCAAGCCCACCAUUCGGGUGCCACUUGGUACACCGUGCCACUAUUCCUAGUCUGUCCCAAGCCCACCUGUACCGGGUUCCACUUGGUAGACUACUAGCACUACCUACAAACACCAGAAACUAGUUGCAACUCCUGGACAGAGAUCAAGUUGAUUAAUAAGUCGAGAGGGGCACUUAAGCAUUCCAAUGUGUGGUAGUAGUUGUUCAUGGAUCACAAACACAGAACUUAGUUCCUGAGGAUGGCUUCAAUGAGACAACCCACCAUGUACUCCUACAUGGCCUCUCACCGCUACCUUUACCAAAUCGUAUUCACACACUUAGCUCACACACAGUAGGACAUGUUCACCACGUUCUGAUUCAUCCCCGAUGAAUCAGACCUGACUCAACUCUAAGCAGUAGCAGGCACGACAAACAAGCAAGAAUGAGUAGGAACAUCAGGGCUCAAACAAAUCCUACUCAUGCUAGUGGGUUUCAUCUAAUUACUAUGGCAAUGACAGGUCAUGCAGAGGAUAAGGGGUUCAGCUACCUCCGCAAGUAACAGAUGUAUCGUUGUUGUCCUAAUGCAGUAAAAGAGAGCAGGAGUGAGAGAGUGGGAUUGUAUCGGAAUGAACAAGGGGGUUUUGCUUGCCUGGUACUUCUGAAGAUAGUAUAGUUCUUCAUCGGUGUCAUCGAUCACGUCGUCGGAACCAUGUCUAUCGAGAGGGGACAAAAACUAACGACGGACAAGGAAACAAAAUCAAUGCAAUGCACAAUGUGAUGCAUGAUCAUGACAUGGCAAUAUGCUAUGGAUUGAGCUAAUGCAACUAAAACCAGAAGGGUUUGGGUCAUUUUGAACCAAAGGUUCAAUCCCAAGCUCAACUUAUGAAUUUAAAUAGUGCCUUAUCAUGUUUUGAUAUAAACAGCAGGUUUAAAUUGCUUUAACAUGCAUGAAACCAGUGCAGAUGGAAUAGAUUGGAUUUUUCUGAUCAUUUUUCAUAUAUAACUUAUUUCAUUUGGAGUUACGGUUGAAUUUCUAUGAUUUUUAGAAGUUUAUACUAUUUUCUGGAAUUUCCUGGUUUAUUUUUAAAUCAGAAAAUGAUUUAAUACGUUAGCAUGACGUCAGUGUGACGUCAGCAGGUCAACAGGGUCAAACCUGACGGAUGGGACCCACAUGUCAUUGGCUCACAGUUAACUGGGGAUUAAUCCUAUGUUGACUUGGAUUUGACCCACCGCGGGGCCCACACGUCAGCGUCUGCUAGAGGGGUUAGUUAGAGCUAACGCUGGGGUUAACCAGCGGCUAAUCGGCGGCACUAAUCCGGCGCGGCGGCGACCGCCGGCCGGCCGUAUCUGGCCAUGGCUGGACGCACCGAGGGCACGGGAGGCAAGCUCGUGCUCUCCCGCAUCCAGGGGGUGUCAAAAAGUCGCGGGGUGGCCUGGUUCGCCGACGGCGAGCACUUGGGUGGCCGCCGGAGUUUGGUGUAUGCGGCAGCUGCGGCUAGAGCAUGUGGCGGAGCAAGUUAAGCAGCGGGGUGGCAGCUACGGACCUGUAGGAGCACAACCAUGUGCUAAGAGGUCUCAGCGGGCUCGGGGACGCUCGGGAGACGGUGGAUCAAUGGUGGUGAUCUCCUGUGGCGGAGGAAGAAGAUGAGGUCGAAGACGACGUUGCAGAGCUCCUGCGGUUGAACGGGUUGGCGUAGACGAUGCAGGAGUCGAUGGCGGUUCUUCUACGCGCAUCGACAAGGCGAGGGGAGGACGGUGGCCAUGGCUACGGUGACCGGCGGUGAAGGUGGCGUGUCGGUGGUGCUGCGGGAGAGAGCAGAGGGGAUGGAGGGAUCUAGGGAGAGUGAGAGAGGGUCGAGGGGGCUGCGUGGCACUCAUAGGCGUGUCGGGGCAGCGGCGGGAAGUAGGAGGUGGCAGAGCGCGUGGUCGCGCGUGCGAGGCACAUGCCCGGCGUCCUUCUGUCUAGAGGAAGGGGAUGACUGGCAGCGGCAUGUGGGCUAGGCUGCACAGUUGGGCCGCCAGGUAAGGUUUUCUCCUGUCUCUGGUUUUUUCUAUUUAGUUUUUGUUUCUAUUUCUUUCUGUUUUGUUUUGAUUUAGUAAAAAUACCAAACCAUUUGAUAAAAUGCUAAAAAUAACUGUGGGCACUUGUGAAAUUAUUCCCAACAACCCUCAAGUAGUUUCAGAAUUAUUAGAGCAUUUAAAAUAUUUAUAGGAUUUAAAUGCCCUAAUUCAAAUACAAUAUGAGUUAAUUUAAAAAUCCAAAAAUUAUCUAAGAAUAUAUUCAUCAUUUUUGGCAGAGGUUUCCACCUUAACCAGAAAUCAUGAACUUUUCUUAGGGACAUUUUGGGUUUAUUGAAAAGAUUUUAUGGUUGUCCCUAUUUUAUUUAAUUUUGGUGCUAGGUUUUGUCAAUCCCCAUUUCAACUUAAAUAAAAUUUAAACAUGAUGCAACAAGAUGAAAACACCAGGCAGUACCAGAAGCUAGGGAUGUGAUAACUCACCCCCACUAAACAAGAAUCUCGUCCCGAGUCAAGACGUGAGGUAAGAGGACAAAGGGGACACAAACUAACACAAUCUUCAUGAUCCAAUUGCUCUUCUCGAAAAUGUUGAUUCAUUGCAUCAUCUUGAUCUUGACAUCUUGGUUUUGAGAACUCCAUUCAACAUGACCACGAGAAGAAAUAAAAACUCUAGAAGAAUUGAUCUUCUCGAGGAUCGAGCAACUGAUGAUCAACUCACGGAAUGAGGCAUAGAAACAUCUCUUGAGCUGAGAGGCAAAACACACAUCAGGAAGGGCGGAACAAACAAUUUGACGAGGGUUUCAAAGUAGCAAGGAAAAUAGUUGCCAUGAUCCCAUAACGGGGCACCUUGGAGGAGGUGACUCACAAAAUCAUCCCUUAAGUGGCAACAAGAAUUACCUUUGACUCAGAGAUCAUUGAAACUCUUUACACCAGCCUAAGGCAAAACACAAUCGAUCAUUUGAAGGAUUCCGAAAGAAUGACAUACUCGGACCAGAAUGGAUGAUGUGGAUUACCUUGUUGAAGACAACACAAGGGGUGAUUUUGCUUAUCACCGGAAAUGAAUGAGACCCAUGGUAGGUUGGCACAACGACGGUGCUGGCUGGGAACAAAAUGCAAAUACUGGGAAUGAAACUAGUAACUGGGAGAAACCCAACAGUAGAGAGUGAGUCCACUAUUGAAAAGUUAUAGCAUAACCAAGGAAACUGGGAGCAACCCCAGUUAGUGCUGAUGAAAACACCUAGCGCUUGUGCAUGCUCUCAAGAACUUGAGCAUUGGCAUAUUCAUCAAGGUUUUACCAAUAUCCGUGUCAGGGAUCCUGGCAACACAACAUACUACCAUGCGAAUGGUGAUGGAGGAUGCAGAUGCAAAGAAAGAUAACACCUCCUCAGAUUUCACCUUGGCGAGGCCAAGGGAUCAAAAUCCGGAUGAUUGACCGAGAGACAUUUAGCACUCCGCUUCUAAUGCUCUCCUUGAUGUGCUAGCGUAUCCCAUUCAUUGCAAUGGUUUGGUAACUAGACCAUCAAGUAAAAGGUCGGACUUCGGGAGCACAAGAAUCCAUAAGGAACAAUUAGGGAGUAUAUCCUACGAAGUCCUUAUGGGGAGGUGGCCAACUUCUUCAAUCAUGAUACAACAAUAAUAGGUCUUCCGGCUGGGUGUGUCAGCCACGACAUCCACUUUACCGGUUACGGUGAGACCAUUAUUAUAGUUCUUUGGAAACAUUCCAAUCAUCAUAUCUGCCUGAGAUUCAGAUCUGGUUGGUGUCAAAAUAAUCCAGACUCAUCGAGUCUAGAAAGAAAAAUGAAAGUUUGCAACACGAAUCGACGAGAUGACGUUGCGAGAUUCUCGGGGAAUGGACUACGGUAGUAAGCUCCAAAAUAUGAGCUAGUUCUGCUACAAACAUGUGAACACGUUGUCCGAGACAAGCAUGACCACAUAGAAGUCUUAUAAUAAAACACUACUGAGUUCAGGUUGGGGAACCAUCAUCGAGGAUAGCGAAUUCCUAACAUAAGUCAUGAUUCUUAAGAAGGAACUUCUUCUCCUUGAACAAAUCAAUCAGUGGCUUGGUGUGCUAGGAAACACAUAUAGAAUGGAGGCGACCAACCUAUCAAACCAUAUAGCACUUCGCACAUGUGUGACUGACUUGGGAUGAUUCUGUAGAAAACAAAAAAACAAUCUUUCUCAAAUUCGCAGCGGCUACUUACAUCAAAUGCAUGUGAAUUAGAGGAAGUCUCUUCUUUCAUCCAAACAUAUACCUUAUGAACGGGACAUGAAGAUAAAGUUUAUAAAAGUUUCCAAUACUAGCUUAAUGUCCAACAAAAUCAUGGGGAGGACGUGGAUGUUGUCGAUGGGCUCCACAACAAUUCAUCCAGGCGUCCAUAUAAACGGGGUUCCACAAUCAUGUGAACAAGGUGAUAGCAUUGGUCAGACCAAAGGAUAUAAUGGUGUAUGCUUGAGGAAUCAACCACGAGUAACACAACAUUGCGAACAUCGUUGGUUCCGAUUUGAUUUGAGGAUAGCCCAUACUCAAAUCAAAGAUUGGUUAAGAUGAUAGGUCCAUUAACUGAUCACGAGGAUCAAUUGAUGAAGAUGCCAUCUUUCUUCAACAUGCAUACAAGAUAUCCCAUAAAAUGAACUAAGUCACACAAGCUUUUAUCUUCCAACUCUCCAAGUUGUUGUUUAGCUUAAGCAACUAGCUCAGGGGUAUCCAACACAGAUUCUGGAGAAAGGGUGGUUUCAAAAACCAACUUGAUCACGAGCUCAACAUAACGGUCAGGUGACAACCUGGUAAUACUUCUGAGAAAAUAUUUGGAAGAUCACGAACCACCAAUUUGUUAUUAAGCUCGAGAAAUCUUGCCUUGCAGAGCAAGACGAUAUGAUCAAAUGAGUGAGGAUUUGACACAAUCCUAACUCAUUGAUCGAGGAGUGCACCAGAAAUAAGGACUAGGUAGCACGAUCAAUCUUAGGAUGGAAAUUUAAUAACCAACACACUAAGAAUGAAAUUGUUGUCCAUUAACUACCAAGCAAGAAGGUUGCUAGGAUUAUUGAUUUCACACAUCACGGUUCACUUGUCGGCAUUCCGGUUGCAACAACACGGGAACCAAGGAAUGAACAACGAUGGCGAGAGGUAUCACUGUAUCAAGAGUUCAUGGGAUGGUGUGCAAUUCCCAUGAUAUUCUUGAUAUAAAGAUGGUAAUACUCCAAGGUAGAACAGAACAAGAGCUAGAUUAGCAUUUUGAUCUGUGAAGUACAACUACUUUGACCCAAUCCUGGGAAUGGAUAAGGUACUAGGGUUUGUUUCUCCUAGUCAUUCCAAAAUAGAAUGGCUUGAUGGACCACAAGAGUGAUAUGCAUCGAUGAACCAAUGCACGCAUACUCUUGACUAUCAAUUGAUAGACAAAGGUCAGAAAACAACUAAAGAGGGACAACUCAAAAGAACAUAUGAUUUUCUGAGUUGUGGAUGCAUAGAUUAGCAUGUCGAACGAGUUCAACAUAUUUCUUCUAGAUAACCCAUGCAGAAAAGGUAGAACUGGCAAAGUCACAAUAUAGAAUGAAGAACUCAUCGAGAGCACUCCUGUUGUGAUAUUUUGAACAAACUUCUGCCAUAAGUGGUUCAUGGUAUUAGGAAGAAAGAAAUACCACGGACCUCAAGGACUAUCACAAAGGUUACUAAUAACCUAAAGGAACUACCAAACACUAUCAACAUGAGGUAAGUAGGGUAAUCUCGGGUUCAAGAAACCCAGGAGUAGAAUACCUACCACUAGGUGGCAUCACGGGAUGCUUUCGAGAAUGAUGGCCAGAAUCAUCACACUGGGAACACAAAUCAUGGCUAGCUUACUAGGUGGUACUCUAAGACACCUAGGGUCAUAAUACUAGGUCCAACUUAUAUACCAAGGCAAUGAAGUACCUCAGCACACUAGUUAGUAUGGUUAAUCCGGCCAAAGGAACAUUGGAACGGUAAGAAGGGAUUUGCAAAUGCGUCAGACUGUUUAGAAACCUGGGAUGACUCGAACAGCAUAACGGCUGUAAAAGCUCGAAAAUGUUGAGACAUCUUGUAAAGUGGUGGCAUAACCACUCGAUCAUCAUAAUAUCAAGGUUCCGAAACCAACUAUGAACACACAGAAGUAGUAGGGACUGAACUGAGGCUUGAAUCCAACAAUCUUAUAAGUCUACGGAUUAGUAACGCGUGAUCCUGAUAGAAAGAAGAGAAAGCCUAGUUUCUUAACCCCGUAGGAAAGAUAAGAUGACUCGGAUCAGAAGGGCAUAAGGUUAAGGAGUAAAAAGAGCCUUACGUUCCAUCCCACAAUAAAUUCCCUUAUAUAACUAAAGAAUUUCUAGACUCAACUUCGACCAGUUCGGCUUGGUAAUCCUACAGGCAGUCAGGCCCUGAUACCAAAGCUGUCAGGACCCCGACUCAAUGCCACACUGAUCUAGCACGUAACACGUCAUAUCACUUUGCGGCCUCACGCAUGGUAUUCCCACGGGUGUCGCCUUACCAGGCCCGGGACCGUUUGCGCCUUUUGGCACACGUAUAUGAUAGCGUCGCUAGCAUCCAUAUGACAAGGAGCCCGGGCUGACAUGACUAGUCAUGAACCCAAAGUGGCACUAACUUAUAGGGGCAGGCAUACAUGACCCAGCAACGAACGUGUCGUUCAUCAGCGAGUGAAUCCGGGCUGUAGCAACUAGGCUAGCAGGACUCCGGUAAACCGGGCUGUAGUAGGCUAACAGGACUCCGGUAAACCGGUUGUAGCAAGCUAAACGUCGAAGUCCACACGGAACUACUAGUGAGACGAAAGUCUCUGCAAAAACCUAAAAUAGGCAAAUGUGAGUACAAAUGUACCCAGCAAGACUUACAUCAGAACUAACUACAUAUGCAUCAUUAUCAACAAAGGGGAUGGUGGGGUUUAACUGCAGCAAGCCAGCUUUGACUCGGUGGCUAUCCUGAACUACGACUGCAAGUAACUCUUUUGAGGUGGCGCACACGAGUCCACAUAUUCACCAUAUCAAUACACCACCAUGGAUCCGCUCCCGUCUCCCUACGAGAACGCCAUCCAUAGCACUAACGCUCAUCUUGCGCAUUUUAGAGUAUCCACUUUCACUUGUCUAUGAACUGUAGAGGCAACCCAGAAGUCCUUUAUCGCGGACACGGCUAUUAGAAUAGAUGAUGUUAACCCUGCAGGGGUGUACUUCUUCACACACGCUCUGGCCACUUACCACCAUGUACACAUCGUGUAUCUCGACAACCUUCAAGCCGAAGCCUGGCGAGGGAGUCGGCCAUGACCUGACUAACCACACAAGUUUCUAGUCUAGGUUUAUUGCCUAUUUGGGUUCCAUCCGCAAGGAGAUCCGGCCGGGGUGUCGCUCACGGCCCCAAACAAUGUGAGCUGGGUUCCCAAGCCCACCAUCCGGGUGCCACUUGGUACACCGUGCCACUGUGCCAAGUCUGUCCCAAGCCCACCUGUACCGGGUGCCACUUGGUAGACUACUAGCACUACCUACAAACACCAGAAACUAGUUGCAACUCCUGGACAGAGAUCGAGUUGAUUAAUAAGUCGAGAGGGGCACUUAAGCAUUCCAAUGUGUGGUAGUAGCUGUUCAUGGAUCACAAACACAGAACUCGGUUCCUGAGGACGGCUUCAAUGAGACAACCCACCAUGUACUCCUACAUGGCCUCUCACCGCUACCUUUACCAAAUCGUAUUCACACACUUAGCUCACACAUCACCACGUUCUGAUUCAUCCCCGAUGAAUCAGCCCUGAGUCAACUCUAAGCGGCAGGCACGACAAACAAGCAAGAAUGAGUAGGCACAUCAGGUCUCAAACAACUCCUACUCAUGCUAGUGGGUUUCAUCUAAUUAAUGUGGCAAUGACAGGUCAUCCAGAGGAUAAGGGGUUCAGCUACCGCAGCAAGUAACAGAUGUAUCAUUGUUGUCCUAAUGCAGUAAAAGAGAGUAGGAGCGAGAGAGUGGGAUUGUAUCAGAAUGAACAAGGGGGUUUUUCUUGCCUGGCACUUUUGAAGAUAGUAUAGUUCUUCAUCGGUGUCAUCGAUCACGUCGUCGGAACCACGUCUAUCGAGAGGGGACAAAAACCAACGACAGAGAAGGAAACACAAUCAAUGCAAUGCACAAUGUGAUGCAUGAUCAUGACAUGGCAAUAUGCUAUGGAUUGAGCUAAUGCAACUAAAACCAGAAGGGUUUGGGUCGUUUUGAACCAAAGGUUCGAUCCCAAGCUCAACUUACGAAUUUAAAUAGUGCCUUAUCAUGUUUUGAUAUAAACAGCAGGUUUAAGUUACUUUAACAUGCAUGAAACCAGUGCAGAUGGAUAGAUUGGAUUUUUCUGAUCAUUUUUCAUAUAUAACUUAUUUCAUUUGGAGUUACGUUUGAAUUUCUAUGAUUUUUAGAAGUUUAUACUAUUUUCUGGAAUUUCCUGGUUUAUUUUUAAAUCAGAAAAUGAUUUAAUACGACAGCUUGACGUCAGUGUGACGUCAGCAGGUCAACAGGUCAAACCUGACGGUUGGGACCCACAUGUCAUUGGCUCAUGGUUAACUGGGGAUUAAUCCCGUGUUGACUGGGGUUUAACCCACCGCGGGGCCCACACGUCAGCGUCUGCUAGGGGGGGUUAGUUAGAGCUAACGCUGGGGUUAACCAGCGGCUAAUCGGCGGCGCUAAUCCGGCGCGGCGACGAUCGCUGGCCGGCCGUUUUCGGCCACGACUGGACGCACCGAGGGCACGGGAGGCAAGCUCGUGCUCUCCUGCAUCCAGGGGAGGUGUCAGAAAGUCGCGGGGUGGCCUGGUUCGCCGACAGCGAGCACUUGGGUGGCCGCCGGAGUUCGGUGUGUGCGGCAUUUGCGGCUAGAGCAUGUGGCGGAGCAAGUUAAGCAGCGGAGCGGCAACUACGGACCAGUAGGAGCACAACCAUGUGCUCAGACGCAAGCUUUGGGUGCCCUGGCCACGGCGGCGGCGAGCUUCGGUUGCGGUGGGGACGCAAGCUAGAGGAGGAGAACGGAGGGGGAGAGCAAGGGGGAGGCAACAGGAGCUCACAGCAAAGCCGGCAGAGGUCUCAGCGGGCUCGGGGACGCUAGGGAGACGGUGGAUCGAUGGCGGCGAUCUCCUAUGGCCAUGGAAGAAGAUGAGGUCGAGGACGACGUUGCAGAGCUCCCGCGGUUGAACGGGUUGGCGUAGACGAUGUAGGAGUCGACGGCGGUUCUUCUGGGCGCAUCAACCAGGCGAGGGGUGGACGGUGGCCGUGGCUACGGCGAGCGGCGGCGAUGGUAGUGUGUCGGUGGUGCUAUGGGAGAGAGCAUAGGGGAAGGAGGGAUCCAGGAAGAGUGAGAGAGGGUCGAGGGGGCUGCGUGGCACUCGUAGGCGCGUCGGGGCAGCCGCGGGAAGCAGGAGGUGGCGAAGCGCGUGGUCGCGCGCGCGAGGCACACGCCCGGCGUCCUUCUAUCUAGAGGAAGGGGAUGACUGGCAGCGGCCAAUGGGCUGGUGUCGGUGUCAAAACCGGCGGAUCUCGGGUAGGGGGUCCCGAACUGUGCGUCUAGGCGGAUGGUAACAGGAGACAAGGGACACGAUGUUUUUACCCAGGUUCGGGCCCUCUCGAUGGAGGUAAAACCCUACUCCUACUUGAUUAAUAUUGAUGAUAUGGGUAGUACAAGAGUGGAUCUACCACGAGAUCAGAGAGGCUAAACCCUAGAAGCUAGCCUAUGGUAUGAUUGUUGUUCGUCCUACGGACUAAAACCCUCCGGUUUAUAUAGGCACCGAAGAGGGUUAGGGUUACACAGAGUCGGUUACAAUGGUAGAAGAUCUACGUAUCCGUAUCGCCAAGCUUGCCUUCCAUGCCAAGGAAAGUCCCACCCGGACACGGGACGAAGUCUUCAAUCUUGUAUCUUCAUAGUCCAGGAGUCCAGCCAAAGGUGAUAGUUUGGCUAUCCGAACACCCCCUAAUCUGGGACUCCCUCAGUAGCCCCCGAACCAGGCUUCAAUGGCGAUGAGUCCAGCGCGUAGAUUGUCUUCGACAUUGCAAGGCGGGUUCUUCUCCAAAUCCUGUGUACCUGUUGAUAGCGUCCGGCUUCUCGUAAAUAUUUCACUCCUUGGCUUCCACGCCCAAUAAUGGCCAUCUUCCACGUGUUGAACGAAUGCGAAAAUCUAGGGUAUUUUUACAUUUACCCCCCUAGCUGCACAAAUGAGCUGCCUAUAAAGGAGAUGAGGAUCUAGAUCCGAGUCACACCAUCCUCCCUUCACGAGCAUUCAUCAGAGCGCAUCUGACAGAAAUCCAUUCCAUCAUGGACAGUCGAUGCGGCUCCUCCUCUCGCCCUCCCAGCCCUCAGCCUGGAGAUUGGGAGAGAUGCUCUGUCCCGCACAACGAGUUAGUGACACUCCAAACCAAGGGAUUUCUUCCCCCAGCCUUCAUGGUUCCGGUUCGAGCCGAACUCGCCACCUAUAAGGGCAGAAAGCAAGCGGAGAGCGUCCCCAGCCCCUCCAAAGGAGAGCGGGUAUGCCUUGUCCCUUAUUUGAUAAGAGGGCUCGGAUUUCCAAUUCAUCCCUUACUCCAGGGGCUCCUGGAGUUCUACGGCCUCCAGUUGCACAACCUUACGCCUACCUCCAUUUUGCAUAUUGCGGGCUUCGUGGCCCUUUGCGAGCUGUUUUUGGGCAUCGAGGCUCAUUUUGCGCUAUGGAAGAAGUUGUUCUGCCUUGUGCCCCGUUCUCAAGAGGGGUCAAUAUAUCAAGUGGGCGGAGCCGAACUAUGGCGCAUCGCUGGGACCGGAUAUCUAUCCGGAACCCCGAAGAAGGCGUCCGAAGACUGGCCUUCGGAAUGGUUUUAUAUAGAAGAUGUCCCCCUGUCGGACCCUGUUCGGAUCGGCCUCCCUGAGUUCAAUGAUGCUCCUUUGAAGAAACGUCUAAGCUGGCGUCCACGGAGCCCUCAGAAGGAAAAUGACAGGGACGUCCUUUACCUGAUGAGCCGAAUUAGGCUGUUAGGUCAUUCCGGACUGACCAUGAUUGGGGUCAUGGCCACAUGCAUUAUGCGGGGGGUGCAGCCGCUCCAGUAUAGAGGCCACCCCAUGUGGGAUUUCAAAGGGGAGGAUGAUGCCACCCGCUGCGGCCGUAAGGGGCCGGGAUCGGUCGCUGAUCUGAUGAAGAUCUUGUCCGCAUUGUACAAGGGAGAAGAGGAGGAAUUUCUCCGCGUCAAUCCGCAGGACGGAUUUUCUAUGUACAAUCCUCCAAGCUGGGUAAGCGGACAUUUCUUUUUGCCCAUCCAAUCCAUAUUCCCAUAGUCAAGUAUCUCAUUUUGCGAUUUCAACGCAGGAACUGCGCCAGGCCGUAAGGGAUAUAAACAGCCCGCGUCCACAACCCGAGGAUCUGGAACGGUUCCUCGAUCCGACCUCCCAAGAGGAUCUGGACAUAUCGGUGGAGCUAAUUGAUGGGGUAUUUCACCAACUGAGCAUCGAUAAUGCCUUGGUCGCCAUUACGGCCGAUUACCCCGGAAUACUUCCAGCCUCACAGGUAACUGAGACCGAAGUCCCAAUACUUUGAAAAUGACCCAUCCGUGCUUAUUUUUAAUCACCGUAUACUAAUGGUGUUUCGUAGGGGAAGUCCUUGAGGCGGAAGGCCGAGCCUGCGGCGGCUAGUCAACAAGGGACAGCAAGGCCCAGCAGGCUGAAAAGGACUACGGUCCGGAUUGAGAUGCCGGCACAACGGUAUAGCAUGUCAUCUUACUCCCAGGUUUUAUUCCCGGAAGGCAUACUAACACUUGUGCUCUUUUCAGGAAAAAGAGCGCUCGCCGGACUCUAUCCGGAGAGGUUGCCCAUCAAGCCUCUGUCAGCCAAGCUCCAAUGCCAGGUCCAGAAGCGGAGGCGGACACGAGGCAUGUGUCGGACGCUCCUCCGACAGAGGAAGCCGACAUGUUAUCUGCCACCAAUUCCGAGGUGGAGAGUGCCAUGAAUCACAGGCGUUGCCGGACAGUUCUUCGUGAUGCAUGUUUCUCCCCAGAGGCAUCGGAUGCCUUCAAUUCGGGAGAUGCGCACCUCCGUGCCACUCAAAAUGGUCUAGCCAGAGCCACGGAGCAGUAAAGACAUACGAGUGAGAAAAAUUGACAGUUAUAUAUGCCAGUAGCCCCCGAGACUUGAAAUAGUUAGAAUAACUGAUUUAAGGAUCAUUUAUUAUGCAGGAUCUUACAGAAAAGAAUACCCAACUGUCCCAGGAGCUGGAUGAGUGCAAAGCCCAACUUGAGGCCGCACUAGCUGCGGCAGGGGAAGCCAAAGAGACCCCCUCUGGUAAUAUAUGCUUCAAAAGAUAAGUAGUUUGUGAAGUGCGGCAUGUGUAUAAGUCUGACAAUAACAUUGCAGAUGGUGCCGGGGUAGAUCCGGACAAGCAACAGCUCUUGCGCUGGUUAAAGGCCAGCGAGAACAUGCUUACGAGGGUGAGGCAGGAGAAAAAUAAUCUCCAAGAUGCCAACACCCAGCUGGGUGAAGAACUAAAGGAUGUGCGUGCCCAGCUGUUUGACUCCGUUAAGGAGAAUCGGCGGCUUCGAUGCGGCAUGUUUAGUAAGUGCUUGAACGAACUUUGAAAAAAGAGUUCGGCAAGGAAGUCGACUAACAGAGUUAUGUCUGUAGGUAUGCUCACAGGUCGUCCUGCAGAGGAAAUGCCCGGUUCUAUGGGUGACCUUCUUCCGGAGCUCUUACAACUGCACGAACGAGUUCGGCAGGUGAUGAAAGGCAUCGCCCAGGCCUUGUGGCCAUCUGUCUCCCUGCCCAAAGCCCUUGGAGAGCUUGCAGAGAGGCUUCAGGGAGCGCAGCGGCGCUUCCGAUUAUGGAAGAUAUCAGCCUGCCGUCAAGGCGCUAGGGAGGCCUGGGCCAUGGUGAAGACGCGGUACACGAAGGCUGACCCGAACCACAUGGCCGAGGUCGAACCUGUGGGGCCCGAUGGGAAGGAGGUCCCUGUGAGCUUAGUGUACGGCCAAGUAGAGUUGGUCGCAAAGUAUUCCCAGCAGGACUGUAAACUAGACAGCCUGUUAGAUGGCACUGAAGAGGAAUACAAUCAGUCGAAUUGACUAUGUAAUUUAAGAUGACAUGUAAAAUGCCUUCUAGCCGGAUUGUAGAUCGUUUGUCGUAGCGGACCUUUUCGCUUCAACCUCGGGACCCAAUAGUCCGGAGUGUGUCCGAAUACCCUCGCAGUUAUAUAAGAACCGGGGCAUGCGUGGAGACCAGGCGUAGGGGUCAUUAGUGCUUUAUCAGACAAGUGCCCAACUAGUUACGUUAUAUUACAUGGUUAGUAAGAAACAUCUUCCAGGAAGAAUAGUUCCGUUAGGGGUUCCUUUCCCAGGGAGGCAUGCCCUAAAGUGCAUGUCCGGACUGCGAAAAAAGCAGAAAAACAUCUGGGGGCAGAUAAAUAAAUAGGUAAGAAAUCGUCUUUUAGUUCACCAACCGAAUAUUCCCUUAAGAACGCUAGCUUUCGGCUUCACCCAGUCUGAGGUACACAUCCGGCUGACCCGGUAGUAACAAUCGCAGAGGUGCUCCCUUUACCACCUAGCCAAACAAUCGGGAACGUAGGGGUAAGCACAGGAGCCAGGCGACCCAGCUUGGCCAAAACCUAAGUCAUAUCGAUGCAUAUAAUGGUGAAUAAAAGGUACAUGCGGAAGUGUGACACAUGUGUUGGGCAUGAAGCCUGUAUAAAUAAGCUUAUGUUAAAGAAGCCCCCAGGUAUAAUGAGCGCGGAUAGCGCGUCAAGUGUGUGCGAACAAAGCGCGAACGAGCCUUCAAAGGCUGUAAGAGAAAAGUAGGGAGAAGGGGAGAAAUAUAAGACAGCUACUGUAUAAAAUAUAGACGGAGGAAGGAGACGAACUCAGAAUCCGGCGCUAGGCAUAGAAUCUUCGGAGACGGGAUGCGUUCCAUGGGUUCGGCUCGAGUCGGUUAUCCGAUGCAUUUCGCAGACGGUACGCUCCGCCGGUCAGGACUUGGUCGAUGAUGAAGGGACCUUCCCAUUUGGGCUUGAGUUUGUCCUUUUUCUUGUUCGGCAGGCGUAGAACUAACUCGCCAACAUUGUAAGUUUUGGCCCGUACUUCUCUACAUUGAUAUCUUUGAGCCUGCUGUUGAUAGAAUGCGGAAUGGGCUUUUGCCACGUCAAGCUCCUCCUCCAAGGCGUCCAAACUGUCCUGCCAAUCGAGCUCGGCUUCUCUUUCUUCGUACAUGCGCACGUGAGGUGAGUCAUGAAUUAUAUCGCAGGGCAAAACUGCCUCUGCGCCGUAUACCAUAAAGAAUGGUGUGAAUCCGGUAGUGUGAUUCGGCGUGGUCCGCAGCCCCCAGAGUACGGAGUCGAGCUCCUCUACCCAGUGUGUGUUAGAUUCCUUGAGGGACUGCACUAGUCUGGGUUUGAUGCCGCUCAUGAUUAGACCAUUUGCUCGCUCGACUUGACCGUUAGUUUGAGGGUGAUAGACUGAAGCAUAGUCGAGCUUGAUUCCCAUGUUUUUACACCAGAGUUUGACCUCAUCGGCCGUGAAGUUCGUGCCGUUAUCAGUGAUGAUACUAUGGGGGACGCUGUAACGGUGUACGACCCCUGAUAUGAAGUCUAUCACUGGUCCGGAUUCGGCCAUCUUAACAGGUUUGGCCUCUAUCCAUUUGGUGAAUUUAUCCACCAUGACCAGUAGGUAUUUUUGCUUGUGGGUUCCUCCUUUAAGGGGUCCAACCAUGUCAAGCCCCCAGACCGUGAAGGGCCAGGUGAUGGGUAUAGUUUUGAGGGCGGUGGGUGGCAUGUGGCUUUGAUUAGCAAAGAGCUGGCAACUGACGCAUCAUUGGACUAAGUCCUGAGCGUCUGCCCGGGCUGUCGGCCAAUAAAAUCCUAUACGGAAGGCCUUGCCUACAAGGGCCCGGACUGUGGCGUGGUGCUCGCCGAGUCCGGCAUGAAUUUCGGCCAGAAGAUUCCGCCCUUCCUCUUCGGAGAUACACCUUUGAAGGACUCCGGUUGUGCUUUUCUUAUAAAGCUCUCCCUCGUGGACCUUGUAGGCUUUAGAUCGCCGCACUAUGCAGCGGGCCUCAUUUUGGUCCUCGGGAAGUUCCUGCCUGGUUAGGUAGGCUAGGAAUGGUUCUGUCCGCGGGGCGAUGACUACCAUUAUUACGUGGGCUGAGAAUGUUACUUCGUUGGCAGAACCACCAAUUGUGUCAGAAUGUUGGUGUCGGGCAGUGCGGUUGGGUCCGGGUUGUUAUUUCCAGACUCCCCCUCCCAUAGUAUGGAUGGCUUAAAUAGCCUCUCUAGAAAGAUGUUGGGAGGGACGGCAUCACGCUUUGCGCCGAUGCGUGCCAAUACGUCUAUUGCCUGGUUGUUAUCCCGGGCUAUAUGGUGAAAUUCGAGCCCCUCGAACCGAGCUGACAUUUUUAGGACGGCAUUGUGAUAGGCUGCCAUUUUCGGAUCCUUGGCAUCAAAGUCUCCAUUUAUUUGGGAUAUCGCGAGGUUCGAAUCUCCGCACACCUCUAGGCGUUGAAUGCCCAUGGAGACUGCCAUCCGGAGACCAUGUAGAAGGGCCUCGUAUUCGGCUGCGUUGUUGGAGUCCGUAUACAUUAUCUGGAGUACGUAUUGAACUGUAUCUCCGGUUGGGGACGUCAGAACGACGCCAGCCCCCAGACCAACCAACAUUUUGGAGCCGUCGAAGUGCAUGAUCCAGUUGGAAUAUGUGUCGUACUCUUUAGGGAGUUCGGCUUCAGUCCAUUCGGUAACGAAGUCGGCCAAAACUUGCGACUUAAUAGCUCGUCGUGGCUUAUAGGUUAUGUCGAACGGGAGUAGCUCAAUGGCCCAUUUGGCAAUCUGGCCCGUCGCGUCAUGGUUGUUUAUAAUGUCGUUAAGAGGUACUUCGGAGGCUACUGUUAUUGAACACUCUUGAAAGUAGUGUUGCAGCUUCCGGGAUGCCAUAAACACCGCGUACGCUAUCUUUUGAUAAUGCGGGUACCGUGACUUGCAUGGAGUUAGGACAGUGGACACGUAGUAAACUGGUUUUUGAAGGGGGAACUUGUGUCCAUCCGUUUCUCGUUCGACAACGAGUACCGCGCUUACAACUUGAUGAGUUGUCGCGAUAUAUAAUAGCAUUGGUUCGCCCAUGUUGGGCGCGGCCAGGACCGGGUUUGUUGCCAAUAUGGCUUUUAUUUCUUCGAGUCCGGCCGUGGCGGCAUCCGUCCACUUCGAAGUGUUCGGUACGUCGGAGGAGGCGAUAAAGGGGUAAUGCCUUUUCUCCCAAACGGGAGAUAAAGCGGCUUAGAGCCGCCACGCAUCCAGUCAAUUUUUGUAUUUGUUUGAGGUCCUUUGGGAUAUCCAAUUGUGAUAGAGCUCGGAUCUUGGCUGGGUUUGCUUCAAUUCCUUUGCCAGAUACAAUGAAGCCCAAGAGCUUUCCGGCUGGUACGCCGAAAACGCAUUUUUCCGGGUUGAGCUUGAUGUCAUAUGUUCGGAGAUUAUCGAAUGUGAGCCUCAAGUCGUCUACUAGAGUUUCGACAUGCUUGGUUUUAACGACCACAUUAUCUACGUAUGCCUCCACUAUUUUGCCGAUCUGGUUUGCCAGACAUGUCUGAAUCAUGCGCUGAUAUGUUGCGCCGGUGUUUUUGACCCCGAAGGGCAUUGUGUUGAAGCAGAAUGGGCCGUAUGGGGUGAUGAAUGCCGUUGCGGUUUGGUCGGGCUCUGCCAUCUUAAUUUGGUGGUAGCCUGAGUAUGCGUCGAGGAAGCACAAUGAAUCGUGUCCUGCGGUAGCGUCGAUAAUUUGAUCGAUGCAGGGGAGGGGGAAGGGAUCCUUUGGGCAAGCCUUGUUAAGGUCCUUGAAAUCAACGCAUAGGCGCCAGGAUUUGUCCUUCUUUAUACCAUCACCAGGUUUGCUAGCCAGUCCGGAUGUUUUAUAUCUCUGAUGAAUUCGGCCUUCAAUAGUUUGGCUAGAUCCUCUCCCAUGGCCUGUCUCUUGGGUUCGGAGAAAUGCUGAAGAGCUUGUUUGACUGGCUUGAAUCCUUUUAGGAUGUUUAGGCUGUGCUCGGCCAGCCGGCGUGGGAUUCCUGGCAUGUCUGAAGGGUGCCAGGCAAAAAUGUCCCAAUUUUCGCGUAGGAAUUCUCGUAGUGCGGCGUUUACAUCAGGGUUUAAUUGUGCCCCGAUGGAGGCCGUUUUUGUAGGGUCCGUUGGAUGGACUUGGAAUUUGACUAUUUCGUCCGCCGGUUUAAAGGAGGUGGACUUGGAUCUCUUAUCGAGUAUCACAUCGUCCCUGUUCACCGUGGAGCACAGCGCAGUGAGUUCCUCAGCCGCUAGGGCUUCGGAUAGUGCCUCAAGGGCCAGUGCGGCUGUCUUGUUUUCGGCGCGGAGUGCUAUGUCCGGUCACUAGCAAGAGUGAUGAUUCCACUGGGCCCGGGCAUUUUGAGCUUCAUGUACCCGUAAUGGGGUAUAGCUUGAAAAAUUGUGAAUGCCUCUCGCCCUAAUAGAGCGUGAUAUCCGCUGCUGAACGAGGCCACUUGGAACGUGACCUCCUCGGACCUGUAAUUAUCCGGCGUGCCGAACACCACAUCCAGUGUGAUUUUUCCUGUACAGCAUGCUUCCCGACUGGGGAUUAUUCCUCUAAAGGUUGUGCUGCUUCGCUCAAUGCGGGUCUAGUCUAUUUCCAUUUUUCUGAGGGUUUCCUCGUAAAUGAGGUUCAAUCCGCUGCCACCGUCCAUGAGUACCUUGGUAAGGCGUGAAAGUGCGUUAUAUCGACUAGAGGGGGGGAAUAGGCGAUUUUUAUGAAUUCUUCACUGAGGAAUUUGCCGGUGAGGAAAUUCCUUACUGAAGAACUACUAGCAGCGGAAUAAGUACACAGAAGUAAGCAUAACAGGAUACAAGCAUGGUCAUCAUGAUGAAAUGAAGACUAGCACAGAGUACAGAAAGCGUAAACACAGGAUAACACAAGACGAAGACAAACAGACUGAAGAAAUUGAACUGAGGAAAUUGAGAAAGUCUUCAGUCAAAGUCUUGAAGCACAGAUAUGAACAAACACUCAACACAUUAAUGAGGAAAUGAAAGGGUUGAGGAAAUAGAACCAGUUGGUUGGUGAAGACAAUGAUUUGGUAAACCAGUUCCAACUGUUGUCUUAGUUGUACGUCUGGUUGGAGCGGCUGAGUAUUUAAACUCGAGGACACGCAGUCCCGGACACCCAGUCACUGAGCCGCAACUCAGGACACCCAUUCCUCACCGUAUUCUCCUUGAACUAAGACCACGCAGGCCUCGUCCAAUCACUCGUGGUAAGUCUUCAGGUGACUUCCAAACCUUCACAGACUUGGUCACUCGGCGAUCCACAAUUCCUCUUGGAUGCUCUAGACCUUGACGCCUAACCGUCUGGAAGAAGCACAGUCUUCAAAGGUAACAAGCGUCGGAUCCACGCAGGAUCAAUUUCUUCAGUGAUGCUCAAUCACUUUGGGUUUGUGGGGGUUUGGUUUUGGAUUUUCCUCACUUGAUGAUUUUCGCUCAAAGUCCUCGGAGGAUGGGUUGCUCUCAAAUGACAAGUGUCAAGUUCUCUCGGAGCAGCCAACCAACUAGUGGUUGUAGGGGGGCGGCUAUUUAUAGCCUAGGGAGCAGCCCAACAUGAUAAGACAUAAAUGCCCUUCAAUGAUAUGACCGUUAGGUGGAUAAGAUAUUUGGGACAGCUGGCGCGCAGCACAGCAACGGUCGGAAUUUUGGCUCUCAAAUUCCUCAGGGCUAUCAUGUUCCUCACUGUGUAGGCAAUUCGCACUGGCGAAUUCCUAACUCCUCAGUCAGAGCAAAGUCCUCAGUGACCAGAAGAACUGCGUCUCUGUCACUGAAGAAAUUGACUGAACUGUAUGAGAUUUCCAAUGGCUUCACUCGAAGGGAUUGGUAGGUGUAGGAUUUUGAGUUGAGCAUCACAUGGAAAUUUUUCCUUAGUAUUUCCUCGACCCCCUUUAACAGUACGGUGUUUCCUAUGACUCAAGAAAGAGAAAAUGAAACUACGAAAACAAAAGUCUUCACGCUUCAUGUUCCUCAAAUGAAUACCAAGUCUUCAAGGUCACACCAAUUUCUUCACUUUCAAAGUCUUCAGAAAGUCUUCAGUUGAAGAACUUCAUUUUUAGGGGUCGACUUUCUCUGUAAAUAUCAAACUCUUCAUAGACUUAUAGACCUGUGUACACUCACAAACGCAUCAGUCCCUUAACCUAUAAGUCUUCAAUACACCAAAAUCACUAAGGGGCACUAGAUGCACUUACAAGGCGAAAGUCGUCCACUAUUGGACUGAGGACCAAUGCGGCUGGUGCUCGGGCUGUUCAGAAUUUAGGUUCGUCGCUGGCAUUAAAGGUAAUAGCCGUGUCACUCCAUGGGUUUAUUGUUGCUACUUGGUAGACUUCGGCAAGGCUGUGGAGUGUUCGUUUCCGCAUAUUAUUUGAUGCAAAAGUCUCUAAGACUGUUAAUACCGUACUGCUAUCCGUGGGCUGGUGCUCUAGAGUUAGAAGCUCUUCGCCACUUUUGGCCACCUACCGUAGUAUCCAACAUGCUCUAAGGCUAUGAGUUGGAGUGGCGCCCUUUGUACUAUGAAUUUUGCAGGGUCCAUUGAGCCAUCCUUCCAGAACGGUUCCAUGCCCUAUAGAGGGUUUUUGCUUUUUGUUAUUUAACCUAGGUGCCUGGUGAUGAUGCACCCUUUUAUUUCGGACUGGGGUUUUAUUCAGGGCCAGAUUGUCCCAAAUAUUGAUUUCGGUUUUCUAGGCGCUUUCCAUCACACGGUACUUUCGUACUAUGGACGCCAAGUCAGCGAAGCGUGUAAUUUCACGACGACUUACGGCGUUGAGGAUUCCCUUGUCCGUGCAAUUAUUGUAGAAGAAUGAAAUUGCGUCCUCCUCACGUCAAUCCUUGAUCCUGUUCAUGACCAGGAGGAAUCUGGCCCAGUAAUGGUGUACUGUUUCUGCGGGCUCUUGCCGGAUUUGGGAUAGAUCGCUUACGUUUGGGUGGGCGGGUGGAAUUAAAUUCGGAACCCCGUCCAAUCUAAGACUCAGGGGCCAAGAAGUUUCCGAACUUGGAAGCUUGGGUUCUUGGAUGUUGUCCAAUGAAUCUAGCCCGCUGCCUGACUUUAGGUUCAGGGCUUGAGUGACGUCCUCCCUCCACGGGAAUCCAGCAUGGAGGGAUCGGGAAUCCGGACAUAGCUAGUCCUUAAAAUAGAGGAAGGGUCGCCGUAUUGUUCCUCAACCACGGCAACGUGGUGGGUAACCUGGGGAGAGUUGAUCUCUCUUAGAUCGGGUUUAGGCCCAAUCUGGUCGUAGUCUGUAGCGACUCCCAGGGCCGCAAUGCAAUCCAAGAGCUCGUUUAAGGAAGAGAGCUCCAUCGGAUCUAACUGCUCGGCGAGUUCCGAGUUAACGUGAAGAUUGCUUUCAAUGACCCGAGAAGUCAUCGUCGGCGCGGUAGCCGAACAGGCGGUCAUAAGAAAACCACCUAGCCGGAGAGUUUGGCCGAUGGCCAAAGGUCCUUUAGCAAUAGUGUCGUCUUUAAAGACGGUGAGGGAGUCCUGGAUUAGGGGGUGUCCGGAUGGCCGGACUAUAGCCUUUGGCCAGACUCCUGGACUAUGAAGAUACAAGAUUGAAGACUUUGUCCCGUGUCCGGAUGGGACUUUCCUUGGCGUGGAAGACAAGCUUGGCGAUACGGAUAUGUAGAUCUCCUACCAUUGUAACCGACUCUGUGUAACCCUAACCCUCUUCGGUGCCUAUAUAAACCGGAGGGUUUUAGUCCAUAGGACAGGACAACAAUCAUACCAUAGGCUAGCUUCUAGGGUUUAGCCUCUCUGAUCUCGUGGUAGAUCUACUCUUGUACUACCCAUAUCAUCAAUAUUAAUCAAGCAGGAGUAGGGUUUUACCUCCAUCGAGAGGGCCCGAAUGUGGGUAAAAACAUCGUGUCCCUUGUCUCCUGUUACCAUCCGCCUAGACGCACAGUUCGGGACCCCCUACCCGAGAUCCGCUGGUUUUGACACCGACAUUGGUGCUUUCAUUGAGAGUUCCUCUGUGUCGUCAUCUCUAGGCCCGAUGGCUCCUCUGAUCAUCAACAACGAUGCGGUCCAGGGUGAGACUUUUCUCCCCGGACAGAUCUUCAUAUUCGGCGGCUUUGCACUGCGGGCCAAUUCGCUUGGCCAUCUGGAGCAGAUUGAAAGCUACGCCCCUGGCCAUCAGGUCAGAUUUGGAAGUUUGAACUAUACGGCUGACGUCCGUGGAGACUUGAUCUUCGAUGGGUUCGAGCCGCAACCAAGCGCGCGACACUGUCACGAUGGGCAUGAUCUAGCUCUGCCGUCGGACAGUGCCCUUGAGGCCGCACAAGUGUCCGCUCUGACCCUUAGCUCGGAGCCGACUGCACCGAUCGAGGACGGGUGGCUGGACACCGCCUCGGGGGCUGCUAUCUCUACGGCGAUUGAGCCAAACACCAACCCUGUCCCACUACUAGGAAAAGGCCUACUAAUGGCGCACCUAAUUUGGCCAUUAAUGGCGCAUUAGUGGUGCGCCAUUAGUGCCACGCCAUUAGUAUAUUUUACUAAUGGCGCACCACUGGUGCGCCAUUAGUAUCUAGUAUACUAAUGGCGCACCUCUGAUGCGCCAUUAGUGUAUACAUAAGUGCGCCAUUAGUAUGCCUCCCAGGGGCCAUGUAUACCCAGGUGCUCUGGCAUACUAAUGGCGCACAGCAAAAAGAUGCGCCAUUAGUAACCUCGGCAUACUAAUGGCACACUGUUUAGUGAUGCGCCAUUAGUAUACUUUGUCAUACUAAUGGCGCACUGUGAUGUGAUGCGCCAUUAGUAUGAAUAUUAGGUUUUUUUAUUUUUUAUUUUCUGUUUUUUGCGCAGGUUACAAAAUGUAUAAUUGGACAAAAUAUAGACAGCACACAUCAACAACAGAUUCAUCGAAUACAAUAGAAGAUUAGUCUUUGAAUACAAUUCAUCAUAUUAGUCUCCGAAUAGAAUUCAUCAUAUUAGUCUCUGAAUUGAAAAGACCGAACAAAGAUAGAACAUUAUAUUACAAGUCUCGAGACCACGAGUAGCGAGUUUGUCUUCACAUUACAAGUCGAUAUCGAUCAUCUAAACUACCAUCACAUAGAAGAGAGCUGCGGUCAUCACGAUGAGCAUCAUCACGAUGAAACUCGUCUUCAUCUGGUUCCUCCAAUGCUCCCUCCCCUCUCCCGCUAGAUAGCGGGCAUAUCUAGAUUCGGCCUCGACCCUAGUGGUGUACCCUUUGUAAAUGUUACCGCUGAAUCGGUGAACCUGUCUCCUACACUCCUCCCAGUCGUCGUAGACUCUGGGAACCUUACCCUUGUACACGACAUACGUCGGCAUCGCUAUGCACUAGCCAAACGAAACGUUAGUACCAAUUCACAGACAAUACAUAAGCAAUAUAUAAGUAUGCAACAGAACGAUCGGAAGAGAAAAGCAAGACAUUAAUAGCAUCGAUUACAUCUAAGUUGAACGACUCUCGAAACCAAAGAGACAUACUACAAGUUCAUUAAAGUUUAAUUACAACAUGAGCCAAUCGAUGUUUCACAACUAGACACAGCAUCACUACUUUCGACUUGACUCAAGGGACCGGAGCAUGGAUGAAGCCGCCGUCUAUCGUGGGAGUCAUGAAAUAACGGUCGUUGUCAGCCUGCAUUUGUAGCAUUGUGUCGAUGUCACUGUUGGACGGUUGAUUGUUGAGGUAGAACUGCCCCGAGGUACGAAGGACAUCUUGAUGGAUGAUUUCCGCAAACUCCGACUGGAUGCGAAAGAAUUCUUGUCGGAGGUCCGCGUCCUGGAUUGCCGACACGCUCUUUGCCCAAUCUUUGAGUUUACUCGGUAGCAGAAGUUGAUGAUGGUCCCGUACGAUCGCCCGCAUGUGAUGGAUGGCGUAGUAGGCACCCUUCUUACCGCCAGGCGGCUGCUUGACGCAGCAGAACGUCGUAUUGUGGGAGAACACGUGCUUGCCGUACUUACGAAUAGGCUUGGUGAAGGUGCCUCCAGAUUUGGCGUAGCCGGGGAGAACAUCAUCAAGAACCUUCUUGACAUUUGUGUAGUCUACGUUUGACUGACGGUCCGGGUUGAAAUACGUGGCCAUGGAAUAUUUGGGGCUUAGGAGGAUGAGCGUGCAAUGUGUGUCACUGCAGAAAACACGGAAUGUUAAAAUAAAAACGAUCGAAAUCUAAGAAUUCAUAUGUUACGGGCCGGUUGAGGGGAGGACUUACUCGGGAAAGUAAGGCACGAGGAAGUUAUCCUUAUAUUGGUUUGCCAGAAUGACGCCUUCGAGGUAAGAACUCGCGACUUGCCGGUCCCCAGCGCUGCCCAAGAUCUUGGCACGCAUGUAGAAGGGGUCGACUAUCACGAUGUCCGGGGUCUUGUCGCGAAUGAUCCGCAUCUCCAUACUCAGCAAAAAUAGCCGAACGAAGGUGUAGUGCAGCGGAUGAAGGUUCAACAUAGCAUGGAUGUCAUCAAACCGCAGGACGAUCGUACGCCCGAUGGAGUUAUCCACAAAGCCCUUGCCCUCUGGCACCUUGGCCGCGAAAACCGGGUAUGCCACAUCCUUCUCUCUGAGAUGCUGCUUCUCCAAAGAAAGAACACUGUCAUGCAGACUCCGCAUAGCACCGGUUGCAGCAUUGAGCAUAUUUGUCGGUAGCAUCGCCCUACCCGCCACAUGCACCCUCCUCGAGAUAUCCUUAGGUGAAGGUGGCCCGUCCUGAGCACGGAUCGUACUCGGUGCCGGCUGGCUCGCACCCUUCUUAGUCUUUCUUUUGUGUGCCUUCUUCUUCUCCUGUAAUGGGACCGAGUUCUGCUCACAGACCGCCUUCUUGAGUGUGUUGGGGCUGAUAAUAUUUCGCACCUCGCCUAUCUGAGGCUCGGUGAAGUCGGCAGCUAGAGGCGCCUCCUGAGAGCUGAACGCCAGACGGCGCCUGUUGCAACUUGGCUUCUCCGUGGUACCAGCUAGAUCGCACACGUCUUUUGUUGGGUUGGGUUCUUGAGAAGGAGGCCCCAUGAAGUCGCCAUCGUACCCAUGAUCGGCAAAGUACUGAUCGACAUUGCCAAAUGUAUCGUUGUCGUCGUCGUUCUGAUCCUGUGCCAUAUGCAUGUUUGGAUCCAGUGGCAUAGGGAUGUCCGGCACCGUUGCGGCGGUCUUGCCAUGGGGCCGACUUGGCGCCGGCAUGACUGGCGGUGUUGUCUUUGGGGUGGUGUCCCCCGCCCCCAAACGAAUCUGGCUCUUUGGCCAAAGCAGGGGCCAGCUCAGGCAGGCGCUGAGGGUCAUCACGUCAUCAUCGUCGGCCCCGACGGGUUGAAUCGGAGGUAACAACUCGUCGCAGCCUGGCAGCACCCGAACCAGUUGAACCCUAAACAAGUUGGGUGGCAUCUGGGUACCGUGGAACAAGGGGUUGCUCGGUUGAACGAUUUUGCCCUUGGCGACAUCGACCAACUCGUUGUUCACGAAGUGGAGGAGAGUGCACGGAACGUCGGCGGCGCCCUGCGAAAACAUGUAGGGCGUCAGGGAUGCCCAGUCAAAGGCAAGGAGAUGAAGUCCUCGGCCGAGAGAGGCUUAAUUAGUUACCGUGAUGAUGGCGUCGAGCUCGGCUAAUGUCGAGGCACCGCCAACGGCGGGCGUGCAGUUGACGGAGGGGCCGCUUGCUGCAGAGGUGCCGGCCGGCGUACACCCGGGUGCAUUAAGCUCCCGUGCCGGCGUCGGAGACACCAAUGCCGCCUCCGCCGAAGGCACCAAUGGCCCCGCCAUCGCAUUAUGCGAGUUGCUGGCCGUGAAGCUAGGAAUCGGGGGCGGCCCCUAUUGGCCGCCCGCAAUCCACGCACUCAACCCCGAGAUCAAGGUAGGCACAAUGGCGGUGAUCGUCGCUCCGAGUCGUUGUUCCACUUGCUCUUGGACAAUCUCCGGAAUCCGCGCCACCUGUGCCUUGAGUUCUUCAACCUCGCGCGCCUGGCUUUCCAAGCUGGUCUUUUUCUCCUUCCACACACCAGCGGUAUAGUAUGACCCCCAUUUUGUCGACAAGCCUUUGCCGGCCACACGACGAGCUGACGUCGGCUUACUGAGCUUAUCCUUGUUCUUCAUUACAUUCAACGCCCUAUUUAGAGUGGUGUCCCAAGGGUUGCUCUUAGUCGACCCCGCGCUACUGCUUUCAGUCGCCUGUGGAAGGAAUGUGAACCAUUUAGAAAUUUGGCUUCAUUAACUAGAAUGCAACCAUAUGGAGCUAAUUACGCGGGGGUGUAUUCCUUACCAGAACAAGCUCAAGCUUCCUGGUCUUCGGAUCCGUGGUAAGCUCCUUUGUUUUCGGGUCCUUCUUGUACCGGGCCCUGACAAAGUUCCUGGUCUGCUUGUCACCGUAUUAUCGAAGAGGGGCGGUAGGCCUUGCUCAGCACGGUCCACCUCCUCCUUGUCCCAUAUAGGCUCCGCCACUCUGUAACCGCCGGGACCGAGUGUGUGUUCCCCUAUGUUCAGCUCCCGCAUUUGUUUCCCCCAGUCACUUGAUUGGGAGUUUGCGGUGCUCGAGCAAUUGAUCUUGAAGUCGUUGUAGUCAUCUUCGGUGAUCGAAAGAUUUUUCUCCUUGAUCUUCUGAUAACUCUCACCUUUCUCGAUCAUUCUCUUCACAUUGCUUUUCCAAGUAGACAGGGCCUUGCUCAUCUUCGUGAGGGCAGCACUGUUCACUUUAUUCCCUUUGAGGCUUGUGUUUGCAAAUUCAGCGGGGAACUUGUAUCGUUCGUGCAGCUUCGUGAAGAGGAGGUUGCGCAAAUUCCCUCGGUCAGGAUGCCUCAGGUUCUCGGUGUUGAUCGAGACGGUGCUCAGGAGAAUGCACCCGAGCUGAAGCGAGUACCCCUUGACUAUUCGUUCGGGCGUCGUUGGAUUCCCGUUGGAGUCCACUUCAGUAACUUCCUCCUUGAGGGUGAGGAGCACGAUCGGGCGCCGGUCCUUCCGUUGCCUCUUCGGUUGGCUGCCAUCUGUGCGUGCACCGCCAUCAUCAGUGGUGGCAUCCUCGGCGGCACCAUCAGUGGUGGCAUUAGUGGGGUCAUCCUCGGCGGUACCAUCAGUGGUCUCAGGAUCGGUGGGGAAGGCGGCGUCCUCAUACAACUGAGGUUGGUCCUCCAUCUCCUGGGACAGCUCCCAGAAUACCUUGCCGCCCGAACCCCCGGCCUCAUCGUUGUUGGCCAUGUUUCUCUCUAAAUAGGAACAAAGUUUGGUCAAAAAGUUGGUUAUUGUUUAGGGUUUGUCGACACCGAGGCAUCCUAAAAGCUAAGCUUUUAUCAUUGAGGGUUUUUCGACGCCGAGGCACCCUAAAAGCCUAAGCUUUCAUCAUUAGUCACAAGUAUGCCAUAUGUCCUAUUUUUAGCAAAGUCAUGCUAAAAUUCACAGAAAAUUUCAGCAUGACCUUUGCUGAAAAUAGGACAUAUGGAGUACCCGAAUUUGCUGGAACGGAAAUUAAUCGACAUUCCAGCAAACUCAAGGGCCUCUCGGGUGGACAAGGCAAAAAAAAGCCUCCAUCACAACAAAGCAAAUCAUUGCAUGGGCAUACAGAUGUUGAAGUAAGAACGCCAGAAGUAGCAUUAAACCAUUUCCACAGUACUAUGGUGAUUUGAGAUCAUCUAUUUAUGUUCGCAAAGAGUAGUUUAUGAUCUAAGACUAAAAGGAAAUGCACCAGCAGUACUAAAUUGUCGGUCAAUCUCCAAAACUGAUCCCAGUAUUUUAAACAGCCCCUAGCAAGAACACAAAUGUGGAAGCAAGUCAAUCGCACAACAUAAGAAACAAAUUGGCAGCUACUGGCUAGAGCUAGUAUUAUGUUAUCAUGUUUUCUGAACAGAUUAUAGGAACCUCAAAUAUAUGACGUUUUGCAAAUGGAGAUUAUAAGGAACACCGACAUUCGGCAAGUUCACGGGUUACUACAUUGUAUAUAUGAGACUGAAAACAUCAGUUUCGGAGAGAUGAACUAGAUAAUAAAAUUAGAAGAUGAACUUGUAAUAGUUUCACGAGGUUUGGUUGGACACUGUAAGUACACUUUCUACCUAACAUCGUUCAAAACACAGAGUAAUCUACUUGCAGAACAGUAUGAGAACUUCCAAUUUUUUUGUAUAUCAUCAUCAUUUUUCAUAAAUAACUUUGCUUGAUAUGUCACCUUGGUUCAAAUUAAUGGAGGUUUGGGCUCUCUGAUUUACUGGUUGUUGGUUGACUACUCUUUUCAAUCAGAUUUCUUGCGUCAAACUGGAGAUAAACCUUUUCCAUUAACAAAGGAAUCUUGCCAGACUAAAGAAAUUGUCAAAUACCACCCGCUAACAAGAAAAGGAACAACAUCUGAAGUUUUAAACACAAACAAGGAAAAGGGGUAGCAUUUCAGUUUCUCAAAAUGUUCAAGAACAGAGUACUGAACAUUAGGUUUGACAUCUGCAUCGUCUUUCAACACAACCUACACAUUCCAAACUGUAAGAAACUGAAAAGCACUUACUUAAAUUUGUAUGACCAGCCACCUACAAUCGUAUGACCAGCCACCUACAACUAUCAUCAAACAGCAAGGGGACAGACACCACUGCAACUACUAGGCAAAUCAACCGCUGCAACUACCAGUACGUGUACCUCCACCAUCUACAGCACAAAAUAAAACAAAACUAAAGCCUAACACACCUACAAUUAGGGGAGAAAAACAACCGCAAAGCUCCUAGAACCCGCAACUACAAGCUCCUAAACAACUAUAGACCUAGAACCCGCAACUACAAGCUCCAACACAACUCAGGCGAGCAGAUCAUGUAUUUGACUAGACAGUGCACAACACAACAAAUCAGCAAGCAAUGAAUUGAAGCUAACCCUAAAUCAGAGGUUGGGGAAUUGGAAAAUGGUACCUCAAAUUAGGCUGAGCCGAGUGCCUGAGUGAAGACCGGGCGGUGGGCGGCUGCGGUCGGAGCAGGGCAGCAGGGUUGCGGCCACGGGUGGUGGCGCGGCUGGCGCCGAGCGCCGGGCAGGCCGAGGGUGCGACGAAGAGACAGGCGGCGGGCCGGCGGCGGCGGGACGAGGACGACGGGGACGGCGGCGGCGGGACGAGGACGACNNNNNNNNNNNNNNNNNNNNNNNNNNNNNNNNNNNNNNNNNNNNNNNNNNNNNNNNNNNNNNNNNNNNNNNNNNNNNNNNNNNNNNNNNNNNNNNNNNNNNNNNNNNNNNNNNNNNNNNNNNNNNNNNNNNNNNNNNNNNNNNNNNNNNNNNNNNNNNNNNNNNNNNNNNNNNNNNNNNNNNNNNNNNNNNNNNNNNNNNNNNNNNNNNNNNNNNNNNNNNNNNNNNNNNNNNNNNNNNNNNNNNNNNNNNNNNNNNNNNNNNNNNNNNNNNNNNNNNNNNNNNNNNNNNNNNNNNNNNNNNNNNNNNNNNNNNNNNNNNNNNNNNNNNNNNNNNNNNNNNNNNNNNNNNNNNNNNNNNNNNNNNNNNNNNNNNNNNNNNNNNNNNNNNNNNNNNNNNNNNNNNNNNNNNNNNNNNNNNNNNNNNNNNNNNNNNNNNNNNNNNNNNNNNNNNNNNNCGUCGGGGCGGCGUCGAGGCGGCGGGGCAGCGGCGUCGGGGCGGCGUCGAGGCAGCGGGGCAGCGGCGUCGGGAAAGGGGAUCGAGGGCGAGGGCGAGGGAGAGAGAGGGGAUCGAGGGCGAGGAGAGAGGUGGGCCGCCGGGGAGGAACUAUGGAUGGGGGCGGCACAAUACUAAUGGCGCACCACCCCUCGGUGCGCCAUAAGUACAUCCAAACUAAUGGCGCACCUCACCCUGGUGCGCCAUUAGUAAAAAAAAUUUAUGCUCGAGCCAACAGGUUAUAUUCCACCUGACCUGAUCCACAUCAAGCUCCCUCUACUAGCUCGAUUGGUCAGUAGCCAGUUCUCACACCAGGAGGUCCUGGGUUCGAUUCCCAGGCUCCACAAUUUUUUUCAUUUAAAAUGUUGUUUGAUACUUAUUUGUGUUUAAAUAUGUUCAAACUUGUUUAAAUCAUAACAUUAAUAUUUUUUUUUAUAAGACAGUAAUAAUUUUUUAAAAAUAUCAUCAAACAGUAAUGCCGGUGGAGCGGGGGAGGGUGCGGGGGUUGCGGGGGGUCGGCGGCGGCGGUUGAGUAGGGGAGGGGUGCGAGGGGUCGGCGGCGGCGGUUGAGUAUAACUACAACAGGACAUGGCUUUAGUAACAUGGUGUUGUGUUACUAUAGGCCCAAAACAGUGUUACUAGGCCACAUAGUAACACAAUUUGAAAUGUGUUCCAUUAGACCGUGUUACUAAGUAGUGUCCACUGUCACAUAUAGUAAAUGUUACCAUAUAUUAAAAAAAUGAGUUACAGCUACAUUAUAGUAACAUGCAUAUUAUGUGUUACUAAACGCGUUAGUAACACAUAUUUAUAACUAUAGUAACACUCGUGGUAACAUAUUUUUGUAGAAGUAAAACAGUGUUGUAACAUGUUUUUGUAACUAUGGUAACACAACUUGUAACAUAAAAUCCAAAUACCAUAACACUAUAAUCAUCUAUCUUAGUAACACAUUUUGUAACUAUAGUAACACCAUCAGUAACACUACUAUAUUAUUAUGGCAACAUAAUUAAUGUAUCUAUUUUUUAAAUCAACCACAAAAGUAGGUAUCCAUUUUAUGGAAUAUACAUUUAUUUAAUAAAUCACUACAACUGCUGAAAUAGUUCAUUAUUUUACUUUGAUGCUUAGCACCAUUAAAAUGAUAGAGAAAUUGAAGUGCAACAGAUAGACAAAUUAAAAAUAUCAAAGGUAUUUAUUAUGAAUAUACAAGAGUGCGGGAUACAUAUGCAUUACAAUAAAUAAAUACCAAUGUUAUUGGUGCAACAACAUAUCAUUCGUAUCAAUUUGACUAUAAGAACACGCCUAUGAAGAAUAUUACAUCAUAGCAUUUACAUCAAUUCGACCAAAGAAAAAGGUCUUGUGAAUGGCAUUACAUUUUUCAAUCUAUAAAUGUAAACUAUGGUUAUUGCUAAGUAAAAUCUUCUAGUUUUAUAUGCUUCAUCCAAUCGGAGAACUCAGCUGCAACUCAAUUAUCCUUCUUUUGGAUCUGUAAAAGAAAACUGGACCUUAGAGUUAUGUGAUUAAAUGUACACAAAUAUAAUUUUAGAAUCUGGAAGAAAAGACUUCAACUUACAAAAGCUCAAGGCCAUGCAAUUAAGUAUCCUAAAGCAAAAGCAACAACAAUUCUCUUGCAAUCAUAAACUUACCUUACUAACUCCUCGUUAUCCGGAAUAGGCUCAUCCAUGCACACAAGUGCAAAUUCGGGACUUAAGUCAAUAGCACCAACCUUAGUUUCUAGAUCACCACUCCAAAUAGUAGCAUAUGCAACAUUACAUUUGUUUGAAUAUGUUAAAUUCUUUAAAACUACUCUCUCUGUAAAGAAAUAUAAGAGCGUUUAGAUCACUAAUUCAACGCUCUUAUAUUUCUUUACACAGGGAGUACUUUGGAACUAACCUAUAUUAUGAUCAAUAUUAUCAUUCAACGGCAAUGACAAAAGAAUUUGCAUGAACAAUGUGUCAAUGGUGCACAUGGUCAUAGUUCAAGAAAAUUGUGAUGACCAUUCAGUUCGCUAGGUAUACACAUUCAAGUGGCAAGUGGGACUAAUAGAGGGAUGCCCACAUUGCACUCAUGUGUUAAGCGGGUGUUCGUGGGCAGCCGGCAAUAAACUUGUUGUCUUUGCUUGCCCACAUAAUGCCAUUUAAUACCACAUAGUAAUAAAAUGAUCCGCUAUUGUAAUAAAGAGUAUAAUAGUCAACACGCGGCAGAUGUGUGGUAAGUAACCACAAAAAAAAUGAGUUCGGACAAUUCUACUUAGCUCUUGUACAAAUCAAUACUAACUUAUUGUAUUUGGACAUUAGUUGAACACGGCAACACAAACAACUAUCAAUCAGGUCACUACAUGAGCAAGCACAUGCAAAGUGGCCCCCGGUGCAAAAAUUUCAGAGUGGCAAAGCAUAAGCAUACUAUUGACAAAUCAGGAGCAGAGCAUCUGCGUAGUGUUGUGUGUGUGUGCUUGUUGUUGUGUUGGGCAUGUGUGUGUGUAUGUGCUUUCUAGUACCUAACCAAAGUACUCGCAAGAUGUUUUCUAACAGCAGACAUUUCCAUGGCAAAGUUAUAAAGAAUAUAAACAUUCUAUGUGAAUUAUCAAUGAGCGCGUCCAUAUGACUACAUAAACAAAUACCUGGAACCAGUAGCCAUCAUUACAGUGGCUUUAAGCAACAUGGAACUGAAUGCAUAAACCCUUGAGGUGUCGACACUAACCAUGCUCCCCACAAACAUUUUGUAAGAGUAAAAUGAUAAAUAACUUAAGAUGGAAAUAGAUGUACAGCCAAGAGCUACAGACUAUAAGCACGCAGUGAAACAUAUAUUCAACAAAUUUGGAAUUAAAUGUAUAACCUUUUUUGCGCAUAAUGUAACCAGGGUGGAUACUUGGUGAAAGGUGAUGGAGUCUUACAUUUACCUAAAUAAAAAGGUAACCCUGAUGGGUACUUGGUAAAAAGUGAUGCUAUCACCCAUUGGAUUAUAUCAAACUAGCAUAUGAGAUUGAGACACAAGAAAUAUAAUAAUUAAAGUGAAAUAAACAGACAAGCUUCUACUGUAUUAUCAUACUGAUAAUUGGGAUAUACUACACUAAAAUAAUCAUACAUUACUAGAACCCUUACCAUGAAAAGCACUAUGUAUUACACCUACAUUCCCUGUCAGUAAAGUACAUGUCCGUGUUGCUCUUCACAAUUUCUACUACCCAAUUUGACACUCGGUAGACAUAUUUAGCUGAAUUAAAAAAUCGCACAAGUAUUCGGGUAUGUAUGUAUAUGUGCCAGUUUGAGACUGUGCGAGUAUGUAUGGAUAUGUGAUGGGUAUUCGGGUAUGUACAUCUCGACCAUGGGCAGGAACACGUACGUACUAUUAUUAUUAGCAGGAGAAUCAAUUAGCAGCGGGCAUGUACCCUCAAUGUCGUCCUCGCAUCUUGCUCCUCUUGGCACUAGUACACAAACAAGCAAGCAGCCUGCUGGAUGGAUUAUUGUGGAAGGUAGCUUACAUAUGGAUGGAUUCCUCGUGGAUGAUAGCAGAUGACGAGGACCGGUGGCUCCUAGGGCGGGAGGUGCGCAUGGUCCAUGCGCUAGUUCUGCUCAAGCCGCUUCAAUUCUUCAUGGCCGCCCGGAGGAAGGGAUGGCUAGCUGCCGACGGCCCCGGCUAGAUCUGCCCAGGACUCCGGCGGCUGCGCGCUCCUCAUGGCCGCCUCCUCGGGCCUCCUCGAGCCUGGUGGGGAGGAGGGAACGACCCUGGGGCCGAGGGUUGCGUUGGCGACCUACAGAGAAAGGGGCGAGCGGCGACUGCGGCAUGAGGCCUUCAGGCGACUUGCGGCGGCGGCUUGCGGCGUGGUAUGCGGUGGCUUCGAUGGGUAGGCUGCGUGUGAAGGGAUAAGGAGAGAGAGGAGAUAAAAGGAUAGGGCACCCACUGGGCAGCAGCCGUUAGAUCUAAGCAAAUCCAACGGUUACGACGUGUGAUCCGUGGGAGGGAUACAUUGACCAAUCAAAAUACAAUGUUUUUAGUGUAAUAUUUUUACACUCGGUAAAAUUUUAAUCUUUUUUUCCUUUUUUCUCCACUUAUCUUUUUCUUUCUUCUUUUUAAGGCCUAUUAAAAGAUAUAAAUAGGAUUUUUAAACCAAAAUUUUGCCAAUAUUUUUAUGCACUUGUGAUUUAAAUUUGAAUUAUAUGAAUAUAUGACUAGUACACAUAAAAUGACUCAAUGCGAAAGGAUUGCAUUUAUUGCAUUUAUAUUCUUUUCUUUCAUUUUUUUUCACAAUGGGGACAUCAAAAGCGGGGAGCUGGAGGGGAUAAGGAUGGAUGUGCUAUGUGAGAGAUUCAUCAAUUAUGAAAGAUAGGUUUCCCGUAAUCGUGGGAUCAUCGUAUCCUUCAGACAUAGGAAACUACCAAGCCAUGCCUAACUGUGUAAGAGACAGUGUUGAGGCUUCAUCAAAGCGAGGACAUUCGAUCUAGAGGAUCCUACCAUGUCCUCUAGCUCAAAGUAGAUUGAUGCAACACUAUUUAUUACCCACGUCAAACGACAAGGAUAGGGGCUACUGGCUUCUGUUAGUGACAUAGGAAAUGGGGUGUCCCGAGCACACUAUAAUCGAGUACCCUAGCAAGCAAGGGAUCAUAUCAUAAGUUUAAUUGUGAUGAGUCAUGGCCAAUGUGCUUUACUAUACGUGUGACAUUAUGAUCUACUAGUUAACACCGGAAAAGCAUUAUGGUUGAAGACGACUCGCCGGAACCAUUUGCGCCCUUGAUCUGCUAUCCCGGGGGCCAAAUGCAGCAUGCUUAUCUACCUCACGAGAGCUAGUGUCUUUGGUCUGUUAUCCCGUCUGGUUUAACUCCGACCUUCCUUCACUCAAGUACAGUGCCGACCAUAAGUCCCUUCGGUUGACCAGUCUAGGAGCAGCCAGGAAGGACGACCAGGACACCUGACAGUCACCUCCAGACCUCCCACUAGUAGAAACGGGGCCAAUGGUCCAGGCCGGUCCAGCCCAUUAGUCCCGGUUCAACCCAGAACCGGGACCAAUGGGGGCAUCGGACCCGGUUCGUGAGCCCCGGGGGCCGGCCCGGGCCACGUGGGCCAUUGGUCCCGGUUCAUCUAGACCUAUUGGUCCCGGUUUGUGGGACGAACCGGGACCAAUGGUCCUCGCUCCUGGCCCUAACCCAUUGGUCCCGGUUGGUGGCUUGAACCGGGACCAAAGGCUUCCCAUUAGUCCCGGUUCGAGCCGUCAACCGGGACUAAAAGGUUGGUGCCCGUUGCGACCAGAGUUUAGUCCCACCUCGCCAACCGAAGGGGAACGGGACUGGUUUAUAAGCCCCUCCCUCUCUACUUUAUUGAGCUCCUCCGAUAAUGAAAAUAGAUGCGCUUAUAUAGGUAAUUUAGCAUAAAUUCAUACGGAUUUCUCUUGAAAUUCGUUAUGAAUUUAAGUUGAAUUUCCUCUAUAAGCGCAUCUGUACUCAUUUCUGAGUAGUUUUUUUUCUUUUUCUGCUAUAUUUAUUUUUUAUUUUUAUUUCUGAGUCGUAAUAAGUCAUUAAAAAUAAGCAUAUAUGCUCCUUUUUUAGUAUAGUUAAUCACAACUAUUUUUUCUUCUAUUCAUUUCUGAGUAGUUUUUUAUAUAGUUUUUUUCUUUUUCUGCUAUAUUUAUUUUUUCUUUUUAUUUCUGUGUUGUAAUAAGUCAUUAAAAAUAAGCAUAUACGCUCCUUUUUUACUAUAGUUAAUCACAACUAUUUUUUGCUUCUAUUCAUUUCUGAGUAGUUUUUUAUAUAGUUUUUUUCUUUUUCUGCUAUAUUUAUUUUUUCUUUUUAUUACUGUGUUGUAAUAAGUCAUUAAAAAUAAGCAUAUAUGCUCCUUUUUUACUAUAGUUAAUCACAACUAUUUUUUGCUUCUAUUCAUUUCUGAGUAGUUUUUUAUAUAGUUUUUUCUUUUCUGCUAUAUUAUUUUUUCUGAGUUAUAAUAAGUCAUUACAAAUAAAAAAGAGACGCAAUGCUCGUUAAUCUGCUUCAACCCUUUCGGGAUAGUGUCAACUGCACUGCACAUAGCUCUGUGCAGUCUACCGUAUCCCGCAAGGGUUGAAGCCAACCAACGUGCAGGAGCAUUGAGCCUCUUCGUCAUUGUAUCUGCACUCAGGGCUUAUAAACAGCUGCGAGUGCCUCUCGCUUGGCGAGGUGGGACUAAAACGAAAGCUGCUGGAAGAAUCAACAAAAAAACAGCUGCAGAGACAAAAAGUGGUUAGACGGGUCCAUUGGUCCCGGUUGGUGGCUCCAACCGGGACCAAUGCCUCUCUUUUGUCCCGGUUCGUGGCUGCAACUGGGACCAAUGCCCCUCUUUUGUCCCGGUUGGUGCCACCAACCGGGACCAAAGGUCUUCGUUUCCCGCCCUUUGGGCUGCUGAAAAGAGACCUUUGGUCCCGGUUGGUGGCCUCAACCGGAACUAAAGGUUUCAUUGGUCCCGGUUUGUGCCACGAACCGGGACCAAUGCUGCUGCUAUAUAUACUUCACUUGGCAUCUAUUUCGAUCUNNNNNNNNNNNNNNNNNNNNNNNNNNNNNNNNNNNNNNNNNNNNNNNNNNNNNNNNNNNNNNNNNNNNNNNNNNNNNNNNNNNNNNNNNNNNNNNNNNNNNNNNNNNNNNNNNNNNNNNNNNNNNNNNNNNNNNNNNNNNNNNNNNNNNNNNNNNNNNNNNNNNNNNNNNNNNNNNNNNNNNNNNNNNNNNNNNNNNNNNNNNNNNNNNNNNNNNNNNNNNNNNNNNNNNNNNNNNNNNNNNNNNNNNNNNNNNNNNNNNNNNNNNNNNNNNNNNNNNNNNNNNNNNNNNNNNNNNNNNNNNNNNNNNNNNNNNNNNNNNNNNNNNNNNNNNNNNNNNNNNNNNNNNNNNNNNNNNNNNNNNNNNNNNNNNNNNNNNNNNNNNNNNNNNNNNNNNNNNNNNNNNNNNNNNNNNNNNNNNNNNNNNNNNNNNNNNNNNNNNNNNNNNNNNNNNNNNNNNNNNNNNNNNNNNNNNNNNNNNNNNNNNNNNNNNNNNNNNNNNNNNNNNNNNNNNNNNNNNNNNNNNNNNNNNNNNNNNNNNNNNNNNNNNNNNNNNNNNNNNNNNNNNNNNNNNNNNNNNNNNNNNNNNNNNNNNNNNNNNNNNNNNNNNNNNNNNNNNNNNNNNNNNNNNNNNNNNNNNNNNNNNNNNNNNNNNNNNNNNNNNNNNNNNNNNNNNNNNNNNNNNNNNNNNNNNNNNNNNNNNNNNNNNNNNNNNNNNNNNNNNNNNNNNNNNNNNNAUGUUAGUUUCUUUAUGUUAGAUUUUUUUCUGUAAAAAGAUUUUUUAGUUAGUUUUUUAUGUUAGAUUUUUUAUGUUAGUUUUUUAUGUUAGAUUUUUUUUCUGUAAAUAGAUGUGUAGUAAUUUAGAUCUUUAUGUAGGAUUAGAUGUGUAGUAAUUUAGAAAAAGGAAAAAAAGAAGAAGUAGUUUAUAUAUGAAGUAGUUUGUUUUUAGUAAGUACUACUUAUUUAUUUAUAGUAAGUGUUUAGUAGUUGAGCUAGAUAGAUUUAAUUAAUAAGACUACUUUUAUUUAACUAUAUAUAGAAGUAGUUCCCGCGUCGACGUCGGCGAUGCCUAUCCCGCAUCCUCGUCGUCGUCGAGUCGGCGAUGGAGGCCUGCUUGAUCAGGGUCAUGUUCGGGACUGGGCUCCGCCGGGUUGGUAUUGGGAGGUGCUACCUUUCGGGGGACGUAGGUUGGUGAGGAGGCAGCCCGUUGUUGACCCGAUCCUUGUUUGGUGGCGGUCGCGUGGGCCAAUGACGGUGGUGAGGCAUCCGGACACUGCGGAGGUGGUACGUCAUCAUGUCAGCGAGGAGGACGAGCACGUCCGUCGCUACAUGGUUGCAUUGGAGGGGAGGUUCGACAAUACCUGGCAUGUUCUUCAGGGAUCUCACUGGAGCUAUGAUCCUGUGAUGGUUCCUUAUCUUUGGGUGUCCACCGCCCGCGUCGAUACCCGUCGGGCGCUACGGUUCUAGUUUUAUUAGUGAUAAUAUUCGAUGAUGUACGGACACCAAGAGAUGAUGUAGUUUUGCUUAUAAUUAUUGAAUGCAUGCUAAUUUGAAUACUAUACUUUAUUUUGUGAUUUGGUUUUGCUUAUUGAAUGCUCAUAUUGGAUAAGUUCUCCUUCAUUCCCGUGUGCUAGACAAUUUGGUAUAAUAUUCAACCCGUACGUACAUCGAUCAUCGAUAGUCAACCCGUGAUUUAUAAUAAUGAUCUAGUUUAAUAUUUGAAUUAUGAACGUAGGCCGGAAAUGUCGUCCUCAUCUGACGACGAAAAUCGCCCGGGGGAGUGCGACUGGUGCCACGAUGACCGAGGUAUGUGCGACAGAUUCAUUGAGCUGGAGGAAGAUCGGCGCUUCAGCAUUAAGCUCGAGGAGACUUGCGAUGUUCAUACGGUACGCAACGACGACAAUAGUUUUUUUUUCGUAAUUAAGCACGACUUCAACUAUUUUAACGUGUAAUUUUCAUCUUUUUCAAUUCGACUAGCUUAUCCCAUACUUUGCAAGACGCUAUGUCUUGGAGAGGAUGGAUUUUGAAGACCAUGAAAAUUUCGAAACCAAAAAAAUUGUCCUAAGUACCGAACAUGAUGUGGAUUUUCAAGUAAAGUUGUACAAUGCUCAGAGUGUAACCCAUUUUGGUUGCAAAAAUUGGGAUGCAUUUUGCAAGAUGUAUGGUCUUGAUGAGGGUAUGAUUAUCACCAUGGAUCUUGGUGAUCCUACAAUCGAGCAAGAGACACCUACGAUUUGGGUCUUUGUGCAUACACCUCCAGUUCUUCCCUCAUGUGAGCUAAACAUAGUUAUUAAGUAAUUUAUAUUGUUUAUUUCAAAAUAUAUAGUUGACAACUUAUCUCCAUUGACAGCUUAUUUUCAUUCUUCAAAGAAUGUGCGGAAGAUGGUAGACAGAACGUACUACACCGAAGGUUGCGAAUUAACUUAUCGGGAGAAACGACAUCUAGUCGGAUUUUGUAGAGAUCUUGAGAAUUACAAUAUCUACAAUCAAACUCCUCAACAUUAUGGUCAAUACGUGCCACUAGUGCACGUGUUGAACUACGGUAACUACCAUGGAGAUACCUUGGUAAGAUUAUUUUUUACUAUUACAACAUCCGUGCAUCUUUUUGCACACUUCUAAACUAGUACAUCAUUGCUAACUACGAAGUUAUUACUAUGUUUUUCAACAGAUAAUCCCGAAUGAGUGUGUGCCUCAUCUGAUGUAUACGCGUGGUAGCCUUCAUGUUUUGAACAUACUACCAGGUCGUCCUACGAAUCUCAACUGUCCAUAUCGGGUUUCUAAAAGAAGUGGAGACAUAACAAUCAAAGAAUGGAAAAAAUGUAUGGACAGUCGUAAGGAGCUUCUUGGAAGCAAUAAGCAGCGAAAGGCACGAAUUGGAGACAGGAUGAUCGCCAUUCUUCAUAAUGGAGAGUCAGGGUCUAUAUUGUUUUAUGCUAUUUUACCUUAAGGGUGUUUUAGGUCCUAUACCUGGUACUGAUGAUCAUGUGCUAAGAACAAUUAUAUAUGUAGGGUUGGGUUCGAUGACUAUAUAUGAGGAUGAUGAUCGUAUGACUUAUUAUUAAUAACGAGUAGAAGUAGUAUGAUGAUGCAUGAUUAGUAGGACUUUAUUAUAUACAUAUAUAUGAUGAUGUAUGAUGCAAAGCAUGCAUGAGCCAUGUCAUAUCUGCGGGUGCAAUGAACAUAUAGCAGCAGCGUUGAUAAACCAAGGACGAAGAUAAGAGAGGACACUUCUCUCUAUUAGCUAGCUAUAAAUAACAACCUAAAAAUAAACCACAAAACCCCUAAAGCAGCCACUUUCUUAAAAAAAUGACUUUUGGUCCCGGUUGGAGCCGCCAACCGGGACCAAAGACCCUCUGACUGGGCUCGGUGCACAUCGCCACGUGGAGCCACAUUGGUCCCGGUUCGUCUUUGAACCGGGACUAAUGUCUGGUGGCAUUAGUAACGACCCAUUAGUCCCGGUUCAUGAACCGGGACUAAAGGCCCUUACGAACCGGGACUAAUGGGUUGUUUUCUACUAGUGUCCCUUCGCUUUGGACCAGGAUGCUCGGCCGAUGCUAGUAAGAUCUCUCUUGCUCUUUAGUGCCUUCCCAUUCUUCUACCAAAAUGGAUUUUGUAGGAUCCUGGAAAUGUGCCCCCAAAUCCUGUACAUAUACCGCUCCAAAGAGGACAAUUUUCGGUUUCCAGUAAAAAAAACAGCAGGCCGGGCCAUGAUGCGGGAUCUACUAGUCAUUUUUGGCCCAUAAACCGCAUAUAGGUCUGAUUUUUGGGGAUCGGGCCAAUAUGUGGGAUCUGUUAAAGUUGCUCUUAGCACGGUGUACAAGGGAUAACCUCUAGGUUGCCCCUGAGCUGAGCAUGACCGUUACUUUCGUUGGUUACCUAUUUAAAGGCUCCUUCUUCCAAAUAAUUUCCCUACUUUCACAUCUCAUAUCAAACGAAACAUCGCAUACAAGAAAUAUUUAUAUCUCAUCACGAGAUUUUUUUUAUAAUUUUAGACAAUUUGAAUUUUUAUGCAAGACUAAUGGAAAAUUAUUGAUUUAAUGACGUGCUCCAACAAAUUUGAAUUUGUGCAUUGUUUGAUUUGGAUGUGUUUAAUUUUUAGUGUUAUAGCAUAUUAAAACAUGGAGAGCGCCUAUAAAGCGCUUGUGGCGCAAGCAACGCAGUGUCGCGCACCCUGGGCCGACCCAGCUAAGCGAGGUCGCUCUCCCAAGCUUGCUCGCUCGGCUGUUUCGACCGGUUCACCAUGUUGACUGGUCGACUGGUUCACUGUUGACCCAUGGCAUAGUUGAUUGUACACUUCUAUAACCAGUUUAGAAUUUAAAAAGCUUUUUGAGUUUGAAAAAAAGUUUGUGGCCUCAAGAAAUGUUCUCAAAUUUGGAAAAAGCUCACAAUUUUAAAGAAAUGCUUGUCAAUUCUAAAAAAGAUAACUAAUUCAAAAAAUGUUCACGGACUAAAAAAGGAUUCACAAAUUUGAUUUUUAAUAUAUUUCAGAAAAAGUUCGUAAAUUCUAAAAAAUGUUUGCGAACACGAAAAAAGUUACCAUAUUCAAAAUAAGUUUCCGUAUUUGAAAAAAGCCCACGAAUUUGGAAAAAAUCGUGGCAUGAAAAGAUAUUGGCGAAAAUGAAAAUGUUCAGUGGCUCAAAAAAAGUUUGUAAAUUUGAAAAAAAUCAUGGUUCCAAAAAAUUCACGAAUUUAAAAAGUUGCCAAGUUUACCAAAAAGAAUUCACGAAUUUUAAUAAGUUGGUCAAUUUGAAAAUUGUUGGUAAUUUUUUUAAAAAUACACGAAUUUCAAGAAAAAAACUUACUGAAUUUUUUUUAAAAAGAAAUGGAAACUAAAAGUAAAAAAAUCAGGAAAAGGAAACAGAAAAACCAUAUCGAAAACCGGAAGGAAAACAAACAAAAAUUUGAUGAGAAAAAUCUAGCCGAAAAAAACAAAGAAAAACUAGGUGAAAGCUUCCAGAAGCAAAACCGGCCCAAAGUCACAGAAUCGCAGCCAACACCUAUCUUUCUAAUGGGCCUUGGCCCAGUCGUUCAUAAUAUUUAAGAAAAAAGUCAAUUUAUUGAAAAAUAGCGUAAUGGUGGUGGUAGCCCGUUGGUACGCACUUGUUUCCACAAGUAGGAUGUAGCAAGUUCGAUUCUCGGUAUGGUUCAUUUCUUUUUCUUCAUGCAUGUCAAAUUGCCCCCAUUGUUGGUCCUUUUAUUUUGUUCACGGGCCCACAUGUUCUAAUUUUCUUAUAGGAAGAAAUAUUAUAUAUAAUAUGCUCUCAUGCUAAUAUCUAUAAUUUUGAGAACAAAUAUUUAAAUGUAUUCUUUAUUAUCAAUAGGUUAAGUGAAUGAAUUUAUGCGUACAUAUCGAAAGUAAUUCCAGUUUAAGUCAUAUAUGUAUCUCAAUUAAGGUUCAAGUAAUACAGAAAAAAAAAGUUCAAGACUAUGUACAAGCUUAUGCCACAGACAAAGAUUGUUGACAAAAUCAAUUGAGUGAAAAAACUGAACUUGUGUUUGUAAGCAUUGUGGCACCACUCCUUUUUGUUAAAAUAUAAUUUACACUAUUCCUUUUUUUUCUAAAGUUAUAUAGCUUGUAACAGUAUGCAUCAACACAUGAUAUUAGUUAUUCUAUCAAUAAGUGUAACACACCAGGAGCAACACAAACUUAUAUGUUACUGUGGUAAUGUGCCGGUAACACAUUUUCGAAUCUUGUCAACCAUGUGUUACUCUCUGUGCUGUAACACACAUGAUACGUUACAGAUAUUUUGCUAUGUAACACAUUUUUCUACAUGUUACAACAUUGUGUUACUUAAUCUAUGUUUUGAUGUAGGGGUGCGGGGGGUCGGCGGCGGCGGUUGAGUAGGGGAGGGGUGCGGGGGGUCAGCGGCGGCGGCCAGUGGACCGGGGGGUGCUCGGCGGCGAGGGGGACCGGAUCUGGCAAGGUGGGAUAGCGAUCGAGAUGGAGGGGGAUCGAGAUUGAGUGUCCAUGAAAUUUAAAAAUAUUCAUGAUAGUUCAAAAAGUGCCCAUGAAAUACAAUCGAGAAAUGAAGGCUACGAUUUAAAUACAAUCGAUCUUAGCUAGCUAUCUGUUCACAAUCUUCUUGCCCUUCUUUUUCGCAAAUGGAGUUCUUCUGUGGAAUGGACGUCCUUUAGGUAGGGUGGUCCUGCUUCUUCUUGUGGUGUAUGCUGCUACUUCAUCAUCGUCGUCAUGUUCGAUCCUCGGGUCGCCGUACUUGUCGAAGUCUUGCUCAUUGGCUACUCCAUCCAUUCCGAUGAUCUUCCUUUUGCCUCUCCUCACGACAACACGACUGGGCUUUGACGGGUCGGUAAUGAAGAAGCAUUGGUCAACUUGGGAAGCCAGUACCCAUGGCUCAUUUUUCGCGGUGACGUUUGCGCCCACGGUCUUGGAUUUGACUUCGGGUAUAACCAUGGUGGUGAAAUACCGGUCUUCUUUUAGGACGCUCUUCGCCCAUCUGACACGGAACAUCGGGACCUUCUCUCCAGCAUAGCUCAGCUCCCAGAUCUCCUCGAUCCUUCCGUAGUAUCUGUCCUUGUCGUUACCGGUGUAGGAUUCCAUCGUUACCCCGGAGUUCUGAUAACCAUCGCUCUUCAUGUCCUUGGCCUCGGUGUAGAAUCUGUAGCCGUUGAUAUCAUACGCCUCAUAGGUCAUCAGGUUGUGCUCGGCGCCCUGUGACAAGGCGAAUAUGAGUUGUUCUUCCGCGGAAGAAUCCUCAUGUAAAGGGUAUGACUGAAGCUUCUGCUUGAACCAACGCGUGAAACAUGAGUUGUGCUCUUUGAUUAUAUCUCCGUCCGUCCUCUGUUGGCCCCGGUCAUUGUACGUCUUCUUAAUAAAGGUUUUGUGCUCUACCACCCAAGGAUCGACCACGUGUAGCGUGACUAGGUUUGCUCUUUCAAAGUCGGCGAGUCGACCCUCUAAGUCGACAUGCAUUUCGCGGCGACCCUCACGGUGACCCCAUCCAACGAGCCUGCCGAGGUGCCUGUUGACGGGUAGACCAACGGGGUUCUCGAUGCCUAGAUAAUUCAUGCAGUAGGAGAUGCACUCUUCGGUCAGAAAGCCCCUGGCUAUACUUCCCUCUGGACGUGACAUGUUGCGAACGUAUCCUUUGAUGACACCAUUCAUCCUUUCGAACGGCAUCAUGUUGUGCAGGAACGUCGGCCUGAGUUGGAUGAUAUCCUCCACUAUAUGGACCAGCAGAUGCACCAUAACGUCGAAGAAUGCAGGCGGGAAGUACAUCUCAAGCUCGCAUAGUGUCACCACGAUCUCUUCCUGUAGCCUUCUGAGUUGCCUCACGCCAAUCGACUUCCGAGAGAUGACGUCGAAAAAGUUGCAUAGGCCAAAUAGCAUUUCACGGACGUGCGCAUCCAUGAUCCCACGGAUUGCAACUGGAAGUAUCUGCGUCAUCAGCACGUGACAGUCGUGAGACUUCAUCCCAAUGAACUUCUGCUUCGCUGGGUCUAGGUAUCUGCUUAUCUUCCCCGUGUAACCGUAAGGAAGUUUUACUCCUAGGAGGCAGGUGAAAAACUACUCGAUCUCCUCCUGACUUAGAGUGAAGCACGCGGGAGGGUAGUCAUUUCCGGUCUUCUUGGCCUUUUUGCCUUUGCGACGACUUUCUGUGUCUUGCUUCGCCUCAUCAUCAUCAUCAUCAUCAUCAUCAUCAUCAUCAUCAUUAGCGUGAAGCUCCUGCCUGAUGCCCAUUGAUUUCAAGUCUGCCCUUGCUUUCGGCCCAUCUUUGGUCCUCUCUGGCAUGUUGAGCAGGGUACCAAGCAGACUCUCGCACACGUUCUUCGUGAUAUGCAUGACAUCAAGGCUAUGAGGCACACGAUGGAUCUUCCAGUACGGCAAGUCCCAAAAAACAGACCUCGUUUUCCAUACCUUCAGCAGCGGCUCUGGCGCCUUUUGCUUCUUUCCCGGCUCUGGCGCCUUUUGCUUCUUUCCCGGCAGUGGGCAGUCUUUCCAAUUUUUCAACAGCUUGUCUAUUUCCUCGCCGCUCCUCGUACACGGGCGUUUUCGGGGUUCGGUUUCACCAUCAAACAGAUCCUUGCAUUUCCUCCACGGGUCAUCGUCGCGAAGCCACCUUCGAUGUCCCAUGAACACGGUUUUCAAAGACCUGGGAUCUCUAUCUAGCUGACGAUACGUUGUGUCAUCCAUGCACCUUACGCAUCCAGAAAAUCCGUGGACUACCUGCCCCGCGAGAUAUCCGUAACCGAGAUAGUCGUGCACCGUCGUGAGCAGUGCGGCUCUCAUAGGGAAAUAUUCUUUCUCUGCGGCGUCCCACGUAUUGGCUGGCGUUUUCCACAGCGUGUCAAGCUCCUCUUUCAGCAGCCCCAGAUACAGAUUGAUGUCGUUCCCUGGUUGUUUCGGCCCUUCAAUUAGCAUACUAAUGUGAAUGUACUUCCUCUUCAUGCACAACCAGGGGGGAAGGUUGUACAUCCACACAAACACAGGCCAGGUGCUAUGUGUGCUUCUCUGGCUGCCAAACGGAUUGACUCCAUCGGUGCUCGCGCCUAGCACGAUGUUCCUUGGAUCGUUCCCAAAUUAUGGGUAUUCGAAGUUCAACGCUUGCCACUGGCUCGCAUCCUUAGGGUGACUCGGCAUCUUGUCUUUUUUAUCUAUCUCCGGAUCAUUUGCGUCAUCUUCUCGCUUCUUCUCCUCCCUAUCCGUGUGCCAACGCAGGAGCUUUGCUACCUUAGGAUCCGCGAAAUACCGCUGCAGACGAGGAGUGAUCGGAAAGUACCACACCACUUUUCGAGGAGCUUUCUUCCUCUUCUUGUAUCGAGUGACACCGCACACCGGACAUAUGGUAGACUCCGCGUGCUCGUCCCGAUAAAUGAUGCAAUUGUUCAUGCAAACAUGGUAUUUCACGUGCGGUAAAUCCAGAGGACACACGAUUUUCUUCGCCUCCUCCAAACUGGUCGGGCACUUGUUCCCCUUGGGAAGACGUUCGUGCCAGAAUGACAUGUUCUCGUCGAAGCAUGCGUCGGUCAUUUUGUGUUUUACCUUCAUCUCCAGAGCCAUGAGCGUUACUUUCAGGCGGGUAUCCUCGGGCCUGCAUCCUUCAUACAAUGGAGUAACCGCGUCUAACUCAAGUUGAUCCAUCUUGGCUUUCUCUCGGGCGGCAGCUCUUGCGUUAUCCGUCUGCUUGAGAAGCAGCUCUUGAAUAUGAGGGUCCUGCACCCAGCCCAUCGAUGGUCCAACGUCGUCUGCUCCGCCGGCAUCAUCAUCAUGUCCUGCAUCUUCUAUGAUGACUGUGUACAGCAUCACCGUCGUGAUCAUCUCCUGGGGAUUCUUCGUCUUCUCGCCCGCCCGAGCCGCGGUGGUUGUCUUGCUGCCCUUCCUCAUUUCUUGCCUGGCCCCCAUGGACGACUUCGUAGUCAUCUUCAUCACCUUGCCACCGAUAGCCAUCCAUGAAACCACGCAAGAGCAGGUGGUCCCGCACCUGCCCGGAAUCCGGGUCCGCAAUAAGGCUCUUCAGCUUGCAUCUUCGACACGGACAUCUUAUCUCCGCUCGUUCUUUUGAAGCAUCUCGGCCUUCGCAGACCUCAAAAACCUAUUCACGAUGCCUUCGGUCAUCGUGCGGACCAUGGUCGCCUGCGGGGUAGAGCAAAACGAUAUUUUAGAACGAAGAAAACAUUUGGCAUGACUUUCCCUAAAAAUAGGACCAAAAAGAAUGCUUAAUGCCAAAAUUCUCGCCGAAACGGAAAUGAAUCAACAUUCCGGCAAAAUAUUGGCAACUAUCGCAUUUCAAAUACCGGUACACCUCCAAACACAAACACAUAUGCAACACCACAAACAUAUGCAACACCACGAACAUACAUAGAUCUAGCUAGGCCAUAAAAAGUGCAUGUGCACAUUGUUGUAGGGAGAACAACAUAAAUAUAGCUUCCCCCCUUACUUACCUAUCAAAACUAGGUAAUUUAACCACUUAAUUUGAAUGAAUCUAUGGUGGAAAUGAGGUGAAAAAGAGGAGGCACCCGAGACAAGGAGGAGGCGGUGGAGAGAAUGAACUGGGGAGAAAGUGAGUGUAGGAGGAGAGGCUGUCCAAAAUAUCUUGUUGCUGCCCACUUACUAAUGGCGCACCAACCGUAAAUGCGCCAUUAGUAAUCCAGGUUACUAAUGGCGCACCCUCUGGUGGUGCGCCAUUAGUAGUUUUGCAAAAAAAACAUACUAAUGGCGCACUGUUCCACGGUGCGCCAUUACUAGUUUAAACUGGUAAUGGCGCACGGUGGAACAGUGCGCCAUUAGUAGUUUUGCAAAAAAAAGGAAUAAAAAAUAUAAUUAAAAAACAACAUUAGUGGCGCACUUUCUGACAGGUGCGCCAUUACUAGUUACGACUAGUAAUGGCGCACUUCGUCUGGAUGCGCCAUUAGUAUGUUUGGACAGGCGCACUAGUUCAAAAAAAAUUGUUACUAAUGGUGCACCUUGUGCCAGGUGCGCCAUUAGUAGUUUCAACACUAAUGGUGUAUCAGAAGGUGGUGCGCCAUUAGUAUAUACUAAUGGCGCACCACUUGUCUGGUGCGCCAUUAGUAUAUACUAAUGGCGCACCACUUGUCUGGUGCGCCAUUAGUGUCAAUCCCAUCUAUAGCCCUUUUUCUAGUAGUGUCCUUUGCGAAGCUCGUGACUCCAAGGCGCCGGACUCCUCUCCGGACUCCGAACAUUCCGCGCCCCUGCCAAUCGCCGAUUGGGCGCCGAUCAUGGAGUUCACCGCCGCGGACAUCUUUCAGCACUCGCCCUUUGGCGACAUCCUGAAUUCACUAAAGUCUCUCACUUUAUUAGGAGAGCCCUGGCCGGACUAUGGUCAAGAAGGUUGGGAUGCGGACGACGAAGAAAGUCAAAGCCCACCCACCACCCACUUCGUAGCCACUGUCGAUGAUUUAACCGACAUGCUCGACUUCGACUCCGAAGACAUCGACGGUAUGGACGACGAUGUAGGAGACGACCAAGAACCAGCGCCUACAGGGCACUGGAAGGCCACCUCAUCAUACGACAUUUACAUGGUGGACAUCCCAAAAGAUGGGAAUGGCGAUGGAACAACGGAGGAUGACCCCUCCAAGAAACAGCCUAACCGCCGGCGUCAGCGGCGCCGUUCUAAAUCCCGCCAAAGCAAAAACGGUGAUUCCGGCACGGGAGAAAAUAACACCCCAGACAGUGCCGAAGACAACCCCCUCCAGCAGGAUUCAGUGCAGGAGGAUGGAGAAGCUAGCCCUCAUGAGAGAGCGGCAGGCAAAGAGGUAGAGGACGAUAAUUACAUGCCUCUCUCCGAAGACGAGGCAAGCCUCGACGACGACGAAUUUGUCAUGCCUGAGGAUCCCGUCGAACAAGAGCGUUUCAAACGCAGGCUUAUGGCCACGGAAAGCAGCCUCAAGAAAAAGCAGCAGCAACUUAGAGCUGACCAAGAUUUGCUAGCCGAUAGAUGGACUGAAGUCCUGGCGGCCGAAGAGUACGAACUCGAACGCCCCUCCAAGAGCUACCCAAAAUGCAGGCUGCUACCCCGAUUAGAGGAGGAAGCACCUAAACCUACAUCACCAGCGCAUAAUACGGCCGACUGGCCACCUCGUGGCCGCGACAGAGAGGCCUCUCGGCCCUCCACUCAAGCCGCACCCCGGCGCCGCUCAAAAAAUACCAAGGCGCGGGAAAAUGCGCCAGACCUGCGGGAUAUAUUGGAGGACAAGGCAAGGCAAACAAGAUCAAUCUACAGAUCGCGUGGGCGCCCCACGAUACGUGAUGAUAACCGUCACGCCGGAUAUGGCAAUUCCGGCCGGGCCGAACACAAUAGACAAAGCUCAUUUGAGUUGCGUCGUGAUAUAGCCCAAUACAGAGGCGCCGCACACCCACUAUGCUUCACAGAUGAAGUGAUGGAUUAUCAAAUCCCUGAGGGUUUCAAACCCGUGAACAUUGAAUCAUACGAUGGCAUAACAGAUCCUGCGGUCUGGAUCGAGGACUAUCUCCUUCAUAUCCACAUGGCUCAUGGUGAUGAUCUACACGCCAUCAAAUACCUCCCACUCAAGCUUAAAGGACCAGCUCGGCAUUGGCUUAACAGCUUGCCAGCAGAGUCAAUUGGUUGUUGCGAAGACCUGGAAGCCGCAUUCCUCGACAACUUCCAGGGCACCUAUGUGCGACCACCAGACGCCGAUGACCUAAGCCACAUAAUUCAGCAGCCAGAGGAAUCGGCCAGACAAUUCUGGACACGGUUCCUAACCAAGAAAAAUCAAAUUGUCGACUGUCCGGAUGCAGACGCCCUUGCAGCCUUCAAACACAACAUCCGCGACGAGUGGCUUGCCCGGCACCUAGGACAGGAAAAGCCGAAAUCCAUGGCAGCCCUCACAACACUCAUGACCCGCUUUUGCGCGGGAGAGGACAGCUGGCUAGCUCGUAGUAACAAUAUGACCAAGAGCCCUGGUAACUCGGAUACCAAGGACAGCAACGGCAGGUCGCAUCGCAACAAGCACAAGCACCGCAUUGAUGGCGAUAAUGCUGAAGAUACGGUAGUCAAUGCCGGAUUCAGAGGCUCUAAACCCGGUCAGCAAAAAAAUCCAUUUAAAAGAAAUACUCCGGGCCCGUCCAAUUUGGACCGAAUACUCGAUCGCUCAUGCCAGAUACACGGCACCCCCGAAAAACCAGCCAAUCACACCAACAGGGAUUGUUGGGUGUUUAAGCAGGCAGGCAAGUUAAAUGCCAAAAAAGAUGACAAGGGGCUGCAUAGCGACGACGAGGAGGAGCCCAGGCCGCCAAACAAUAGGGACAGAAGGGCGUCCCCCCACAAGUGCAGACGGUGAACAUGAUAUACGCAACCCACAUACCCAAAAGGGAGCAGAAGCGUGCACUAAGGGACGUAUAUGCAAUGGAGCCAGUCGCCCCAAAGUUCAAUCCGUGGUCCUCCUGCCCGAUCACUUUUGAUCGAAGGGACCACCCCACUAGCAUCUGCCAUGGCGGAUUCGCCGCAUUGGUUCUAGACCCAAUCGUUGACGGAUUUCACCUCACUAGAGUCGUGAUGGACGGUGGCAGCAGCCUGAACCUGCUUUAUCAGGAUACAGUGCACAAGAUGGGCUUAGACCCCUCAAGGAUUAAACCCACAAAGACGACCUUCAAAGGUGUCAUACCAGGUGUAGAGGCCAACUGUACAGGCUCAGUUACACUUGAAGUGGUCUUCGGAUCCCCGAAUAACUUCCGAAGCGAGGAGUUAAUCUUCGACAUAGUCCCGUUCCGCAGCGGCUAUCACGCACUGCUCGGGCGAACCGCAUUUGCAAAGUUCAAUGCGGUGCCGCACUAUGCAUACCUCAAGCUCAAGAUGCCAGGCCCUCGAGGAGUCAUUAAGGUCAACGGAAACACCAAACGCUCUCUCUGAACGGAGGAGCAUACGGCGGCCCUCGCAGCGGAAGUACAAAGCAGCCUCUCAAGGCAAUUCUCGAGUCCGGCUAUUAAACGUCCGGACACCGUCAAGCGCGCUCGGAGUAACCUACAACAAGACCGCAUGGCACGUCCCGAGCACGCGUAGCAAUGCGGCCCCAACCCCAGCCCUCGCGGAAUUGCGAAACCAGUACUACACGUACAUAAUUACGCUCUAGAAAUACUAUGAGCAUAGGGGGAGGGCACGACCACAGCAGGCCCAGAAUGCGGCUCAACCGCAUCAGGGGCUCCCAAUUGUGUCAUUCUUCUUUUUUCUCUUACUUUCAGGACUCCUUUCUCAAGAAGCCCUGUCCGGCAGUAGAAUCGCCGAACACACGAUGCAACAGCCAGGCAAGCAGAAAGCUACAUCGAGUGUCCAGGUGGUCUCUAUAACGAGCAGUAUACUUGUUUUACAUAUCAUCCCGCAGCUCGCUCCUAGAGGGAGACAUGUCAAAUAGUCCCGUCCCUUGCUUAUCGCACUAUUUGUAUCGUUCUGCUUUUACCGCAGCCUUUUUGAAUAAACAAUACAUAGCUUCUGCCUAUUAUUGCAUUCCUUUUUUAUCUAUAUAUGUUCACUUAUGACAUGUUGCAUCUGUACGCUUUGGUACGGCCAAAUACACCUGGGGCUUAAGUACCCCAAAAUAUGGUGUGAUAGGUCCGAACACUUUCACAAGUGCGGCACCCCAAACUUAUAGCAUUAUAUGCAUCGGCUCUGAAUCAUGUCUUGGGUCAAUAGUUGGGUUUGCCCAGCUCCCAUGUUUUGGUACCUUACGUUCCGUUAUAUCGGCUAAGGUAGCGUUGGGAGAACCACUGUGAUUGUGCCCCGGCUGAGCUGGGUUAAGCACCUCAGUGGAGAAAGCUAAAACUGACCGUCAUGAUAGGGCGAGAGUCGGUCGCUGUUCGAGAGGUUUUCGAGUCCCUAAAGACUUAUGCCGCUUAGAGCGAGGAGUCGGCUUUGUCCGGCCCAGGCGUGGAUAGCGCCCCGAACUCGGUCUUCCGAAUACUAGGGGCUUCGCGGAAAUUUAAAAUUAUAGAAUUCUAUGGCUAAGUGGGAGUGUUCAAGCAUUAUAGUCCAGUUGCCUUGUUCGUUGCGUUGAGCGCCUCCCUCGAAGGACCCAAGAAUGGGAAAAAAGAGCGCUCAAGUUUAUCCCAAACACCCCAGCACUCGUGGCAUGGGGGCAGAAGCCGACGACUCGCCAUCUCUCAAAUUUCAUAAACGGCCGCACAGAAGGUAAUAUUUUAAAUUCACAAGAGUUGCUUAGCGCAUAUGAACAAGUUUUCAAGCGUACAGGAUAACAAAUGCGAGUUUACUCAAAAAUUACAUCUUUGGAGCAUUCACCCGCUAUAAGGCGGGCACCCUUCAAGACGCCCUCAUAAUAUAUCUCGGGCUUGCGAUACUCCCUGCCCGGCGAUGGAGCGCCCGUCACAAGCUUCUCAGCGUCCAUCUUGCCCGAGUGCAGUUUAGCUCGGGCAAGGGCCCUACGGGCACCUUCGAUGCAGACGGAGCACUUGACGACUUCAAUCCAUGGACAGGCGUCCACCAGCCGCCUCACUAGCCCGAAGUAGCUCCCAGGCAUGGCUUCCUUAGGCCACAGUCGAACUAUGAGGCCCUUCAUGGCCUGUUCGGCCACCUUAUGGAGCUCGACCAGCUGCUUCAGCUGGUCGCUCAAGGGUACCAGGUGUCCGGCCUCAGCAUACUGAGAUCAGAACACCUUCUCCGUCGAGCUCCCCUCCUCGGCCCGGUAGAAUGCGGCAGCGUCGGACACACUGCGGGGCAGAUCUGCGAAUGCUCCUGGAGAGCUCUGGAUUCGGGUAAGUAACAAGUAAUUCACUUUCACGUGCUUGCUUUGCAUGAAGAAUGCCUUACCCGCCGCUAUCUUCUUCGUCGCCUCAAUUUCCUGGAGGGCUUUUUGGGCUUCGGCCUUAGCGGCUUUGGCGCUCUCAAGGGCCGAGGCGAGCUCGGACUCUCGAGUCUUUGAGUCACGCUCCAAACUCUCGUGUUUUUCCACGAGAGCCUGGAGCUCUUGCCGCACCUCCGCCACCCGCGCCUCCUGCUUCUCUCGCUCAGUGUGCUCCGCGGCCGCAUUGCUUUCGGCCUUGGACACCGCUUCCUUCAGGGUCGCCACCUCGUUCGUGGCCCCUGCAAUACUCAUGUUAUUCCUCUCAUUUUUUGCAACCACAUCUUUUAUAUACUUCCAUAAGGUAUUACUUACCUUCCUUGUCCUCGAGCUGCUUUUUGGCAAGGCCGAGCUCGUUCUCGGACCGCUCGAGGCUCUGCUUCAAUGCAUUUACCUCCGUAGUCAGUGCGGCAGAGGUCAGCAGCGCAGCCUGCAUUCCCCAUAUUGACAUACUUAUGUUAGACUCCUGCGUACAUCUUUUUUAGAUCCUCAGCUCGACUUUUCUUUCCGAACACCAAACUGAGCAUGAGGGGCUACUGCCUAUGCGGUAAUAUUUUUACAUAUCUUAAAUACAUACCUCAAAGCCUGUUAGAAGGCUGGCACAGGCUUCAGUCAGCCCGCUCUUGGCAGACUGAACUUUCUGGAUCACCACACUCAUAACAGUGCGGUGCUCCUCGUCGAUGGAGGUGCCGUUAAGCGCCUCCAGCAAAUUAUCCGGUGCCUCCGGUUGGACGGAGGUCACCGGUGUCGCAGUCUCGCCCUUCUUACGAAGGGGCCGCCUGCCGGACUCCGGAACCACUGAAGGUUUCGGUGCAGAGUCUAGCCAGGGCCGGACUUAGAGCCCUUUGGGGUUUUAUCCCCCUUGCGCUUGGAGUCCGGGAGGUUGCCUUGCGGCGCCUCCUAGACCACCUCCUCCUGGCUGGGCCCCUUUUGGGACCCCACCUCGACGUCAUCCGCAGCGCGAGGAGAGGAGGCAGCCGGAAGUGAGGUGCUAUUCACGUCCGACGAAUCCAGGGAGCCGCUCGUUGAAGCAUCGAGCUCGUCAUUGGGCAGGCUGCAGGGUUAUAUUAGGCGUUAGGAGAUACUGACAUACUGUGCAACAAAUGAAACGCCAUGAGUUAUUCUGGUAUCCGAACACUUACGAUUUCGCCAGGGGCUUAGCACUCGGUGGCCACUCCUCUUCGCCGUCGUCGGCGUUGGUGGAGUCGUCCCGAAGAAGGGUCCUUCCCUUCUUGGACCCUCCGGCCUCCCAAGUUGGGGCGGCCUUCCUUUUCUUCUCUCCCCCCGCUAGGGGAGAGGCCUCUUUUUCCUCCUCCUCGUCUUCGUGGGAGGAGUCCGCCUCAGAGUCAUCGGACGACGAGUCCGACAACACCUGGCGCCGGGAACUCUUUCGAGUUCCCGUGGCCUUCUUCUUGGCCUUCUUCUCCGGCACCACAUGAGGUGCCGGAACCAGCAGCCCCGUCAAUUGGGCGUCCGCUGGAUCUUCUGGCAAGGGAGCCGGACAGUUAACCUGCCUGGACGUCUUUUGCCAGGCCUGUCAAAGGUAGGGGAGUUUAGAUCCCGCAUAGAGUCAAACUAUGGAAAACAAGAGUCCCGUAAAGGGUAAAAUAGCUUACCUCGCUGGCUUGACGCCGCGAGCUGAAUCCGCGAUCUUCGGUAGCGGAUGCGGGAGCCUCGACGCCCUUGAACAGCACCUUCCAGGCAUCUUCGUACAUAGUGUCGAAGAGCCUGUCCAAGGUUUGGUGUUGUGCCGGAUCAAACUCCCACAAGUUGAAGGCCCGUAGUUGGCACGGGAGGAUCCGGUGGAUGAGCAUGACCUGGACUACGUUGACAAGCUUGAGCUUCUUGUUCACCAGGUUUUGGAUGCAGGUUUGGAGUCCGGUCAGCUCUUCCGAAUUACCCCAUGUCAGGCCCGUCUCCUUCCAGGAGGUGAGCCGUGUAGGGAAGCCAUAUCGGAAUUCGGGGGCCGCCGCCCAUUUAGGGUCAUGCCGCUCGGUGAUGUAGAACCACCCCGAUUGUCAUCCCUUUAUGGUCUCCACGAAGGAGCCCUCGAGCCAUAGGACGUUGGCCAUCUUGCCCACCAUGGCACCUCCGCACUCUGCUUGGCGGCCGUCCACUACCUUCGGCUUGACAUUGAAGGUCUUCAGCGAUAAGCCGAAGUGAGGCUGGAUGCAGAGGAAGGCCUCGCACACGACGAUGAAUGCCGAGAUGUUGAGGAUGAAAUUCGGGGCCAGAUCGUGGAAAUCCAGGCCGUAGUAGAACAUGAGCCCCCGGACAAAUGGGAGAAGUGGAAAACCUAGUCCGCGGAGGAAGUGGGGGAGGAACACCUGAAGGAAAUAUGCCCUAGAGGCAAUAAUAAAGUUAUUAUUUAUUUCCUUAUUUCAUGAUAAAUGUUUAUCAUUCAUGCUAGAAUUGUAUUAACCGGAAACAUGAUACAUGUGUGAAUGCAUAGACAAAACAAUAUGUCACUAGUAUGCCUCUACUAGACUAGCUUGUUAAUCAAAGAUGGUUAUGUUUCCUGACCAUGAACAAAGAGUUGUUAUUUGAUUAACAAGGUCACAUCAUUAGUAGAAUGAUCUGAUUGACAUGACCCAUUCCAUUAGCUUAGCACACGAUCGUUUAGUAUGUUGCUACUGCUUUUAUCCAUGAUUUAUACAUGUUCCUGUAACUAUGAGAUUAUGCAACUCCCGUUUACCGGAGGAACACUUUGGGUGCUACCAAACGUCAUAACGUAACUGGGUGAUUAUAAAGGAGUACUACAGGUGUCUCCAAAGGCAGAUGUUGGGUUGGCGUAUUUCGAGAUUAGGUUUUGUCACUCCGAUUGUCGGAGAGGUAUCUCUGGGCCCUCUCGGUAAUGCACAUCACUGAAGCCUUGCAAGCACUACAACUAAUGAGUUAGUUGUGAGAUGAUGUAUUACGGAACGAGUAAAGAGACUUGCCGGUAACGAGAUUGAACUAGGUAUUGGAUACCGACGAUCGAAUCUCGGGCAAGUAACAUACUGAUGACAAAGGGAACAACGUAUGUUGUUAUGCGGUCUGACCGAUAAAGAUCUUCGUAGAAUAUGUAGGAACCAAUAUGGGCAUCCAGGUCCCGCUAUUGGUUAUUGACCGGAGACGUGUCUUGGUCAUGUCUACAUUGUUCUCGAACCGUAGGGUCCGCACGCUUAAGGUUUCGAUGACAGUUAUUAUGAGUUUAUGUAUUUUGAUGUACCGAAGAAGUUCGGAGUCCCGGAUGUGAUCACGGACAUGACGAGGAGUCUCGAAAUGGUCGAGACAUAAAGAUUGAUAUAUUGGAAGCCUAUGUUUGGAGUUCGGAAUGGUUCCGGGUGAAAACAGGAAUUUACCGGAGUACCGGGAGGUUACCGGAACCCCCCGGGAGGUAAAUGGGCCUCGGUGGGCCUCGAGGGAGAAGAGGAGGGGCCGGCCAGGGGUGGCCGCGCGCCCCCUCCCCCCCCAGUCCGAAUAGGACAAGGAGGGGGGGCGGCGCCCCCCCCUUUCCUCUUUCCCCCUUCCCCAAUCCUAUUCCAACUAGGAAAAGGGGGGGAGUCCUACUCCCGGUGGGAGUAGGACUCCUCCGGCGCGCCCCCCUUGGGCCGGCCGCACCUCCCCCCUCCCUCCUUUAUAUACGGGGGCAGGGGGGCACCCUAGAACACACAAGUUUGAUCUACGGAUCAUUCCUUAGCCGUGUGCGGUGCCCCCCUCCACCAAAUUCCACCUCGGUCAUACCGUCGCGAAGCUUAGGCGAAGCCCUGCGCCGGUGAAACAUCAAGAUUGUCACCACGCCGUCGUGCUGACGAAACUCUCCCUCGACACUCGGCUGGAUCAGAGUACGAGGGACGUCAUCGAGCUGUACGUGUGUCAAGAACUCGGGGGCGCCGGAGUAACGGCGCCGGGAUCGGUCGGAUCGCGAGGAGAACGUACGACUACUUCCUCUACGUUGUGAUCGCUUCCGCUUCGGGUCUACAAGGGUACGUAGACAACACUCUCCCCUCUCGUUGCUAUGCAUCACCAUGAUCUUGCGUGUGCGUAGGAAAUUUUUUUGAAAUUACUACGUUCCCCAACAGUGGUAUCCGAGCCUAGGUUUUUAUGGUUUGAUGUUUUGCACGAGUAGAACACAAGCGAGUUGUGGGCGAUACAAGUCAUACUACCUACCAGCAUGUCAUACUUUGGUUCAGCGGUAUUGUGAGAUGAAGCGGCCCAGACCGACAUUACGCGUACGCUUACGCGAGACUGGUUUCACCGCUACGAGCACUCGUUGCUUAAAGGUGACUGGUGGGUGCCUGUCUCUCUCACUUUAGUUGAACCGAGUGUGGCUACGCCCGGUCCUUGAGAAGGUUAAAACGGAGUCUAUUUGACGAAGUAUCGUUGUGGUUUUGAUGCGUAGGUGAGACUGGAUCUUGCUAAAGCCCGUAGCAGCCACGUAAAAUUUGCAACAACAAAGUAGAGGACGUCUAACUUGUUUUUGCAGGGCAUGUUGUGAUGUGAUAUGGUCAAGACGUGAUGCUAUAUUUUAUUGUAUGAGAUGAUCAUGUUUUGUAACCGAAGUUAUCGGCAACUGGCAGGAGCCAUAUGGUUGUCGCUUUAUUGUAUGCAAUGCAAUCGCCCUGUAAUGCUUUACUUUAUCACUAAGCGGUAGCGAUAGUCGUAGAAGCAUAAGAUUGGCGAGACGACAACGAUGCUAUGAUAAAGAUCAAGGUGUCGCGCCGGUGACGAUGGUGAUCAUGGUGGUGCUGCAAGAUGGAGAUCAUGAAGCACAAGAUGAUGAUGACCAUAUCAUAUCACUUAUAUUGAUUUGCAUGUGAUGUUUAUCUUUUUAUGCAUCUUAUCUUGCUUUGAUUGACGGUAGCAUUAUAAGAUGAUCUCUCACUAAAUUAUCAAGAAGUGUUCUCCCCGAGUAUGCACUGUUGCCAAAGUUCGUCGUGCCCAGACACCACGUGAUGAUCGGGUGUGAUAAGCUCUACGUCCAUCUACAACGGGUGCAAGCCAGUUUUGCACACGCAGAAUACUCGGGUUAUACUUGACGUGCCUAGCAUAUGCAGAUAUGGCCUCGGAACACGGAGACCGAAAGGUCGAGCGUGAAUCAUAUAGUAGAUAUGAUCAACAUAAGAUGUUCACCAUUGAAAACUACUCCAUUUCACGUGAUGAUCGGUUAUGGUUUAGUUGAUUUGGAUCACGUGAUCACUUGGAUGACUAGAGAGAUGUCUUUCUAAGUGGGAGUUCUUAAGUAAUAUGAUUAAUUGAACUUAAAUUUAUCAUGAACUUAGUACCUGAUAGUAUCUUGCUUGUUUAUGUUUGAUUGUAGAUAGAUGGCUCGUGCUGUUGUUCCGUUGAAUUUUAAUGCGUUCCUUGAGAAAGCAAAGUUGAAAGAUGAUGGUAGCAAUUACACGGACUGGGUCCGUAACUUGAGGAUCAUCCUCAUUGCUGCACAGAAGAGUUACGUCCUGGAUGCACCGCUGGGUGCCAAGCCUGCUGCUGAUGCAACUGACGACGUUAAGAACGUCUGGCAGAGCAAAGCUGAUGACUACUCUAUAGUUCAGUGUGCCAUGCUUUACGGCUUAGAACCGGGACUUCAACGACGUUUUGAACGUCAUGGAGCAUAUGAGAUGUUCCAGGAGUUGAAGUUGAUAUUCCAACAGAAUGCCCGGAUUGAGAGAUAUGAAGUCUCCAAUAAGUUCUAUAGCUGCAAGAUGGAGGAGAAUAGUUCUGUUAGUGAGCACAUACUCAGAAUCUCUGGGUACUACAAUCACUUGACACAAUUGGGAGUUAAUCUUCCGGAUGAUUGUGUCAUUGACAGAAUUCUUCAAUCACUGCCACCAAGCUACAAAGGCUUCGUGAUGAACUAUAAUAUGCAAGGGUUAGUAAAGACUAUGCCUGAGCUCUUCGCAAUGCUAAAGGCUGCGGAGGUAGAAAUCAAGAAGGAGCAUCAAGUGUUGAUGGUCAAUAAGACCACUAGUUUCAAGAAGAAAGGCAAAGGGAAGAAGAAGGGGAACUUCAAGAAGAACAGCAAGCAAGUUGCUGCUCAGGAGAAGAAACCCAAGUCUGGACCUAAGCCUGAAACUGAGUGCUUCUACUGCAAGCAGACUGGUCACUGGAAGCGGAACUGCCCCAAGUAUUUGGCGGAUAAGAAGGAUGGCAAGGUGAACAAAGGUAUAUGUGAUAUACAUGUUAUUGAUGUGUACCUUACUAGAGCUCGCAGUAGCACCUGGGUAUUUGAUACUGGUUCUGUUGCUAAUAUUUGCAACUCGAAACAGGGACUACGGAUUAAGCGAACACUGGCAAAGGACGAGGUGACGAUGCGCGUGGGAAAUGGUUCCAAAGUCGAUGUGAUCGCGGUCGGCACGCUACCUCUACAUCUACCUUCGGGAUUAGUUUUAGACCUAAAUAAUUGUUAUUUGGUGCCUGCGUUGAGCAUGAACAUUAUAUCUGGAUCUUGUUUGAUGCGAGACGGUUAUUCAUUUAAAUCAGAGAAUAAUGGUUGUUCUAUUUAUAUGAGUAAUAUCUUUUAUGGUCAUGCACCCUUGAGGAGUGGUCUAUUUUUGAUGAAUCUCGAUAGUAGUGAUACACAUAUUCAUAAUGUUGAAACCAAAAGAUGCAGAGUUGAUAAUGAUAGUGCAACUUAUUUGUGGCCCUGCCGUUUAGGUCAUAUCGGUGUAAAACGCAUGAAGAAACUCCAUACUGAUGGACUUUUGGAGUCACUUGAUUAUGAAUCACUUGGCACUUGCGAACCGUGCCUCAUGGGCAAGAUGACUAGAACCCCGUUCUCCGGUACUAUGGAGAGAGCAACAGAUUUGUUGGAAAUCAUACAUACAGAUGUAUGUGGUCCGAUGAAUGUUGAGGCUCGUGGCGGAUAUCGUUAUUUUCUCACCUUCACAGAUGAUUUAAGCAGAUAUGGGUAUAUCUACUUAAUGAAACAUAAGUCUGAAACAUUUGAAAAGUUCAAAGAAUUUCAGAGUGAAGUUGAAAAUCAUCGUAACAAGAAAAUUAAAUUUCUACGAUCUGAUCGUGGAGGUGAAUAUUUGAGUUACGAGUUUGGUCUAAAUUUGAAACAAUGCGGAAUAAUUUCGCAACUCACGCCACCCGGAACACCACAGCGUAAUGGUGUGUCCGAACGUCGUAAUCGCACUUUACUAGAUAUGGUGCGAUCUAUGAUGUCUCUUACAGAUUUACCGCUAUCGUUUUGGGGUUAUGCUCUAGAGACGGCCGCAUUCACACUGAAUAGAACACCGUCGAAAUCCGUUGAGACGACACCUUAUGAACUGUGGUUUAGCAAGAAACCAAAGUUGUCGUUUCUUAAAGUUUGGGGAUGCGAUGCUUAUGUGAAAAAGCUUCAACCUGAUAAGCUCGAACCCAAAUCGGAGAAAUGUGUCUUCAUAGGAUACCCAAAGGAGACAGUUGGGUACACCUUCUAUCACAGAUCCGAAGGCAAGACAUUCGUUGCUAAGAAUGGAUCCUUUCUAGAGAAGGAGUUUCUCUCGAAAGAAGUGAGUGGGAGGAAAGUGGAACUUGAUGAGGUAAUAGUACCUUCUCCCUUACUUGAAAGUAGUUCGUCGCAGAAACCGGUUUCUGAGACAUCUACACCAAGUAGUGAGGAAGUUGAUGAUGUUGAUCAUGAAACUUCAGAUCAAGUUACUACAGAACCUCGUAGAUCAACCAGAGUAAGAUCCGCACCAGAGUGGUACGGUAAUCCUGUUCUGGAAGUCAUGCUACUAGAUCAUGAUGAACCUACGAACUAUGAAGAAGCGAUGGUGAGCCCAGAUUCCGCAAAAUGGCUUGAGGCCAUGAAAUCUGAGAUGGGAUCCAUGUAUGAAAACAAAGUAUGGACUUUGGUUGACUUGCCCGAGGGUCGGCAAGCAAUAGAAAACAAGUGGAUCUUCAAGAAGAAGACUGACGCUGACGGUAAUGUUACUGUCUACAAAGCUCGACUUGUCGCAAAGGGUUUUCGACAAGUUCAAGGGAUUGACUACGAUGAGACCUUCUCACCCGUAGCGAUGCUUAAGUCCGUCCGAAUCAUGUUAGCAAUUGCUGCAUUUUAUGAUUAUGAAAUUUGGCAAAUGGAUGUAAAGACUGCAUUCCUGAAUGGAUUUCUGGAAGAAGAGUUGUAUAUGAUGCAACCAGAAGGUUUUAUCGAUCCAAAGAGAGCUAACAAAGUGUGCAAGCUCCAGCGAUCCAUCUAUGGACUGGUGCAAGCAUCUCGGAGUUGGAAUAAACGCUUUGAUAGUGUGAUCAAAGCAUUUGGGUUUGUACAGACUUUUGGAGAAGCCUGUAUUUACAAGAAAGUGAGUGGGAGCUCUGUAGCAUUUCUGAUAUUAUAUGUAGAUGACAUAUUGCUGAUCGGAAAUGAUAUAGAAUUUCUGAAUAGCAUAAAGGGAUACUUGAAUAAGAGUUUUUCAAUGAAAGACCUCGGUGAAGCUGCUUACAUAUUGGGCAUUAAGAUCUAUAGAGAUAGAUCAAGACGCUUGAUUGGACUUUCACAAAGCACAUACCUUGACAAAAUUUUGAAGAAGUUCAAAAUGGAUCAAGCAAAGAAAGGGUUCUUGCCUGUGUUACAAGGUGUGAAGUUGAGUAAAACUCAAUGCCCGACCACUGCAGAAGAUAGAGAGAAAAUGAAAGAUGUUCCCUAUGCUUCAGCCAUAGGCUCUAUCAUGUAUGCAAUGCUGUGUACCAGACCUGAUGUGUGCCUUGCUAUAAGCCUAGCAGGGAGGUACCAAAGUAAUCCAGGAGUGGAUCACUGGACAGCGGUCAAGAACAUCCUGAAAUACCUGAAAAGGACUAAGGAUAUGUUUCUCGUAUAUGGAGGUGACAAAGAGCUCAUCGUAAACGGUUACGUUGAUGCAAGCUUUGACACUGAUCCGGACGAUUCUAAAUCGCAGACCGGAUACGUAUUUACACUAAACGGAGGAGCUGUCAGUUGGUGCAGUUCUAAACAAAGCGUCGUAGCAGGAUCUACAUGUGAAGCGGAGUACAUAGCAGCUUCGGAAGCAGCUAAUGAAGGAGUCUGGAUGAAGGAGUUCAUAUCCGAUCUAGGUGUCAUACCUAGUGCAUCGGGUCCAAUGAAAAUCUUCUGUGACAAUACUGGAGCAAUUGCCUUAGCGAAGGAAUCCAGAUUUCACAAGAGGACCAAGCACAUCAAGAGACGCUUCAAUUCCAUCCGGGACUUAGUCCAGGUUGGAGACAUAGAGAUUUGCAAGAUACAUACGGAUCUGAAUGUUGCAGACCCAUUGACUAAGCCUCUUCCACGAGCAAAACAUGAUCAGCACCAAGACUCCAUGGGUGUUAGAAUCAUUACUAUGUAAUCUAGAUUAUUGACUCUAGUGCAAGUGGGAGACUGAAGGAAAUAUGCCCUAGAGGCAAUAAUAAAGUUAUUAUUUAUUUCCUUAUUUCAUGAUAAAUGUUUAUCAUUCAUGCUAGAAUUGUAUUAACCGGAAACAUGAUACAUGUGUGAAUGCAUAGACAAAACAAUAUGUCACUAGUAUGCCUCUACUAGACUAGCUUGUUAAUCAAAGAUGGUUAUGUUUCCUGACCAUGAACAAAGAGUUGUUAUUUGAUUAACAAGGUCACAUCAUUAGUAGAAUGAUCUGAUUGACAUGACCCAUUCCAUUAGCUUAGCACACGAUCGUUUAGUAUGUUGCUACUGCUUUUAUCCAUGAUUUAUACAUGUUCCUGUAACUAUGAGAUUAUGCAACUCCCGUUUACCGGAGGAACACUUUGGGUGCUACCAAACGUCAUAACGUAACUGGGUGAUUAUAAAGGAGUACUACAGGUGUCUCCAAAGGCAGAUGUUGGGUUGGCGUAUUUCGAGAUUAGGUUUUGUCACUCCGAUUGUCGGAGAGGUAUCUCUGGGCCCUCUCGGUAAUGCACAUCACUGAAGCCUUGCAAGCACUACAACUAAUGAGUUAGUUGUGAGAUGAUGUAUUACGGAACGAGUAAAGAGACUUGCCGGUAACGAGAUUGAACUAGGUAUUGGAUACCGACGAUCGAAUCUCGGGCAAGUAACAUACUGAUGACAAAGGGAACAACGUAUGUUGUUAUGCGGUCUGACCGAUAAAGAUCUUCGUAGAAUAUGUAGGAACCAAUAUGGGCAUCCAGGUCCCGCUAUUGGUUAUUGACCGGAGACGUGUCUUGGUCAUGUCUACAUUGUUCUCGAACCGUAGGGUCCGCACGCUUAAGGUUUCGAUGACAGUUAUUAUGAGUUUAUGUAUUUUGAUGUACCGAAGAAGUUCGGAGUCCCGGAUGUGAUCACGGACAUGACGAGGAGUCUCGAAAUGGUCGAGACAUAAAGAUUGAUAUAUUGGAAGCCUAUGUUUGGAGUUCGGAAUGGUUCCGGGUGAAAACAGGAAUUUACCGGAGUACCGGGAGGUUACCGGAACCCCCCGGGAGGUAAAUGGGCCUCGGUGGGCCUCGAGGGAGAAGAGGAGGGGCCGGCCAGGGGUGGCCGCGCGCCCCCUCCCCCCCAGUCCGAAUAGGACAAGGAGGGGGGGGCGGCGCCCCCCCCCCUUUCCUCUUUCCCCCUUCCCCAAUCCUAUUCCAACUAGGAAAAGGGGGGAGUCCUACUCCCGGUGGGAGUAGGACUCCUCCGGCGCGCCCCCCUUGGGCCGGCCGCACCUCCCCCCUCCCUCCUUUAUAUACGGGGGCAGGGGGGCACCCUAGAACACACAAGUUUGAUCUACGGAUCGUUCCUUAGCCGUGUGCGGUGCCCCCCUCCACCAAAUUCCACCUCGGUCAUACCGUCGUGAAGCUUAGGCGAAGCCCUGCGCCGGUGAAACAUCAAGAUUGUCACCACGCCGUCGUGCUGACGAAACUCUCCCUCGACACUCGGCUGGAUCGGAGUACGAGGGACGUCAUCGAGCUGUACGUGUGUCAAGAACUCGGGGGCGCCGGAGUAACGGCGCCGGGAUCGGUCGGAUCGCGAGGAGAACGUACGACUACUUCCUCUACGUUGUGAUCGCUUCCGCUUUGAGUCUACAAGGGUACGUAGACAACACUCUCCCCUCUCGUUGCUAUGCAUCACCAUGAUCUUGCGUGUGCGUAGGAAAUUUUUUUGAAAUUACUACGUUCCCCAACAACACCACCCUAUCAUGGGGCCUGGGGGUGGGGAUAAGCUGCCCCUUGUCGGGGAGCCGAUGCGCGAUGUCGCUGGACAAGUAUCCGGCCUUCCGUAGCUUUUUGAUGUGCCUCUCCAUGACGGAGGAGACCAUCCACUUGCCUCCCCCUCCGGACAUGGCUGGGGAAGGUUGAGGCGAGAUGUGCGGACUUGGGCACUGGAGCUCGAGUGCGCGGAAAUGGAUGAGCAAAGGAGGAAGAAGGCGUAGGUAAAAAGCUGGAUCCUUAUCCCCUUAUAUGGACGGACGAAGCUAUGCGUCCCCACCAACCUGGUAAAACUCGCUUAUCUCCCAAGCGCCGUAAUCAAUGGCGCGGUAGGGUUACCCACGCCCGUAUUGAUGAGAAUCCCGGAAUAAGGGGAUACGAUCUCUGCUUUGACAAGACGUGCCAAGGAAAACCGCCUCGCUAAACACGCUGAGGUGGGACAGUAAAAACGAUUCGAAUAAAGGCUUGGCCGUGGUGUGAUGUCACGCCACGAAAUACGUCAGCAGGUUGAAUUUGUGUAAAUAUUAUUCUCUCUACGGUGGUAUGUGGAACUUAUUUUGCAGAACCGGACACUAUCCUUGUGUUCAAAAUCUUCUAUGAAGUAUUCGGAGGAGGAACCCGCCUUGCAAUGCCGAAGACAAUAUGCGCGCCGGACUCGUCGUCAUUGAAGCCUGGUUCAGGGGCUACUGAGGGAGUCCUGGAUUAGGGGGUGUCCGGAUGGCCGGACUAUAGCCUUUGGCCGGACUCCUAGACUAUGAAGAUAUAAGAUUGAAGACUUCGUCCCGUGUCCGAAUGGGACUUUCCUUGGCAUGGAAGGCAAGCUUGGUGAUACGGAUAUGUAGAUCUCCUACCAUUGUAACCGAUUCUGUGUAACCCUAACCCUCUUCAGUGCCUAUAUAAACCGGAGGGUUUUAGUCCAUAGGACAGGACAACAAUCAUACCAUAGGCUAGCUUCUAGGGUUUAGCCUCUCUGAUCUCGUGGUAGAUCUACUCUUGUACUACCCAUAUCAUCAAUAUUAAUCAAGCAGGAGUAGGGUUUUACCUCCAUNNNNNNNNNNNNNNNNNNNNNNNNNNNNNNNNNNNNNNNNNNNNNNNNNNNNNNNNNNNNNNNNNNNNNNNNNNNNNNNNNNNNNNNNNNNNNNNNNNNNNNNNNNNNNNNNNNNNNNNNNNNNNNNNNNNNNNNNNNNNNNNNNNNNNNNNNNNNNNNNNNNNNNNNNNNNNNNNNNNNNNNNNNNNNNNNNNNNNNNNNNNNNNNNNNNNNNNNNNNNNNNNNNNNNNNNNNNNNNNNNNNNNNNNNNNNNNNNNNNNNNNNNNNNNNNNNNNNNNNNNNNNNNNNNNNNNNNNNNNNNNNNNNNNNNNNNNNNNNNNNNNNNNNNNNNNNNNNNNNNNNNNNNNNNNNNNNNNNNNNNNNNNNNNNNNNNNNNNNNNNNNNNNNNNNNNNNNNNNNNNNNNNNNNNNNNNNCGGUUAUGACACCGACAGACGGGAUGAGGCAUCCUUCCUGAUGGCGACGACACAGAGGAACUCUCAAUGAAAGCACCAAUGUCGGUGUCAAAACCGGCGGAUCUCGGGUAGGGGGUCCCGAACGGUGCGUCUAGGCGGAUGGUAACAGGAGACAAGGGACACGAUGUUUUUAACCAGGUUCGGGCCCUCUCGAUGGAGGUAAAACCCUACUCCUGCUUGAUUAAUAUUGAUGAUAUGGGUAGUACAAGAGUGGAUCUACCACGAGAUCAGAGAGGCUAAACCCUAGAAGCUAGCCUAUGGUAUGAUUGUUGUUCGUCCUACGGACUAAAACCCUUCGGUUUAUAUAGGCACCAAAGAGGGUUAGGGUUACACAGAGUCGGUUACAAUGGUAGGAGAUCUACAUAUCCGUAUCGCCAAGCUUGCCUUCCACGCCAAGGAAAGUCCCAUCCGGACACGGGACGAAGUCUUCAAUCUUGUAUCUUCAUAGUCCAGGAGUCCGGCCAAAGGUGAUAGUUCGGCUAUCCGGACACCCCCUAAUCCGGGACUCCCUUAGCUGGGCUGCACAGUUGGGCCGCCAGGUAAGGUUUUCUCCUGUCUCUAGUUUUUUCUAAUUUGUUUUCUUUUCUAUUUCUUUCUGUUUUGUUUUGAUUUAGUAAAAAUACCAAACCAUUUGAUAAAAUGUUGAAAAUAACUGUGGGCACUUGUGAAAUUAUUCCCAACAGCCCUCAAGUAGUUUCCGAAUUAUUAGAGCAUUUAAAAUAUGUAUAGGAUUUAAAUGCCCUAAUUCAAAUACAAUAUGAGUUAAUUUAAAAAUCCAAAAAUGAUCUAAGAAUAUAUUCAUCAUUUUUCGCAGAGGUUUCCACCUUAACCAGAAAUCAUGAACUUUUCUUAGGGACAUUUUGGGUUUAUUGAAAAGAUUUUAUGGUUGACCCUAUUUGAUUUAAUUUUGGUGCUAGGGUUUGUCAAUCCCCAUUUCAACUUAAAUAAAAUUUAAACAUGGUACAACAAGAUGCAAACACCAGGCAGUACCAGAAGCUAGGGAUGUGUGUGAGAGAGAGAGAUCAAACACAUAGCUACUGGUACAUACCCUCAACCCUGAGGGAGAACUACUCCUUCCUCGUCAUGGAGACCGUCGGGAUGAUGAAGAUGGCCUCAGGUGAUGAUUUCCCCCUUCGGCAGGGUGCCGGAACAGGGCUCCAGAUGAGAUCGCUUCAGUAUAGAGGCUUGCGGCGGUGGAGCGGAAGUUCUAGGUUUCUUUCUAGGGUUUUUGGUAUUUAUAAGAAUUGUUGGCGUUGGUUUCAGUUAAGGGGGCCCACGAGGGAGUGACAAGCCUACCCGGCGUGCCCCCCAGGAACGUCGCUUCAUUGUGAGGCUUCUGGUCGUUCCUCGAAGCUUUGGCGGCCUCUUUUGGUCCAUACAAAUCACCGUAAAUUUUCAGCCCAUUCCAAGAACUUUUAUUUCUGCACAAAAAGACAACACCACGGUAGUUCUGCUGAAAACAGUGUCAGUCCGGGUUAGUUCUAAUCAAAUCAUACCAAAACCAUAUAAAAUUAUUGCAAACAUGACAUGAAUACUUCAUAAAUUAUAGAUACGUUGGAGACGUAUCAAGGUGGUAAAACCCUACAUCAUGCUCUUGUUUAUAUGGGGAUGUAUCAAGUACAUAGUCGAUCUACCUCGAGAGCAUAAGUUGUGGACUAAACCUUAAGGCUAAUGAUGAUGAAUGAAUUGAUGUCUCUCUACGGGCUAAAUCCUCUAGCUUAUAUAAACGCCGGGGUAAGUAAGGUUACACAGGGUCGGUUUCUAUCUAGGGGUUACAUGCCAAACCUAAUAGAUACCCUUGGAGUGCGCGCCAAGUCCUCGUUGAAGCCAAUAUGCUCAUGCCACAGGUUAGAGGCCUUUGGAGUCCUUCCUCAUCAACGGGCUAUCAGUCCAGCCAACGGACUAGACCAGCUAGGUCGGGACCCCCUAACCAGGACACCAUCAAUUGUAGACAGACGGUGAGCCCCCGCGCCACACCGUGCCUGUCGGGGGAAACAACCCCACCGCCGCUGCUCGGGCUAUGCCUGGCAACACUCGCCGACAAUGGAGAGGGAAGGGGGUAUGGUGAGAAAUCUAUCCAACGAUGGGUGAGUGCUCCGGGUCGCCCGCGUGGGUGCGACUCGGGGGGGGGGGAGCAUUUUUUUCCUAUAGGUGUGCAUGUUUGUCAGGACCCCGACUCAAUGUCACAUCGAUCUAGCCUGUAACACCUCAUAUCACUUUGCGGCCUCACGCACGGUAUUCCCACGGGUGUCUCCUUACCUUUGCCCGGGACCGUUUGCGCCUUUUGGCCCACGUAUAUGAUAGUGUCGCUAGCAUCCAUAUGAUAAGGAGCCCGGGCUGACAUGGCUAGUCGUAAACCCAAAGUGGCACAGACUUACAGGGACAGGCAUCCAUGACCCAGCAUCGAACGUGUCGGUCAUCAGCGAGUGAGUUCCGGGUUGUAGCACUAGGCUAGCAGGACUCCGGUAAACCGGGCUGUAGCGGGCUAACAGGACUCCGGUACUCAACGCGUGACAUUUCCCCGAAGGGACAGACACAGGAACGAAGAAGGACACAUGCCGGCCAGCCUAAGUGUUUCGGAGCAGUAGCAAGCUACCAUGGCUCGGUGGAAACACUAGGAGACAUUUCCCGGUAAGAGAGGCUACUAAAGAUAAACAACUAGAUAGUCAGAUCCCACACAUACCAAGCAUUUCAAUAACAUACACACAAUAUGCUCGAUAUGUGCAAAUACAACAUGGCAUCACAACAUGACUCUAUGACUCAAGUAUUUAGUCAUUAGGCUCCGAAGAGCGAGAUAUUACAAACAGGGGUCUCAUGACCCAACAUUCAGAGCAUACAAAUCAAACACAGGCGGAAGCUAACAUGUCUGAGUACAGACAUCUACAAAUGAAAAAGGCUUAGAAGCCUGACUAUCUACCAGAUCCUGCCGAGGGCACAAGAUCGUAGCUGAGGUAUCAAGCUAAACGUCGAAGCCCACGUGGAACUACUAGCGAGACUGAAGUCUCUCUGCAAAAACAUAAAAUAGGCAAACGUGAGUACAAAUGUACCCAGCAAGACUUACAUCAGAACUAACUACAUAUGCAUCAUUAUCAACAAAGGGAUGGUGGGGUUUAACUGCAGCAAGCCAGCUUUGACUCGGUGGCUAUCCUGAACUACUAUUGCAAGUAACUCUUUUGAGGUGGCGCACACGAGUCCACAUAUUCACCAUAUCAAUACACCACUAUGGAUCCGCUCCGUCUCCCUACGAGAACGCCAUCCAUAGCACUCACGCUUAUCUUGCGUAUUUUAGAGUAUCCACUUUCACUUGUCUAUGAACUGUUAUAGGCAACCCAGAAGUCCUUUACCGCGGACACGGCUAUUCGAAUAGAUAAUGUUAACCCUGCAGGGGUGUACUUCUUCACACACGCUCUCACCACUUACCGCCGUUUACACGACAUGUACUCGGCAACCUUCAAGCGGAAGCCCAACGUGGGUGUCGGCCACGACCUACCUAAACACUCAAGUCCCUAGUCCAGGUUUAUCGCCUAUUUGGGUUCCAUCUAUGAGGAGUUCCGGCCGAAGUUUCGCUCACAGCCCCAAACGAUGUGAACAGGGUUCCCGAGACACCAAACGGGCGCCCGGUACACCGUGCCACGUGCCUACUGCAUCACAGCCCACCCCUACGGUCAGCGCUGCGCACGGCCUCCAGCAUACUACAAACACCAGAAACUACUUGCAACUCCUGGACAGAGGACAAGGGUGAUUAAGAAGCCGAGAGGGUCCAUUGGUUUCGGGCCCAAUGCGUGGUAGUAGCUGAAUCAUGGAUCACAAACACAGAACUCAGUUCCUGAGGACGGCUGCAAUGAGACAACCCACCAUGUACUCCUACAUGGCCUCUCACCGCUACCUUUACCAAAUCGUGUUCACACACUUAGCUCACACACAGUAGGACAUGUUCACACACCUCCGAUUCAUCCUCGAUGAAUCAGACCUGACUCAACUCUAAGCAGUAGCAGGCAUGAAAAACAAACAUGAAUGAGUAGGCACAACAGGGCUCAAACAACUCCUACUCAUGCUAGUGGGUUUCAUCUAUUUACUGUGGAAUGACAGGUCAUGCAAAGGAUAAAGGGGUUCAGCUACCGCAACAAGUAACAGAUGAAUCGUUGUUGUCCUAAUGCAGUAAAAGAGAGCAGGAGCGAGAGAGUGGGAUUGUAUCGGAAUGAACAAGGGGGUUUUGCUUGCCUGGCACUUCUGAAGAUAGCAUUGAGUCUUCAUCAGUGUCAACGAUCACAGCGUCGGUACAACGUCUAUCGAGGGGGAACAACACCGACAAACAGAGAAGAAACACAAUCAAUGCAAUGCGACAAUAUGAUGCAUGCUAUGACAUGGCAAUAUGAUGUGUGAUAGGUCUAAUGCAACUUGGAACAUAAAGGUUUGAGUCCAUUUGAACCAAGGAUUCAAAUGAUCACCCAAAAUAAUAAGUGAUAUAAGUGCAUUAGCUUGUUUCUCAUAAACAACAAGGUUAAAGUGUUCUGACAUGCAUGAAACUAGUACAGAUGGAAAGAUUGGAUUUUUCUGAUCAUUUUUCAUAUAUAAUUUGUUUGAUUUGGAGCUACGGUUGAAUUUCUAUGAAUUUUAGAAGUUUUGGAAUAUUUUCUGGAAUUUCCUGUAUAAAAAUAAAUCCAGAAAAUAUUCAUUGCGUCAGCAUUGCGUCACUAUGACGUCAGCAGGUCAACAGACACUGCUGCUGGUCAAACCUGACCAGUGGGGUCCACUGGUCAGUGACUGGGGCUGGUUAGUGCCGCUGACGUGUGGGCCCAGUCAACGGCCACGUCGGCACGGUCAAAACUGGCGCGUGGGGCCACUGUAGUUAGAUUAAACUUAAUCUAUUUUAGUUAGCCGGUUAGUUAGGGGGUGGGGCCCGGCUGUCUGUGACACGGUGCGGUGGUUAGUGGCUAAUUAAGCCAGCCACGUCAGCUUGGUCAAACCCGGGUCAACUCGCCGGAGUUGACCCGCGGCUCAUCGCCGGCGACGCCAGCAACGGCGGAGGGCGUCGGAAACGCUCCUCCGGCGACCAAAUCGGCGACAGCGAUCAUCUACGCGUAGCUGGCGCUCAGCCGCAUCCAAAGGAACGGACGGGAGGCCGCGAGGUGGCCGGAGUUGGGCACGGCGUCGACCUCGGCGACGGCCGGAGCUCGGACGAGCUCGGGGUCGUCGCUAGGAGGCACGGCAGGAGGAGCUGGUGCAUGCGUUCGGCUCCUGGGAGCACGGUGAGAACGGCGACACGCUCAGACGCGGGCGGAGGCGGCUCUGGCCGCGGCAGCGACAUGGCACGGCGGCGGCGGGAUUCGGGCAUGGCGGAGGAGGCGGCUAGAGGGCGGGAACGAGCUCUAGGAGGAGGGGAAAAGGCGGCGGGGCUCACAGUGGAUCGAACGGAGGGGUCGGCGAGCUCGGGGAAGCUUCUGCGACGACGAAUUGACGGCGGCGAUCUCCGGGCACCGGAGAUGAAGACGACGGUGGUGGCGGCGUUCCCGGGCACCCGACGUUGCGCGGCUCGGUGAGGAGGAAGAGAGGGGCGAGGCGGAGCUCGUGGGCGUGUCGGGGAGGCGUGGGGUGGCCGGUGGCCACGGCGGCAAUGAGCGGCGGCGACGAAGGUGUUCGGUGGCUGCGUGCGAGGGAGACAGAGGAGGGGAGAGGAGGAGUGGACAGGCCAGAGGGGGUCGGGGGGGUGCGUGGCGUCUCCAGCCAGCCCCCAGCGUCGGCGGAAGCAGGAGGUGGCACGGGCGCGUGCCAGCGCGCGGCGGCCACGCGCCUCUCGUCCUUCUGGCGAGAGGUUGGUGGUGACUGGCAGCGGUGGUGGGCUGGGCCAGCUCCUGGGCCGGCCAGCUGCGGUGCUGGGCCGCACAGGUAAGCCAGGUGCUAUCUCUCUCUCUGUUGUUACUAUUUUAUUUUUCUGUUAUGUUUUCUUUUGUUUAAUAUUCUGCCACUGUUCAAAAUUCAAAACAAUUUUCAAAACAGUGACAAAACCCUUUGAAUAAUUUUAUGUUGCAGAAUGGACAUUUCCAAAUGCACAUGAAAUGUUUCAAAGAUAUUUGAAAUUAUAUUCUAGUAUAUGAAUAUAACUCAAAUUCAAAUAGCUAUUGAUUUAAAUUCAGAGUCCCAAAAAUAAAUCCUUAAAAAUGUUCCUAAAUUCUGGUUUUAUAUAAAGCUCUUGCCAAAAUUCUCAAACAUUGCAAAAGGACAUCUUGGAAACAAAGAAUGAGAUUUCCAGGGUUCUUUGCCCUUCUUUUAUUCAAGUUUAUGAGGCUUCCACUUUCCUCAAUUCCAAGUUUCAGAAAUUUAGACAUGAUGCAUGAGUGCUCUAUGAUGCAACUAAUACAAGCAAUAAUCUAGGGCUGUGACAAUGUUCCUCAUAGUCUUGACCUAGAAGAAUCUGUCAUCCUUUCCCUUAUAUUUCAACGACAUAGAGCGUCUCCAAUCUCUAGGUAGUCUAAGGCAAUGUAUUACGUGGUAGCUUAAACAUACCCUCGGCUAGGGGAUUAUAGCCUUGCAGUAUAGUUUCCUAGACUAUAUAAUCUAGUUAACAACAAAAAUAUUAGAGUUGAUAUUGUUUUCAAUGACGGUGGAGUUGUGUCACAUUUAGGCAAAAAAAUUUGAAUCAACUAGGUGGUAUGUUAAAAUAACUUGAGGAUAGUUUGUGAUGGUGUAGUGCUAUCUAAGGAGAGCGACAAAUGUGUUUGGCCCAGACUAAAUUUGGACAAUUUACGGUCGUCCCAUGUAUAUUGCAGUAAUGCUAGACAAAUACCUUGCCAUUUUAAAAGACUUUGCUUUGUCAAAAUUCUGCUGAAAGUCAAGAUCUUUUUGUGGUCAAUGUGUAAGAACAAUAUAUUAGCUAAGGACGUAAUGAAGAUAUUGAUCACUUAUUCUUCUCAUGCCCGUGUCGAAAAGUUUGUGUGGCAUGUGACUAAAUGUGCAUUAUGUCUGCACAUGACUCAUGUUUCUAUAGAUUAUAUACCAGGUUGGAUUCAAUAUUUCCCCUUAGUUAUAAAAAUGUGAUUGCCUUUAUUAUGUAUGUUGUGUUGUGGGCUUGAAAAUUCAAGAACACAUGUUAUAAUUGUAUCUUGCCACAUGAUCCGAUAAGUAUUUUUUUUAUGAUUUUGUAUUGGUUGUCAUACCUGUGUAGCUUGUAGAGACAAGAGGCCUGAAGACAUUGUCACAAAGAAACAGACGAGCUAACAUUGAUGGCCAGUGAAGUGUUUCAUCAUAGGUAGGUUUGGGUCUGAUGAUCCUAGAUAUUGAAGGUGGUUGAGGAGCGAGCAAUGUAGUAGAAGCUCCUGAGUGUGGCUCUUUCGAGUUAUAGUAUCUUGAAGUGGUUUUGUGUUAUGUUCCAGUGUGUUUUUUCUAGUCAGGGAUGGAGCUCCCAUGUAAGCAUUGGGGUCAAUUGACCCCAGUGAAAUUAGGUAAUCCUUCAUUAGUUCGGUAUUAAUUAUUGUCCAUUAAUUAAAGAUGACCCCACUGUCAUUGACAUGACCCCAUCAAAUUUUUUCUAGCUUCAUCCAUGUUUCUAGUGACCUUAUAGUAAGGGGUUUAUGUGCUAGGAGUAGCAUCUACAAGUUGCCUUUGCAUCUUAGUUGUCGUAGUAGAUGUGCUGCCUUAAUAAAUGUGGUUGCACAACUAGUUUUGGUUGUGAUCAAUUUGUGUGGCUCAUUUCGAACGGUAUGUUUUCAACUUUAUUUCUAUGAAAUUGGGAGCCUGGAGCCCCUUGAAUCAAAAUUUGUUUUCUUAAAUGCACCCAUACAUAUAUAAAAAAACUCAAUAACAUCUGGAAAAUAAGGCACACGAGCAACUUGUUUUCUCUCACUCCCAUUCCUAUUGUCGAUACUCACCUACUCACCUCCUCAAUCUAUUGCUUCCCCAGCCUCGACCACCCAUCUCCGCGGGUCCACACUACUCCCAUUUGUGUCGCCACUUUCUUUUAUCACUUUCCUUUUUUUUUUCUUACACCUCACGCCCUCGUCACCUCAACAUGUCGACAUCUCGACCACCCCUCAUUAUCAGUCGAGAGUCCCAACAUCGCCAUUGGGCGUUGAUUUAAUUAAGGUGGUAACUUUUUCAUCAACAUAUCAACUCGAAGCAGAAUUAUUGAAAGUCGGUUGCGUAUAAAUGAAUAUUACAUGUGGUGCAUUUUCUUUUUGUGGUACUAUUCAAGAAGAAUCCAUUGUGGCACUUUUUUGGUUUAUAGUAAAGCACCAUUGCAUCUCCACUCACAAGACCAGGCCACGUUUAAUAAGCGCUUUAUAUUAAAAAAAAACACAGCGAACCAAUAUUCAAAUAGAAAUCUCCAUUUCCGGCAAGGUGCGCUAGGGACAAAAAUGCCGCGAGCCCCAAAUCCCCGACGCCGAUGCCGUAGCCCCUGAUCUAUGUCGCCGCCGCCGCCCCGGCGACCGCUCCGCCGCGUCACCCGUGUCGUCCGCCGCCCGUCUCCCCUUGCCGCCGACCGGAGAUGGGCUACCCGAGGCGCCGCGCCCACCCGCGCCGCGGCGCCCUGCUGCCGGCGGUGGCGGCGCUCCUCCUGCUCUUCCUCGCCGUCUCGCUCCUCUCCAUCGCCAUCUCCACGCCGCCUCUCGCGGAACGCCACCCCGGCAUCUCCCGCCGAUCCCUCCGCCACCCUCCGGUACGGACGCCAGCUCCGGCUCUUCCCCCCAAUCCCUCGCCCCUUCGCGCAGUUCGAUUCGAUGUCUUGUUUCGCUCUCUGUGCGCGAGUGCACAUCCGAACAGCUCGGCCGCCGAAAACGCAGGGCUAAGAGGGCGGGCGGGGACGUCUCCGGCAAUGCGAGGAUUUAAUCGUGAUUCAUGUAUCGGAUGGAUUGUUUGAUAAAUAUGGAAUAUGGAUUGAUGAUUGUAACCUGGUCUAGUCCUACCAUAGCUGGUUUGAUCCGUGGAGGGUUUAAUCUGAAUGCACCGGCUCCUUCGGUCACUCUUCUUCGAAUUCUCUUGUGUUAAUAUGUUUUAAACUGGAUAUAACUGAUUGAUUGAUUGAUGAAAGCAGCAGGCCGUGUUUAACUUCAGUAUAUAACUGAUUUAUUAAUUGGUUGUUGUCGUGUUACCCAAAUGUAGACAAGUCGAUGGACUGCGAGAGAUCUGUGGGGUUCGGAGCUCGCUAGCAACUUCUAUGGAUGCAGUCACUCUAGCAGAAAAUUUCUCGGUGAGCCCUUGUGUACAUGGUGUGGAUGAUGAAUGUCUCUCUCUGUGUGUAUCAGUGCUUGUAGAGUACUACAUUUUGGGAAUACUUUUGAGGUGUCAUCUUUGUAUUACGACAACUUUACUAAUUUCCUCCUAAAGCCUUUUUAAAAUCCUGCAGAUUCCAGUGUUGCCACGCAACCAGAUCGAUAUUUGCUUAUUUUUACAAGUGGAGGUCUGAAUCAGCAGAGAACAGGGGUGAGGAGCACCUGUCCCGACCUCCCUCCCUUGUAUGAAUAUGCUCUCAUGCGUGUGAAUGGAUAUGAUUAAAAACACUAACCUCAUCUUCACUGAUUGUCUAAGAUAUUUCAUCAGGGUCUCCUUCAAAUAUUUGCAGUAUCUACAUUUGUUUCUGUGCCCUUCUGAGUGUUGUUUGUCCAAGAAAAUAUCAAAAUACCAUUCUUCUGAUACAAUGUCGAAUACAUUUGAGAAGUUUCUGUUGGGCUAGAACUACACUUUUUCUUGGACCGGACUAGACCUACACAUUAGAAGCAUGUGGUAUUUAUUUGGCAGUUUUUUUUUUUUUUGAAACAAUGGGCUCUCCUGUCCAUUUCCAUUAAAGAAAUCACCAACUUAGUUCAUCAUUCAACAACAACAAAAAACGAAGAGCUGAUCUAUUUGCCAGUAUGCUAUGUGGCACCAGCUUCCUUUGUUUCUUGAGCCUUAUUUCUUUUCCUUAUGGCUAUAGAGUUGAUAGUUUCCAUCCUCAUUCAUGAGUUACAUAGAAUAACAAUUUACCGCAAGUGUGCGUGUUUUUUUCUGUCUUGUACCUUUGGACUAUGUGUAUCAGUCAAGUCAUGGCAUUUGCUUAUUUUCAGAUAGUUGAUGCUGUAGUUGCUGCGCGCAUUUUAAACGCUACACUUGUUGUUCCCAAAUUGGACCAAACAUCUUUCUGGAAAGAUUCAAGGUAUGCAAUUAGUGAACGCUCCCAAAUUUGAACUCAUGGUCUUCUAUGACUGUUCGAUUGUUUAAAGUGAACCAUUUGCACUUGUUCUAUAAUUAAUGCAAUAUCUGCUGCAGCAAUUUUUCCGAAAUCUUUGAUAUCGACUGGUUCAUUUCAUUUCUUGCGAAGGAUGUCAAAAUUAUCAAAGAACCUCCACAAAAAGGAGGUAAAGCUGUGCGACCUUAUAAAAUGCGUAUACCCCGAAAGUGUACUCCACAAUGUUACUUGAAGCGUGUCUUGCCUACACUUCUGAAGAAACAUGUAAGUUGUUGGCCUUUUGGCUUACUAGGAACCCUCAUUUUAGAAAGAAGUAGGAGCCCUCAUCACUCUGCUUUAUAUGUUCUAUAUGAAAUUCUCCUGAUUUUCUUGUCAUCCACAACAUGUCAACAUAUUAAACUCCGUUAAAAGACGUCCCACUUAUUUGCUAGUGCCUUUCUGGCCUGGCGGGGAGUAUUGGCUUGUGCAACUAUCGGAAUAUCCGGCACCAAGACUAUGAUGGAGCACCGCUUCAGGGUUCGGGGUGAAAACUCUAGUCCUGGCCUUUAUUGAUCGGGCUCAGCAGCGAGAACUUGCUUCGUCACCUUGUUGAAGGCGGUGUCUCCUUACUGUUGCGCUGGCCUUCAUUGGCUGUUCUCAGCUAUCAGGGUGAAAAUCCUUGUCCAUGCCAUUCCGGCCAGACAUGGCGAUGAGGACAUGAGGGCGUUUAUUCCUUCUUGGAGACGUUACUGUGGAAGAAGUUGACUUUGGUCAUAGGUGUUAAUUUCAUGCCUUGUAAUGGUUCGGCCGUGGUUGCCUAUGUUGUGCACUCUGCUUGUUGAUUAUUUUUGCAUCAUUGCCUUGCGUUGACUCUAAUAACAAAUGGGUGUGUGCAUCAUAAUGAUGCAGAGGUUGGGGGUUUCAACCUCCUUUUCAAAAAAAAGUUAAGCAUUUAUGGGCAUUCGUUAGAUUAACUGGCCAGUUGCUUUACCUGAUACUCUGACAGUUGAUUUUUUUUUUCUAGUAACUUAGACGACCUUUACCGAAUUUACCUAUGUAGGGGUGUUUUCCAUUUAUGCUGGCAUUCUAUUCAUUCUGUAACUUCUUGGUACAUUGUGUUGCUUUCUAUGCCUGUCUGUAGUUUGAUUUCUCUUUUAGCUCAUUUUGUGGAUCCGUUUAAUUUUGAUAGAUUUCAGUAAAUGAAAAAUCCGCACUAACAUAGCUUAUUUACUAUGUAUAUCGUGUUGCAGGCUCUUCGACUGACUAAAUAUGACUAUAGGCUCUCGAAUAAGUUGGACACUGACCUACAAAAACUGCGCUGCAGAGUAAAUUACCAUGCUUUGAGAUUUACUGAUCCAAUACAAGAGUUGGGUGAAAAGCUAAUACAGCGAAUGCGAGAGAAGAGCAAAUAUUUUAUUGCUCUUCAUCUGAGGUACAGCUAGUUGAAGCUGACCUUGAUCUACACAUUUCCUUUGGUCAUAAUUUUAUCCAUCUAAGUUCACUCCUUUAUGGCAGAUUUGAAAGUGAUAUGCUUGCCUUUUCUGGGUGUUACUAUGGUGGUGGAGAAAAGGAGAGAAGAGAUCUAGGUGCCAUUCGCAAGCGAUGGAAAACCUUGCAUGUAUGAACAGUUUCAUGUCUCAGUUAGAUAGUGAGCUAAAGCUACCUAUUGCUAACCUGUUGUGUUCUUAAAUUUCAGACAAGUAACCCAGAGAAAGGAAGAAGGCAAGGUAGGUGCCCACUAACUCCGGAGGAGGUAGGGCUGCUGUUGAGGGCAUUGGGCUAUGGAAGCGAUGUCCAUAUCUAUGCUGCUUCUGGUGAGAUAUAUGGAGGGGAAGAAACUUUGGCACCCCUCAAAGCGCUCUUCCCAAAUUACCAUACAAAAGAAUCAUUGUCAAGCAAAGAUGAGUUGACUCCAUUCUUGACACACUCAUCCCGCAUGGCUGCAAUUGAUUUCAUUGUCUGUGAUGGAAGUGAUGCUUUUGUGACUAACAAUAAUGGCAACAUGGCCAAAAUGCUUGCUGGGCGGAGGUGAUGCUUCUGUUCUUUCUGUUGUAUAUCUCUGUUGGCCAUUUGUAUAUCUUGUUCAUCUUAGUACAUUUCCGAAUUCUGACUGUGUGAUGCUGCUCCUCGCAGGAGAUAUUUUGGCCACAGGAGAACAAUCCGGCCAAAUGCCAAACAGCUCUACCACUUAUUUACAAACAGGGGAAAUAUGUCAUGGGACAAAUUCUCGUCGCAGGUGCGAAAAGUCCAGAAAGGAUUUAUGGGAAAUCCCAUGGAAGCCAUGCCAGGAAGAGGCGAAUUCCAUGCCAAUCCUGCUGCGUGUAUAUGCGAAAAGACAGAUGAAAAUAAAUCGAGCCCUGGUAGUAAUCAGGAAAUUGUAAAUCGCACGGGAAUAAGGAAGGCCAUCGGUGAACCAGCAUAUCCUGUCUACACCGAUGAAGAGGCGGAUGGAUCUGACACUGAAGACAAUCCCACAGGGACAGGAGAAGAAGAGAUGAUUACUGAAGACGGUCCUGCCGCUGGAGAAGAGAUGGUCACUGAAGACGACCCCACUGCGACAGAAGAGGUAAUUGUUACCGAAGCUGAGGCCGACGACGAUUCUUCGGUCAGACAGGAGGGUUCCGAGCUGGAGGAGAUCCUUUCGGAUUAGCCGAGUUGCUAUACAGCUUGGAGGAAUUAGUUGAGUUAUUUGCAUACAAUACAAGUGUUGUAUGUGGUAGAAACUGAUGCACAUUGACCCCUCCAGAGUCCAGAGUAGAGCUGGUCCGCUCCCUCUGGUGUACAUAUAGAUCUUGUGGUGGACUGAAGCUGUACAUCCUCUCCCCUUCCCUCCUGGCCCAACAAGGGUGGCCUCAAUUUGGCAGUUCUCUUCGGAGUUCGUAACAUUUGCACCGUUGUCUGUAGCUCGUCGGAAUGUGUUCGUUCUGCUUUAGAAAUCUCUGUCCUCUUCUCCUGGCCAAAGCUUUCAUACAUGUGACAUCUUCAAUCUCUUGUGUUGUUCCUCUAAAGAGAAGAAUCUCAUGUGUUGUUACAGUACAUAUUAUGAACUGAUACAGUGCCGAAUUGUUCUUAACUUAUCAUGGUGCAGUUCAAGCUUUACUGGUCUUUGCACUAUACUUUCUCAUGUUUUGCUAAGGUGUGCAUGUUCACUCUGUAAGAUUUGAGUAAACAUUCAUUCGUGCAUUUGUACUACUGUAGCGUUUCAAUCGCAUUGUUUUCUACUGCAUCGAGUGUUUCUACUGCACCGGGCAUACAAGCCCUUGCCUUUUUAAUGUAUGUUUUUCAAUAGCAUAUAGAAUCACAAAGCAGUAUUGAACUAUUGUUUUCUUCAAUAAAAAUAGAAUGCGAGUGCUGAAACAUUUCUACAGAAGCGGAAGUUUGGAUAUAUGCUGCAAUAUAUACUGUGAGGUGUGCUGGGUGUAUAUGCUGUCAGCUGUCCAGCCAAAAACAAUGGUUUAGCUCAGGCGAGACAUAAAUGGUAUUCCAUCUUUGGAGUGCAAUGCUGCAUGUGCUCACGCACCGGCUACAUGUCUAAAUGGAUUGUAUUUUUUUUAAGUCGGCACCGAAGGAUCUCGAAUCAUUAAAAUAGAAGAGGACGGUUGCCCGGUUAAUAUACAGAACCAGACUAAAACCGUCACAACAGCCCACACAAGGCAACUGCGGCUGACCUGGCCACCCACAUGAUGAUACACACGUUACAGAGAAGAAACCCAUAGUCAAGGUUGUCAACAAGUGCCAUGGUCAUCACUCCUCCAUGAGACUGCGACUCCGACUUUACCAUCGACUUCAUCAACGAAGUCCUCGUCGCAACAGACGCCAGAACCAAUGUCGGCCCAUGCCAAACACUUGGCCACCCGUGCUGACGCCCAGACAGCUCUGACUUGAAGACCACCAGAUACCGGAGAAAUAUUCAGAGCUCGCGCCAACCAAGGCAUCCUCGAAGCGCGGCGACUAUAUCUCGCAUUAAGCGAGACGAUAGGAUGUUUCACUGAAAGGGUCUACAGUAAGCCAAGGCAUCCUCGAAGCGCGGCAACUUUCGCAUUAAGCGAGACGAUAGGAUGUCCCACUGAAGGGUCUAUAAUAAUCAGGCCGGCGCAUUCGCGUACAGAUAACUUCAUCAACGAAGUCCUCGUCGCAACAGACGCCAGAACCAAUGUCGGCCCAUGCCAAACACUCGGCCACCCGUGCUGACGCCCAGACAGCUUCGACUUGAAGACCACCAGAUACCGGAGAAAUAUUCAGAGCUCGCGCCAACCAAGGCAUCCUCGAAGCGCGGCGACUAUAUCUCGCAUUAAGCGAGACGAUAGGAUGUUUCACUGAAGAGUCUACAGUAAGCCAAGGCAUCCUCGAAGCGCGGCUACUUCCGCAUUAAGCGAGACGAUAGGAUGUCUCACUGAGGGGUCUAUAGUAAUCAGGCCGGCGCAUUCGCGUACAAAUAAUAAAGGAAAAAGGGAGGAGAAAAGGGAGUGCGCAGGUUGAUUCGAACCCUUGGUUGAGGCAAAGUGUAGCUAGCCACUAGAAUUGCCUUGGGGUUCUUCAUAGAGUAGUACGACAGGACUACUUAACUCUAAACAAGCCGGGUUUUCCACUGUUUCUUCUUCGGUUUUUUCGUUUUCUUUUUAUUCUGUUUUUCACUGGGUUUUCUCCAUUUUCAUUUUUUUUCUUUCUUUUUUCAUUGUUUCUCUUUAUUUUUUCUCUCUUUUUUCUAUUCUUUUUUCCUUCUCCAUUUUUUUCAUUCUUUUUGCAUUUAUUCAUUCAUUUUUUCUAUUUCCUUUUUCUUUGGUUUAUUUUGUUUUCAUUUUUUGGGUAUCUUUGUUUCUUUUGGUUUUCAUUCUACAUUUCUGUAUGUGUUAACAACAUUUUUUAAUACACCUUUAACNNNNNNNNNNNNNNNNNNNNNNNNNNNNNNNNNNNNNNNNNNNNNNNNNNNNNNNNNNNNNNNNNNNNNNNNNNNNNNNNNNNNNNNNNNNNNNNNNNNNNNNNNNNNNNNNNNNNNNNNNNNNNNNNNNNNNNNNNNNNNNNNNNNNNNNNNNNNNNNNNNNNNNNNNNNNNNNNNNNNNNNNNNNNNNNNNNNNNNNNNNNNNNNNNNNNNNNNNNNNNNNNNNNNNNNNNNNNNNNNNNNNNNNNNNNNNNNNNNNNNNNNNNNNNNNNNNNNNNNNNNNNNNNNNNAAUGCUUAAUUAACAUUUUCCAAAUACAAGAUAGCAUUUUCUAAUACAUGGUCAACAUUUUUUCUAUGCACAUUUAACAUUUUUCAGGUGCUUGAUUAACAUUUUUUAAAUGCAAUAUCAACAUUUUUUAACACAUGGUCAAUAUUUUUUCUAAACAUAUUACAUUUUUAAAAUGCUUAAUUUGCAUUUUCAGAUAUGUAUUCCACAUUAUUUUUAUAUGCUUGAUUAAAAAUUUAUAUACAUGAUCAGAUUUUUCCAUAUUUUUUAAUACAUGGUGAAUAUUUUUCUAUACACAUUUAACAUUUUUCAAAUGCUUUACUAACAUUCUUCAAAUACUUCUAAAAAAAUUUAAAAUGUUUGAUUAACAUUUUUAUAUACAUGAUAAAAAAUUCACCAUUUUUAAUACAUUGUCAACAUUUUUACUGUACACUUUUGACAUUUUCCCAAUGCUUGAUUAACAAUUUUGAAGCACGUGUUCAACAUUUUUUUCUAAAUGCUUGAUUAACAUUCUUUUUAAUACAUGAUCAAAUUGUUUCAUACACAUUUAAAUUUUUUGUAUACAUUGUUCGUAUGUGAUAAACAUUUUCUCGAUACACAUUCAACAUUUUUCAAACGCUUGGUCAAUAUUUUUCAAAUGUUUUUAUGUACAGUGGUUUUUGUAAUAUAUUUAUAUAGAAUAUUUGGAAGCAUAAACAAAAGUAAGAAACGAAAGCAAAAAGAAAAAUAAAAAUAAAAAAUAAAACAAAAAACAAGGUUGUUGUUCCGGCGCGCAUGGCCCGGCCCAACUCGUGCCACCCUUUAGCGAGGGUUCCACCCGUCUCACUGAAUGCGAGAUAUAGGGGAGCCCUCCUCAGAGACCACCAAUCACCUGUUACCGUCACCACCUAGGCAGCUCCGACUCUACGACGGCAUGGCGAGACAAAGAUGAAACUUGUUGAACACGCCGAAAACAGACGACCACCAAAGCCUUGCUGCGACCCUGCUUAGCCGGUCAUCAUCAUCGUUGCAAAACUUGACACCACACACCACACAUUAUUGUCAGACGGGCACCUACCGACCACGAUGUCGCGAAUGUCCAGCCCCUAAAGAGUGUGAAUGGGAUUGAAGAUCUUCAAGGCGACGCCCCCAAGGGGGGCGACGUAGGAAACGACGCCAUUCCCCGACCCGACACCAGGCCUUAGGUUUUCGCCAAAAGAACAAGAUCCAGGGUCAGGGUCGCAAACCUCCACGGUGGUGCCUCCAAGGAGAACAACGCCGCCCACUGACGCUACUACCACCGGCCAGUAAAAAACCAGCUAGGCCUUUGCGCAGAGCAAAACGACAACCUCCCCGUGCAGCCGACUCGCACCUCCGCUAGCCCACAAGCCUCCUGUGUAGUCAUCGUGCCAUGACCAAAUGGGAGCCACCCCAAUCCUCGCGUGUGGACACUACGCCGAAAAUGGGGGGUUGGAUGCCAAACAGGUAAAAUUUGAGGAUGCGCCCGCGCGUUGGACCGUGUUGUCUGUCAGUUUUGGCCGAAAUGGACACAAGCGGACGGGAUGGGGUCGUGCGUUGGAGUUGGCCUAAGAGCAACUCCAACGCGCCGACCCAUUUCAUCUGCGCGUGUUCGUUGGGUCACCGCGGACAGAAAAGUUGGCCCAACGCGCCGAUCUGAACGGACGCGCGUUCGCAUUUUGUCUGCGAGCAGACCCAUUCCAAGCCCAAAUUUGAGCCUCAUUUGCGUCGGCAUGGACAUGAAACGAACGUGCGUGACGCGCGCCUACUCCUCUCCCUGGUCCGCUAGUCGGUGGCACAACGACCACCAUUUCCCUCCACUUCCCCAAAAUCCUCACACCCACUAGCGCUCCCUGCCAUGGACGAUGACGCGGCGACCCUCGCUNNNNNNNNNNNNNNNNNNNNNNNNNNNNNNNNNNNNNNNNNNNNNNNNNNNNNNNNNNNNNNNNNNNNNNNNNNNNNNNNNNNNNNNNNNNNNNNNNNNNNNNNNNNNNNNNNNNNNNNNNNNNNNNNNNNNNNNNNNNNNNNNNNNNNNNNNNNNNNNNNNNNNNNNNNNNNNNNNNNNNNNNNNNNNNNNNNNNNNNNNNNNNNNNNNNNNNNNNNNNNNNNNNNNNNNNNNNNNAGGAGGACAAGCGCGAUGUGGCUUCGAUCGCCUUGCUUGCAAUCGUGGAGGGCAUGAUGAGCAAAAAGGGAACAAGGGAGAAGAAGCACUGAUAACCCACAAGUGCAGGGGAUCAGUUGUAGCCUCUUUCGAUAAGUAAGAGUGUCGAAACCAACGAGGAGCUAAAGGUAAAACAAAUAUUCCCUCAAGUUCUAUCGACCACCGAUACAACUCUACGCACGCUUAACGUUCGCUUUACCUAAAACAAGUAUGAAACUGGAAGGACUUUGUAGGUGUGAUAGGAUAGGUUUGCAAGAUAAUAAAGAGCACGUAAAUAUAAACUAGGGGCUGUUUAGAUGAAGACACAACUAAGUUAGUUUUAGUAGAGAGCUUUUUGUCACGAGAAAGUUAUUUGUCCCUAGGCAAUCGAUAACUAGACAGGUAAUCACUAUUGCAAUUUUAUUUGAGGGAGAGGCAUAAGCUAACAUACUUUCUCUACUUGGAUCAUAUGCACUUACGAUUGGAACUCUAGCAAGCAUCCGCAACUACUAAAUAUCAUUAAGGUAAAACCCAACGAUAGCAUUAAAGCAUCAAGUACCCUUUAUCCCAUACGCCACAACCCCCUUACUCGGGUUUAUGCUUCUGUCACUCAAGCAACCCACUAUAAGCGAAUCAUGAACAUAUUGCAACACCCUACAGCGGGAAUCCCUCACGCUUGCGCGACACGAAGAGCACCAUAGGACAGCUCCAAUAAUAAAAUAUGCAACUCAAACCAAUCACGAUCAUCAAUUAACCCAUAGGACAAAACGGAUCUACUCAAACAUCAUAGGAUAGCCAUAUAUCAUUGGGAAAUAAUAUAUAGCGUUGAGCACCAUGUUUAAGUACAGAUUACAGCGGGUAAAAGAGAGGUUACACCGCUGCAUAGAGGGAGGAAGAGUUGGUGAUGAGGGCGGUGAAGUUGUUGGUGUAGAUCGCGGUGAUGAUGAUGGCCCCGGUGUUCCGGCGCCACCAGAAGCAAAGGGGAGAGACCCCCCUUCUUCUUUUUCUUCCUUGACCUUCUGCCUAGAUGGGAGAAGGGUUUCCCCUCUGGUCCUUGGUCUCCAUGGCUUGGGAGGGGCGAGAGCCCCUCCGAGAUUGGAUUUGUCUCUCUGUCUCUCUCUGUUUCCGCACUCUCAGAUUCUGCCCUUUCACCGUUUCUUAUAUAUCCGGAGAUCCGUAACUCCGAUUGGAUUGAAACCUUCGCCAAGAAUUUUUUCCGAAAAUUAGCUUUCUUGCGGCCAAAGAAGAGCAGUAACCGCUUUACGGGGUGCCCACGAGGGUCAGGGGCGUGCCCCCUGCCUCAUGGCCCCCUCUAGCACCGUCUCGCGUUGAUUCUUCUUCCAGAAAAUCAUAAAUAUUCCAAAAUAUCCUCCGUCCGUUUUUAUCCCGUUUGGACUCCGUUUGAUAUGGGUUUUCUGCGAAACAUAAAACAUGCAACAAACAGGAACUGGCACUGGGCACUGGAUCAAUAUGUUAGUCACAAAAAUAAUAUAAAAAGUUGCCAAAAGUAUAUGAAAGUUGAAUAAUAUUGGCAUGGAACAAUCAAAAAUUAUAGAUACGACGGAGACGUAUCAGCAUCCCCAAGCUUAAUUCCUGCUCGUCCUCGAGUAGGUAAAUGAUAAAAAGAUAAUUUUUGAUGUGGAAUGCUACCUAGCAUAAUCUUGAUCAUGUAAUCUAAUCAUGGCAUGAAUAUUAAGACACGAGUGAUUCAAAGCAAUAGUCUACCAUUUGACAUAAGAACAUUAAUACUUCGAGCGUACUAAUAAAGCAAUCAUGUCUUUUCAAAACAACAUGGCCAAAGAAAGUUAUCCUUACAAAAUCAUAUAGGCUGGCUAUGCUCCAUCUUCAUUACACAAAAUAUUCAAAUCAUGCACAACCCCGAUGAGAAGCCAAGCAACUGUUUCAUAUUUUUGACGUUCUUAAACCUUUUCAACUUUCACGCAAUACAUGAGCGUGAGCCAUGGAUAUAGCACUAUAGGUGGAAUAGUGUAUGAUGGUGGAGGUUGUAUGGGGAAGACAAAAAGGGAGAAAGUAUCACAUCAACGCGGUUAAUCAACGGUCUAUGGAGAUGCCCAUCAAUUGAUGUCAAUGCGAGGAGUAGGGAUUGCCAUGCAACGGAUGCACUAAGAGCUAUAAGUGUAUGAAAGCUUAAACUUGAAACUAAGUGGGUGUGCAUCCAACUUGCUUGCUCAUGAAGACCUCGGGCAUUUGAGGAAGCCCAUCAUCGAAAUAUACAAGUCAAGUUCUAUAAUGAAAAUUCCCACUAGUAUAUGAAAGUGACAAUAUAGGAGACUCUCUAUAUGAAGGACAUGGUGCUACUCUGAAGCACAAAUGUGGUAAAAGGACAGUAGCAUUGCCCCUUCUCUCUUUUUCUCUCAUUUUUUAUUUUCUCUUUUUUUUUCUUUUUUUUGGUGGGCUUCUUUGGCCCCCCUUUUUUUAUUUGGGCUUCUUUAGCCUUUCUUUUUUUCAUUAAGUCCGGAGUCUCAUCCCGACUUGUGGGGGAAUCAUAGUCUCCAUCAUCCUUUCCUCACUGGGGCAAUGCUCUAAUAAUGAUGAUCAUCACACUUUUAUUUACUUACAACUCAAUAUUACAACUCGAUACUAGAACAAAGAUAUGACUCCAUAUGAAUGCCUCCGGUGGUGUACCGUGAUGUGCAAUGAUCUAGCAUAGCAAAGAUAUCAAAAAACGGACAAGCCAUGAAAACAUCAUGCUAGCUAUCUUACGAUCAUGCUAGGCAAUAUGACAAUGAAUGCUCAAGUCAUGUAUAUGAUGAUGAUGGAAGUUGCAUGGCAAUAUAUCUCAGAAUGGCUAUGGAAAUGCCAUGAUAGGUAGGUAUGGUGGCUGUUUUGAGGAAGAUAUAAGGAGGCUUAUGUGUGAUAGACGUAUCGUAUCACGGGGUUUGGAUGCACCGGCGAAGUUUGCACCAACUCUCGAGGUGAGAAAGGGCAAUGCACGGUACCGAAUAGGCUAGCAAUGAUGGAAGGGUGAGAGUGUGUAUAAUCCAUGGACUCAACAUUAGUCAUAAAGAACUCACAUACUUAUUGCAAAAAUCUAUUAGUCAUCCAAACAAAGUACUACGCGCAUGCUCCUAGGGGGAUAGAUUGGUAGGAAAAGACCAUCGCUCGUCCCCGACCGCCACUCAUAAGGAAGACAAUCAAUAAAAAAUCAUGCUCCGACUUCAUCACAUAACGGUUCACCAUGCGCGCAUGCUACGGGAAUCACAAACCUCAACACAAGUAUUUCUACUAAUCCACAAGUACUCACUAGCAUGACUCUAAUAUCACCACCUUUAUAUCGCAAAACUAUUGCAAGGAAUCAAACAUAUCAUAUUCAGCGAUAUACAAGUUUAUGUAGGAUUUUGUGACUAACCAUGUGAAUGACCAAUUCUUGUCAUCUCUCUAAAUAGAUAUAAGUGAAGCAAGAGAGUUUAAUUCUUUCUACAAAAUAAAUGCCCAUGCUCUAACAAAUAUAAGUGAAGCAAAAGAGCAUUCUACAAAUGGUGAUUUUCUAUAUGAAGAGAAACAGACAAUCCAAACUUCAAUUGAUAUAAGUGAAGCACAUGAAGCAUUCUAUAAAGCCAUAAAAGAUUUAAGUGAAGUGCAAUGAGCAUUCUAUAAAUCAACCAAGGACUAUCUCAUACCAACAUGGUGCAUAAAAGAAAAGUGAAAACUAAAUGCAAAAGACGCUCCAAGACUUGCACAUAUCGCAUGAACGAAACGAAUCCGAAAACGUACCGAUACUUGUUGAAGAAAGAGGGGAUGCCUUCCGGGGCAUCCCCAAUCUUAGACGCUUGGGUCUCCUUGAAUAUUUACUUGGGGUGCCUUGGGCAUACCCAAGCUUGAGCUCUUGCCUCUCCUCCUUUUCCUCAUAUCGAGACCUUCUCGAUCAAACACUUCAUCCACACAAAACUUCAACAGAAAACUCGGUAAGAUCUGUUAGUAUAAUAAAACAAAUCACUACUCUAAGUACUAUUGCAAACCAAUUCAUAUUUUUUUUGCAUUGUGUCUACUGUAAUAUAACUUUUUCAUGGCUUAAUCCACAGAUAGAAAUUGAUAGUUUCAUCAAAAACAGAAUCUGUCAAAAACAGAACAAUCUGUAGCAAUCUGAACAUUCACCAUACUUCUGGUACCCCAACAAUUCUACCUAAAUUAGGAAAAAUAGACAAUUUGUACAGCAAGACAGUGCAAAAGGAAUCAGAACCAUUUGACGUUCCAGUAAAAAAAAUGUAAAAUCGCGCACUACAGCCAAAGUUUCUGUCCUGCACCGUACAAACCAACAAGCAUUGUAAACAUCCUAAAGGCAAACCUUGGCACGUUAUUUUUAUAAUACAAGGGAAUAAUUAUUUUUGUUGAAAAGUUUCUGUAAUUAAGAUUCACAAAGUUUCCAUGAGCAUGAACAAAGUUCAAGGAGCUCUCCCACUUCAACAAUGCUUGUCUUUCUCACUUUCACUUUCCUUUUUGAAAAGUUUUGGGUUCCCCUCUUUAUUUUUUUUUGUUUUUAGACUAUAUAAAAGCACUCAACAGAAAUAAAUGACUCUCUAAAACUUCCGGGUUGUCUCCCUGGCAGCGCUUUCUUUAAAUCCAUUAAGCUAGGCAUAUAGUUCUCAAGUAAUGGAUCCACCCGGAUCCCAAGGUAUAUCAAAGCCAAUUUUAAUUAACAAUGAUUUGUAAUUUAGUAGUGAGCACAAAGUAACAUAUAUCAAGCAACAACGAAGUCUAACUCUCUUCCUAUGCAUCGGCAUGUCAUAAAAGAACAAUUCAGGCACACAUAGUAAAGGCCAAUGCAUAGUAUAAGCAGUUUCUUGCAAUUUUAUCAUAUUUGAAACAUAGAGAGGUGGAGAUAUAGUUCCUCUCUCAUAAUAAUUGCAAGUAGGAGCAACAAGCACAUGCAUAUUAUAUUCAUCAAAAUCAUCAUGUGUAGUAGUGAAACGCAACCCAUCAAUAUAAUCCUUAAUAAGCACAAACUUCUCCGAUAUAGUGUAGUUUGGAGAAUUCAAAAAGAUAAUAGGACUAUCAUGCGUGGGUGCAAUAGCAACAAUUUCAUGUUUAACAUAAGGAACUAUAUCAAGUUCAUCUUCAUAAGCAUAAUUCAUAUUGGCAUCUCGGUCACAAGCAGAGCAAGCAUCAUCAAAAAGGGAUAUUUCAAGAGAAUCAACGGGAUCAUAACAAUCAUCAUAGCAAUCAUCCUUCGGUAAGCACGAACGGGAAUUAAACAAUGUAUGAGUUGAAGAGUUACUCUCAUUAGAAGGUGGGUGAUAUGUCUCCAACGUAUCUAUAAUUUUUGAUUGUUCCAUGCUAUUAUAUUACCCCUUUUGGAUGUUUAUGGGCUUUAUUUUACACAUUUAUAUCAUUUUUAGGACUAACCUACUAACCGGAGGCCUAGCCCGUAUUGCUUCUUUUUUGCCUAUUUCAGUAUUUCGAAGAAAAGGAAUAUCAAACGGAGUCCAAACGGAAUGAAACCUUCGGGAGCGUGAUUUUUGGAACGAACGUGAUCCAGAGGACUUGGAGUGCAAGUCAAGAAGCAGCCGAGGAGGCCACGAGAGGGUAGGGCGCACCCACCCCUAUAGGGCGCGCCCCCUGUCUCGUGGGCCCCUUGGGCACCCACCGACGUACUUCUUCCUCCUAUAUAAGCCUACGUACCCCGAAAACAUCCAGGGAGCCAACGAAACACAAUUUCCACCGCCAUAACCUUCUGUAUCCGCGAGAUCCCAUCUUGGAGCCUUCGCCGGCGCUCCACCGGAGGGGGAAUCGACCACGGAGGGCUUCUACAUCAACACCAUAGCCUCUCCAAUGAGUUGUGAGUAGUUUACCACAGACCUUCGGGUCCAUAGUUAUUAGCUAGAUGGCUUCUUCUCCCUUUUUGGAUCUCAAUACAAUGUUCUCCCCCUCUCUUGUGGAGAUCUAUUCGAUGUAAAUGAUGGGGAACGUAGUAAUUUCAAAAAAUUUCCUACGCACACGCAAGAUCAUGGUGAUGAUAUAGCAACGAGAGGGGAGAGUGUAUGUCCACGUACCCUCGUAGACCGUAAGCGGAAGCGUUAUGACAACGCGGUUGAUGUAGUCGUACGUCUUCACGAUCCGACCGAUCCAAGUACCGAACGUACGGCACCUCCGAGUUCAGCACUCGUUCAGCUCGAUGACGUCCCUCGAACUCCGAUCCAGCUGAGUGUCGAGGGAGAGUUCCGUCAGCACGACGGUGUGGUGACGAUCUUGAUGUUCUACCGGCGCAGGGCUUCGCCUAAGCUUCGCGACGAUAUGACCGAGGUGGAAUAUGGUGGAAGGGGGCACCGCACACGGCUAAGGAACGAUCCGUAGAUCAACUUGUGUGUCCAUGGGGUGCCCCCUGCCCCCGUAUAUAAAGGAGGGAGGGAGGAGGAGGCCGGCCCUAGGAGGGGCGCGCCAUGGGGAGUCCUACUCCCACCAGGAGUAGGAUUCCCCCUUUCCUAGUCCAACUAGGGGUCCUUCCAUGUAGUAGGAGUAGGAGACUAGGAAAGGGAAGAGAGAAGGGAAGGAAGGAGGGGGUGCGGCCCCUCCCCUUAGUCCAAUUCGGACUAAGCCUUGGGGGGGCGCGUGGCCUGCCCUAGGCAGCCCCUCUCUCUUUCCCGCAGGGCCCAAUAAGGCCCAAUACUUCUCCCCGGCGAAUUCCCGUAACUCUCCGGUACUCCGAAAAAUACCCGAAUCACUCGGAACCUUUCCGAACUCCGAAUAUAGUCGUCCAAUAUAUUGAUCUUUACGUCUCGACCAUUUCGAGACUCCUCGUCAUGUCCCCGAUCUCAUCCGGGACUCCGAGCUCCUUCGGUACAUCAAAACUCAUAAACUCAUAAUAUAAAUGUCAUCGUAACGUUAAGCGUGCGGACCCUACGGGUUCGAGAACUAUGUAGACAUGACCUAGAACUAUUCUCGGUCAAUAACCAAUAGCGGAACCUGGAUGCUCAUAUUGGUUCCUACAUAUUCUACGAAGAUCUUUAUCGGUCAAACCGCAUAACAACAUACGUUGUUCCCUUUGUCAUCGGUAUGUUACUUGUCUGAGAUUUGAUCGUCGGUAUCCAAUACCUACUUCAAUCUCGUUACCGGCAAGUCUCUUUACUCGUUCCGUAAUACAUCAUCUCAUAACUAACUCAUUAGUUACAUGCUUGCAAGGCUUAGGUGAUGAGUAUUACCGAGAGGGCCCAGAGAUACCUCUCCGACAAUCGGAGUGACAAAUCCUAAUCUUGAUUUAUGCCAACUCAACAUGUACCUUCGGAAACACCUGUAGAGCACCUUUAUAAUCACCCAGUUACGUUGUGACGUUUGGUAGCACACAAAGUGUUCUUCUGGUAAACGGGAGUUGCACAAUCUCAUAGUUGCAGGAACUUUGUAUAAGUCAUGAAGAAAGCAAUAGAAGAAUACUAAACGAUCAAGUGCUAGGCUAACAGAAUGGGUCAUGUCAAUCACAUCAUUCUCCUAAUGAUGUGAUCCCGUUAAUCAAAUGACAACUCUUUUGUCCAUGGCUAGGAAACAUAACCAUCUUUGAUAAACGAGCUAGUCAAGUAGAGGCAUACUAGUGACACUAUGUUUGUCUAUGUAUUCACACAUGUAUAAUGUUUCCAGUUAAUACAAUUCUAGCAUGAAUAAUAAACAUUUAUCAUGAUAUAAGGAAAUAAAUAAUAACUUUAUUAUUGCCUCUAGGGCAUAUUUCCUUCAGUAAACUCUUUUUGCGGUGUGUUUGUCGAGAUCCGAUGAAUUGUGGGUUUAUGAUCAAGUUUAUCUAUGAAUAAUAUUUGAAUCUUCUCUGAAUUCUUUUAUGUAUGAUUGAGUUAUCUUUGCAAGUCUCUUCGAAUUAUCAGUUUGGUUUGGCCUACUAGAUUGGUCUUUCUUGCCAUGGGAGAAGUGCUUAGCUUUGGGUUCAAUCUUGCGGUGUUCUUACCCGGUGACAGAAAGGGUUGCAAGACACGUAUUGUAUUGUUGCCAUCGAGGAUAACAAGAUGGGGUUUAUAUCAUAUUGCAUGUGUUUAUCCCUCUACAUCAUGUCAUCUUGCUUAAUGCGUUACUCUGUUCUUAUGAACUUAAUACUCUAGAUGCAGGCAGGAGUCGGUCGAUGUGUGGAGUAAUAGUAGUAGAUGCAGGCAGGAGUCGGUCUACUUGUCACGGACGUGAUGCCUAUAUACAUGAUCAUGCCUAGAUAAUCUCAUAAUUAUUCGCUUUUCUAUCAAUUGCUCGACAGUAAUUUGUUCACCCACCGUAAUACUUAUGUUAUCUUGGGAGAAGCCUCUAGUGAAACCUAUGGCCCCCGGGUCUAUCUUUUAUCAUAUUUUCUUCCAAUCUACUUUUAUUUGCGUCUUUACUUUUUGCAUCUAUCUUAUAAAAUACCAAAAAUAUAUUUAUCUUAUCAUACUAUCUCUAUUAGAUCUCACUUUCGCAAGUGGCCGUGAAGGGAUUGACAACCCCUUUAUUGCGUUGGUUGCGAGUUCUUUGUUUGUUUGUGUAGGUGCGCGGGACUUUUGAGGAGCUUCCUACUGGAUUGAUACCUUGGUUCUCAAAAACUGAGGGAAAUACUUACGCUACUAUUGCUGCAUCACCCUUUCCUCUUCAAGGAAAACCAACGCAAGCUCAAGACGUAGCAAGAAGGAUUUCUGGCGCCGUUGCCGGGGAGGUCUUCGCUCAAGUCAAGACAUACCAAGUACCCAUCACAAACUCAUCUCCCUCGCAUUUACAUUAUUUGCCAUUUGCCUCUCGUUUUCCUCUCCCCCACUUCACCCUUGCCGUUUUAUUCGCCCGCUCUUUCCCAAUCUCCUCCUCUCUUUUCCGUUUGCCUUCCCGUUGCCAUGGCCGAAUCAAAAAGAACUAAGGGCCCUUUCCUAGGUUCUAGUACCUUGGAUAAUCCCUCUAUCCUCUCUAAGCUCAUGAAUAAUGAUGCUAUAGAAAGACCCACCGGGGUCACCAAUGAGAGCUUAAAUAAUUUUGAUGAGGAUGACUCUGGAAUUUUUUGUUAUCUACUUGAUGAGUCUUUAAAAGAUGCUUGGGAUAGGUUAUUAAGGAUUCGGGCUAGCUAUGUGCCACAAUAUCAAAUUGAAGUUUACUUAAAAAGUUUCUAUGUUGGCUUGCCCGCUUCUUUCAAACAAAUUUUAGAUUCUAUUUUUGAAGAAGGUUUUAUUGAAGGGGAUGCUAUAGAUACUUGCGAAAAAAUGAAAACCAUAUUUGAGCACCCUAUGAAUGAUAAGGUUGAAUCAACUACUCUCUUGUGCUUUUAUCAAAAUGAAAUUAUCAAUGAGAUGAAGUCUAGCCUAGAUGCAAAUUUCCGUAAUGUGCUUAAUCUUACUUCAUCCAUUAAUGGCAAUGUGCUUACCCUAAAUAGAAGAAUAAAUGCCAUUGAAAGGAGAUCCUCUUUUUCCUCUCCGAGUGCCAAAGAUGGCACUACUUAGAUCUAUCUUCGCUUUUAUGCCUAGCUAGGGGCGUUAAACGAUAGCGCUAGUUGGGAGGCAACCCAAUUUUCUUUGUGUUUUUGUUCCUGUUUAGUAAUAAAUCUUGCAUCUACCUUCUUUUUAGAUGUGUUUUUAUCUUUUAAUUAGUGUUUGUGCCAAGUAGAACCUAUAGGAUAACCUAUGAUGAUAGUUGAUUUGAUUCUGCUGAAAAACAGAAACUUUGCGCGCAUGAAUUUAGUUUUGUUAAAUCACAGAAACAUGCUUUUGCGUUGAUUAUUUUUUGCUUCUGAUCAAUAGACAAAUUUUCCAGGACUUCCUAUUUUGGAAGGAUUUUUAGAGUUCUAGAAGUUUGCGUUAGUUACAGAUUGCUACAGACUGUUCUGUUUUUGACAGAUUCUGUUUUUCAUGUGUUGUUUGCUUAUUUUCGUGCAUCUAUGGCUAGUAAAAUAGUUUAUAAACCAUAGAGAAGUUGGAAUACAGUAGGUUUAACACAAAAAUAAAUAAAGAAUGAGUUCAUUACAGUACCUUAUGUGGUGGUUUUGUUUUCUUUCACUAACGGAGCUUAUAAGAUUUCCUGUUGAGUUUUGUGUUGUGAAGUUUUCAAGUUUUGGGUAAAGCUUUUAUGGACUAUGGAAUAAGGAGUGGCAAGAGCCUAAGAUUGGGGACGCCCAUGGCACCCCAAGAUAUUCAAGGAUAUCCAAAAGACUAAGCUUGGAGAUGCCCCGGGAAGGCAUCCUCUCUUUCGUCUUCGUUCAUUGGUAACUUUACUUGGAGCUAUAUUUUUAUUCGCCACAUGAUAUGUGUUUUGCUUGGAGCAUCGUGUAUUAUAUUAGUCUUUGCUUUUUAGUUUACCACAAUCAUACUUUCUGUACACACCUUUUGGGAGAAGCCCACUUGAUUAGAAUUUGCUAGAAUACUCUAUGUGCUUCACUUAUAUCUUUUGAGAUUGAUAGUUUUUGCUCUAGUGCUUCACUUAUAUCUUUUAGAGCACGGCGGUGGCUUAAUUUUGAAGAAAUUGCUAGUCUCUCAUGCUUCACUUAUAUUAUUUUGAGAGUCUUUUAGAACAGCAUGGUAUUUGCUAUGGUUACAAAUUUGAUCCUAGAAUGAUGAGCAUCCAAGUUGGGUAUAAUAAAAACUAUCAUAGAAAGUGAAUUGGAUGUUAUGAUCAAUUUGAUGCUUUUUAAUUGUUUUGAGAUAUGGAGGUAGUGAUAUUAAAGUCAUGCUAGUUGAGGUGAUUAUGAAAAAUGCUUGUGUUGAGGUUUGUGAUUCCCGUAGCAUGCACGUAUGGUGAACCGCUUUGUGAUGAAGUUGGAGCACAAUUUUAUUUAUUGAUUGUCUUCCUUAUGAGUGGCGGUCGAGGACGAGUGAUGGUCUUUUCCUACCAAUCUAUCCCCCUAGGAGCAUGCGCGUAGUACUUUGUUUUUGAUGAAUUCUAGAUUUUUGCAAUAAGUAUAUGAGUUCUUUUGACUAAUGUUGAGUCCAUGGAUUAUACGCACCCUCACCCUUCCACCAUUGCUAGCCUCUCUUGUGCUGUGCAACUUUCGCCGGUACCAUACACCCACCAUAUACCUUCCUCAAAACAGCCACCAUACUUACCUAUUAUGGAAUUUCCAUAGCCAUUCCGAGAUAUAUUGCCAUGCAACUUUUCACCGUUCCAUUCAUAUGACACACAUUACCUUUUUCAUAUUGCUCUUUGCAUGAUCAUGUAGUUGACAUCGUAUUUGUGGCAAGGCCACCUUCAUAAUUUUCAUACAUGUCGCUCUUGAUUCAUUGCAUAUCCCGGUACACCACCGGAGGCAUUCAUAUAUAGUCAUAUCUUGUUCUAGCUUUGAGUUGUAAUUCUUGAGUUGUAAAUCCAUAAAAGUGUGAUGAUCUUCAUUAAUUAGAGCAUUGUCUCAGUGAGGAAAGGAUGAUGAAGGCUAUGAUUCCCCCAUAAGUUGGGUUGAGACUUCGAACUUUACAAAAAGAAAAGAAAAAAGGCCAAAAAGAAAAAAAAGGCCAAAGAAAAAAAAAGAAAAGAAAAAUAUGAGAGAAAAAGAGAGAAGGGAGAAUGCUACUAUCUCUUUUUCCACACUUGUGCUUCAAAGUAGCACCAUGAUCUUCAUGAUAGAGAGUCUCAUAUGUUGUCACUUUCAUAUACUAGUGGGAAUAUUUCAUUAUAGAACUUGGCUUGUAUAUUCCAAUGAUGGGCUUCCUCAAAAUGCCCUAGGUCUUCGUGAGCAAGCAAGUUGGAUGCACACCCACUUAGUUUCUUUUGUUGAGCUUUCAUAUAUUUAUAGCUCUAGUGCAUCCGUUGCAUGGCAAUCCCUACUCACUCACAUUGAUAUCUAUUAAUGGGCAUCUCCAUAGCCCGUUGAUACGCCUAGUUGAUGUGAGACUAUCUUCUCCUUUUUUGUCUUCUCCACAACCACCAUUCUAUUCCACAUAUAGUGCUAUGUCCAUGGCUCACGCUCAUGUAUUGCGUGAAAGUUGAAAAAGUUUGAGAUUAUUAAAGUAUGAAACAAUUCCUUGGCUUGUCAUCGUAUUGUGCAUGAUUAAAUACUUUGUGUGAUGAAGAUAGAGCAACAACCAGACUAUAUGAUUUUGUAGGGAUAACUUUCUUUGGCCAUGUUAUUUCGAGAAGACAUGAUUAAUUUGAUUAGUAUGAUUGAAGUAUCACCAUUUCUUAUGUCAAUAUGAACUUUUAUUUUGAAUCAUUUGGAUCUGAACAUUCAUGCCGCAAUAAAUAAAUUUACAUUGAGAAUUAUGCUAGGUAGCAUUCCACAUCAAAAAUUCUGUUUUUAUCAUUUACCUACUCGAGGACGAGCAGGAAUUAAGCUUGGGGAUGCUUGAUACGUCUCCAACAUAUCUAUAAUUUUUUAUUGUUCCAUGCUAUUAUAUUACCCCUUUUGGAUGUUUAUGGGCUUUAUUUUACACAUUUAUAUCAUUUUUGGGACUAACCUACUAACCGGAGGCCCAGCCCGUAUUGUUGUUUUUUGCCUAUUUCAGUAUUUCGAAGAAAAGGAAUAUCAAACAGAGUCCAAACGGAAUGAAAUCUUUGGGAGCGUGAUUUUCGGAACGAACGUGAUCCAGAGGACUUGGAGUGCAAGUCAAGAAGCAGCCGAGGCGGCCACGAGAGGGUAGGGCGCGCCCACCCCUAUAGGGCGCGCCCCCUGUCUCGUGGGCCCCUGGGGCGGCCACCGACGUACUUCUUCCUCCUAUAUAAGCCUACGUACCCCGAAAACAUCCAGGGAGCCAACGAAACACAAUUUCCACCACCGUAACCUUCUGUAUCCGUGAGAUCCCAUCUUGGAGCCUUUGUCGGCGCUCCGCCGGAGGGGGAAUCGACCACGGAGGGCUUCUACAUCAACACCAUAGCCUCUUCGAUGAGUUGUGAGUAGUUUACCACAUACCUUCGGGUCCAUAGUUAUUAGCUAGAUGGCUUCUUCUCUCUUUUUGGAUCUCAAUACAAUGUUCUCCCCCUCUCUUGUGGAGAUCUAUUCGAUGUAAACUCUUUUUGCGGUGUGUUUAUCGAGAUCCGAUGAAUUGUGGGUUUAUGAUCAAGUUUAUCUAUGAGAAAUAUUUGAAUCUCCUCUGAAUACUUUUAUGUAUGAUUGAGUUAUCUUUGCAAGUCUCUUCGAAUUAUCAGUUUGGUUUGGCCUACUAGAUUGAUCUUUCUUGCCAUGGGAGAAGUGCUUAGCUUUGGGUUCAAUCUUGCGGUGUCCUUACCCAGUGACAGAAAGGGUUGCAAGGCACGUAUUGUAUUGUUGCCAUCGAGGAUAAAAAGAUGGGGUUUAUAUAAUAUUGCAUGAGUUUAUCCCUCUACAUCAUGUCAUCUUGCUUAAAGCGUUACUCUGUUCUUAUGAACUUAAUACUCUAGAUGCAGGCAGGAGUCGGUCGAUGUGUGGAGUAAUGGUAGUAGAUGGAGGCAGGAGUCGGUCUACUUGUCGCGGACGUGAUGCAUAUAUACAUGAUCAUGCCUAGAUAAUCUCAUAAUUAUUCGCUUUUCUAUCAAUUGCUCGACAGUAAUUUGUUCACCCACAGUAAUACUUAUGCUAUCUUGAGAGAAGCCUCUAGUGAAACCUAUGGCCCCCGGGUCUAUCUUUUAUCAUAUUUGCUUCCAAUCUACUUUUAUUUGCGUCUUUACUUUUUGCAUCUAUCUUAUAAAAUACCAAAAAUACAUUUAUCUUAUCAUACUAUCUCUAUUAGAUCUCACUUUUGCAAGUGGCCGUGAAGGGAUUGACAACCCCAUUAUUGCGUUGGUUGCGAGUUCUUUGUUUGUUUGUGUAGGUGCGUGGGACUUUUGAGGAGCCUCCUACUGGAUUGAUACCUUGGUUCUUAAAAACUGAGGGAAAUACUUACGCUACUAUUGCUGCAUCACCCUUUCCUCUUCAAGGAAGACCAACGCAAGCUCAAGACGUAGCAGUGGGCACGGGUAGCUAAUCCACUCUUCCUCCUUUUGUUCUUCGCUCUCCUCAUCAUCUUUUUCAUCCAAUGAGCUCAAAGUUUCAUCAAUUUCUUCUUCCAUAGACUCCUGCAAAAUACUAGUCUCUUCUUGGACAGCGGAGACUUCCUCAAUAAAUGCAUCAAUAUCGGCAUUAUAUUCAUAAUUCUCAUAGCAAUAUCUAAGUAUAGCAAAAAAUUUAGGCCUGUAAACAGCAUCAUCAAGAUUUUCACACUCUUUAAACAAAGAUUCAAUUUCAUAAGCACCCAUAAAACUAAAGAGUUCUUCUAUUUGUUCCACAUCAUAGUAAUCAUAAAUACCAUUAGUAUAAGAAGCCAAGGUUUUAUCAUCAUUAAGUUUGCAUGAAAAGGGAAGGUGUGGAGCCUUCAUCCUAGAGCAACAAGUAUAAUCAUAUCUCAAGCAUAGUUCCCGAGCAUACCAAUGCAACAUAUGAAUUUGAUCCCAUAAUAGUUCCCCUUUUUGUGUCAAGCGAUAAUCCCUAAAGUAUUCGCGUUGAUCCAACGUGUCUCCCAUAACAUAAUUGAAUGGGGUUUUCUCAGGAUUAUCAAAGUAGUACAUAAUAUCUUUCACAUAAUGAGCAUCAAGCGUUUUAGGAGGUUCCCCAUCUCCAUGAGUAGCAAGUACACCUAUUUUUUUUUGGUAUUUCGUGUUCCAUAUCCAUAACUAAAGAUAGAGAACAACUUAGAACAGCAAAUGAAAAAUACUUAGUGAUAAAGCAAACAAGCACACGCGAGAACAUUCACCCCACGAGCUGACUCCCCGACAACGGCGCUAGAAAAAGGUCUUGAUAACCCACAAGUGUAGGGGAUCAGUUGUAGCCUCUUUCAAUAAGUAAGAGUGUCGAACCCAACGAGGAGCUAAAGGUAGAACAAAUAUUCCCUCAAGUUCUAUCGACCACCGAUACAACUCUACGCACGCUUAACGUUUUCUUUACCUAAAACAAGUAUGAAACUAGAAGGACUUUGUAGGUGUGAUAGGAUAGGUUUGCAAGAUAAUAAACAACACGUAAAUAUAAACUAGGGGCUUUUUAGAUGAAUACACAACUAAGUUAGUUUUAGUAGAGAGCUUUUUGUCACGAGAAAGUUAUUUGUCCCUAGGCAAUCGAUAACUAGACCGGUAAUCACUAUAGCAAUUUUAUUUGAGGGAGAGGCAUAAGCUAACAUACUUUUUCUACUUGGAUCAUAUGCACUUAUGAUUGGAACUCUAGCAAGCAUCCGCAACUACUAAAGAUCAUUAAGGUAAAACCCAACCAUAACAUUAAAGCAUCAAGUCCCCUUUAUCCCAUACGCCACAACCCCCUUACUCGGGUUUAUGCUUCUGUCACUCAAGCAAACCACUAUAAGCGAAUCAUGAACAUAUUGCAACAUCCUACAACGGGAAUCCCUCACGCUUGCGCGACACGGAGAGCACCAUAGGACAGCACAAAUAAUAAAACAUGCAACUCAAACCAAUCAUGAUCAUCAAUUAACCCAUAGGACAAAACAGAUCUACUCAAACAUCAUAGGAUAGCCAUACAUCAUUGGGAAAUAAUAUAUAGCGUUGAGCACCAUGUUUAUAAGUAGAGAUUACAGCGGGUAAAGAGAGUUUACACCGCUGCAUAGAGGAAGGAAGAGUUGGUGAUGAGGGCGGUGAAGUUGUUGGUGUAGAUUGCGGUGAUGAUGAUGACCCCGGCGGCGUUCCGGCGCCACCGGAAGCAAGGGGGAGAGAGCCCCCCUUCUUCUUCUUCUUCCUUGACCUUCUCCCUAGAUGGGAGAAGGGUUACCCCUCUAGUCCGUGGUCUCCAUGGUUUGGGAGGGGCGAGAGCCCCUCCGAGAUUGGAUCUGUCUCUCUGUCUCUCUCUGUUUCUGCGCUCUCAGAUUCUGCCCUUUCACCGUUUCUUAUAUAUCCGGAGAUCCGUAACUCCGAUUGGAUUGAAACCUUCGCCAAGAUUUUUUUUCAAAAAUUAGCUUUCUUGCGGCCAAAGAAGAGCAGUAACCGCCUUACGGGGUGCCUACGAGGGUCAAGGACGCGCCUGCCCCCUGGGGAGCGCCCCCUGCCUCGUGGCCCCCUCGGGUACCGUCUCGCGUUGAUUCUUCUUACAGAAAAUCAUAAAUAUUCCAAAAAUAUUCUCUAUCCAUUUUUAUCCCGUUUAUACUCCGUUUGAUAUGGGUUUUCUGCGAAACAUAAAACAUGCAACAAACAGGAACUGGCACUGGGCACUGGAUCAAUAUGUUAGUCCCAAAAAUAAUAUAAAAAGUUGCCAAAAGUAUAUGAAAGUUGAAUAAUAUUGGCAUGGAACAAUCAAAAAUUAUAGAUGCGAUGGAGACGUAUCAAGCGCCAGCAAGACAAGGAAGAGCAAAUGAACACCUUCAUGGAGAUCCAAAUGAGGAGGCUUGAGAUGGACGCGGAGAAGCAAGUCAGGAUGCUUGAGAUCGAAGCUGCCAAUACCAAGACCAAGGCGAAUGAAGUGGCGCUUGCUAGCAUGAUGACGGGAGUGGAGAUCAUGAAGGUGGACCUGAACGUCGCGUCACUGAGGAAGAGGCCAUGGUUCGAGAAGAUGCAGGCCGACAUGCUCAAGUUCGACGACGAGUGAUCUAUGGCGGAGAGCGCCAUAUUUUUUUGUAUGCUGGCAAGUGUGCUGGCAUGACCACGACCGAGAUAGCGUGGUCGAGUUCCUGCUCCUUUUUGUGUGCUGGCAUGUGUGCCGGCUGCUGGCAAGUGCGUUAGCAUAACUGUGUGCUAUUUUUUUAGGCUAGCAUUGUAGCCGGCCACUGGCAUGGCGCUAGCAUGAAUUUUGGGCAAUGCAUCGCCGCUGGCAUGAUCUAGGUCGCAGACCUUUUAAAAUUAAUGUGUCAACACACGCGUUGGACGCACGGCUGAUAAAUAUCGCGUUGGACCCAUGAUCGACACAUAUCCAAAAGAGGGCGGAUGCCGAGCGGGCAGCCGACCCAACCGAACAAAAGAUGAACAUUGUGCGCUUUGUUGUCGCGUUGGAGUUGCUCUGACCACCCACCCAACAACGUCCAAGGGCGGGGAGACCCACUGCCCACCUAGCCCCCAUGUGUCGUCGUGUAGGCACACUGCCCAUGCCAUGGAGUCUCUCACCACCCACCGAUCUCCUCUACCACCACGCCAUUGCGCCUCUCCAACAUUUAAACAGCCAAACCAAACAAAUCCACACACGCCGCCCGUACUGCUCCACUGCACCACCACCCACACAGUACCACUCUCCCACUCUCCCCUAGCUCCAGCUCCAGCUGAGCUAGCUCCCCUCAUUGCCACACCGGCAAUGGCGACCCCGUGUUCCCUCCCAAUUUGAGCACAAGCGAGUCCUAAGCUUGGGGGAGUUGAUACGUCCAUUUUGCAUCAUGUUUUUCAUGUUGAUAUUUAUUGCAUUAUGGAAUGUUAUUUCACUUUAUAAUACAAUUCUUAUGUCUUUUCUCUCUUACUUUGCAAGAAUUAUAUGAAGAGGGAGAUUGCCGGCAACUGGAAUUCUGGACCGGAAAUGGCUAUAUUGGAGGCAAUUUUUCUGAACAUCUCCAAAUGAGCUGAAAACUAACGGAGAAUUAUUUUGAAAUAUAUUAAAAUUAUUGGCAAAAGAAAUACUAGAGGGGGACCCACCAGACAACCAUAAGUCUGUGGGCACGCCCUACCCCCUGGGCAUGCCCCCACGAGCUUGUGGUGAUCCUAGCAGGCCUCUAGGGCCAAUCUUUUGGUAUAUAACCCCAUUUUCCCUAGAAGAAAUAGAGAGAGAGCUUUCGGAAUGAAGCGCCACUGUCUCGAGGCGGAACCUGGGCAGGAGCACUUUUGCUCUCUGACAGAGUGAUUCCGCCGGGGAAACUUCUCUCCAGGAGGGGGAAAUCGAAGCCAUCGUCAACGCCAACAACCCACUUAUCGUGAGAGGACCAAUGUUCAUCAACAUCUUCACCAACACCAUCUCAUCUCAAAAUCUAGUUCAUCUCUUGUAUUCAAUUUUUGUAUCAAAACCUCAUAUUGGUAUAUGUGGGUUGCUAGUAGUGUUGAUUACAUCUUGUAGUUCAUGGUAGUUGGUUUAUUUGGUGGAAGAUUAUAUGUUCAGAUCCAUGAUGCUAUUCAAUACCCCUCCAAUCUUGAACAUUAAUAUGAUUUAUGAGUAGUUGUUUUUGUUCUUGAGGACAUGGGAGAAGUCUUGUCAUAAGUAAUCAUGUGAAUGUGGUAUUCGUUCGAUAUUUUGAUGAUGUGUAUGUUGCGAUUCCCUUAGUGGUGUUAUGUGAACGUCGACUACAUGAUAUUUCACCAUCUUUUGGCCUAAGGGAAUGCAUUGUGAAAUAAUUAUUAGAUGAUGGGUUGCUAGAGUGACAGAAGCUUAAACCCUAAUUUAUGUGUUAUUCUCUAAGGGGCUGAUUUGGAUCCAUAUGUUUCAUGCUAUGGUUAGAUUUAUCUUAAUUCUUCUUUCGUGGUUGCGGAUGCUUGCGAGAGGGGGUAAUCAUAAGUGAGAGGCUUGUUAAAGUAAGAACAUCACCCAAGCAUCGGUCCACCCACACAUCAAAUUAUCAAAGUAGCGAAUGUGAAUCAAACAAGCAUGAUGAAAGUGACUAGACGAAGUUCCCAUGUGUCCUCAAGAACGUUUUAUUUGCUAUAAGAGAAAGUUUUGGCUUGUCAUUUGCUAUAAAAAGGAUUGUGCUACCUUGCUGCACCUAUUGGUACUAUUGCUACUUGUUGCUCGUUACAAAUUACCUUGCGAUCGAACUAUCUGUUACCGAUAAUUUCAGUGCCUGCACACAAUACCAUGCCGAAAACCGCUCGUCAUUUCCUUCUGCUCCUUGUUGGGUUCGAAACUCUUAUUUAUCGAAAGGACUAUGAUUGAUCCCCUAUACUUUUAGGUCAUCAGUGAACCAUACUGAAAUUUACCUCAUACUGGCGACCCGAGAACUUCCUGCCUACGUCCAUGUCUUCAUUUGCAACGCGGCGAGCAGGGGGGAUACGGUGGCAGCAAUUCUCUGCCAUGCUAUCCACGCCAUUGAACUGAGGAUCAAAAUCGUACUUUGGUAGGCCAAAGUUCACUCCGGGCAUCAUAUAUUUCUAAGCAAAUAACACAACACACAUGCAUACAUGAUUCACAAGAAUGGGGGAUCAUCACCUGAGAGCUACUCUUCGAUCCCCAGUAGGUACACCACUGUAUGCUUCCAUUCCUCGUCAUCGCGCCUCGAAAUGCCGGCGCCACCCAUCUCGCUUACAUUAGAGGAGAAGGCGGAGCAGAGAAAGAGCUCACAUGGCCGCGCCCUGGCCUCCUGCUGUCAUUCAACUGCUCGUCGACGGUGAGCAACCAAAGAAGUCCACUACCGCCGUCGUCGCCUACCUAGGGUUAGGAAUUUGGUUUCUGUUUCACGAAUCGAGGGGAUUUGGGGAUCGAGGGCUUUUUUGAGAUAAUUAUUGAAGCCCAGGAGGGUUUCUGCAUACAAGAAAACCAGGUUGCGUGCCUCACCUAGGGCGUAUUUGGUUGACUGCAUUAGGCCCAGCCUGGCCCGCGCGGGAAGAAUUUGGCCCGUUUGGUUUCCUGCAUUCACUGUGCGGCCCGCAUCGCACGAAACUUAAAGCACGUCCAGGCCAGGCCCAGGGGAAAUGCACGAAUCGGCAGUAGCUCGCGUGCCUGGCUCAGGCAAGGCAGGGGAGGGCGACGCGCUUCUCCCCUCGUGCGAGCAGGGGAGAUGGCGCGAGCUCGCCCGCAUCGCCAAAAAAUCGGCGAGAGGAUUUCGGCUCACCUCCCGCAGAGUCCACCCCUAUUUAGCCCCUCCCUCCCUGCCCCAACUCCCGCCACCAUUCUUCCUCCGUUUGAGCUUUCCCACCGACGCACAUCGGCACUGACGAGCAGGUAAGCGGCGCAUCUUCAUCGGCCGGCGGUCCACGGCGUCGGAGCUCCUUCACCGGUUAGCGUUCAUCUUCCACGAUCGUCCCCCCUCGUCCUCAAGCUACAGCCAUGGCCUCUGUGAGUUCAAUCCCCCUUUCUCUCUGUUCCUUCUAGCUAGAUCUGAGCUGCAGCUAGGGUUUGAUCUAGAUGCAUGGUUGAUUAGUGGUCUGAACUGUGAGCUAUUAUGGUUGGUUGCUAUGCUGCGGUUGCAACUUGUGGUAGGAUUAGAUGUUCAAGCAUGUGGUAGGCUAGAUUAGUAGUAGAGUUUGAAGUUGAACCUUGUGCUUGUGUUGAAUCAUGCUUAGAUCUGUGAUUUGUAGCUAUUGGUGGUCCAUUUGUAGCAUGCUGUUUGUUGUAGAUGUAUGUUCUUGCUCAUAGAUUGUCCGGUAUGCUUAGUAAGAUAGUAAUGAAGUAUGUGCUUGCUAUGAUAGUGAUGAACCAUGUACAUGUAUGCUCCCGCUUUCAUGGAUUGUCCGGUAUGUUGUGUGCUAUGCUCACUGUCAAUGCGUGCUACGAUUGUAGGACAUGACCAUGCAGACGCAAGAUCCUAGUCAGGCCCUUGUCGUGUCUGACAGCCAGUUUGCUCCAUCGUUUGUCGAGGACUCGCAGCCUAUGUCCGAGAUGGCACCUAAUUCAGAGGUGUUCGAGUCUGAUUCCCUCUAUGUGCCAGUAGUGCUCGUUGAGCCAACUCCUGCUGCUGCUGCCGCUGCAAUCAAGCUAGCAGCAGCAAAGGCAAAUAAGGAUGGUAGGUCGAACAACAUGAAGUGGCAGCCGUUCAUGUCCAUGUUCAUGCUGAACAAGAUGUGUGAGCUCAUCUCUAGUGGAGUUAGGACUGACAAGGGCUUCAAGGAGGUGCACUUGAACACCGUUGCGAAGCAGGUGUUCGAGUUCUGUGGGCGAGAGGUGUCUGCCACCCAGGCGUACAACCACCUGAGGGAGUGGAGAAGUCGAUGGAUCCAAGUGUCCAAGCUGAGAGACCUUAGCAGCGCCUCAUGGGAUGAGAACACUUGCUCCAUAGUUCUGGAGGCAGAGCACUACGCCGACCAUGUCGCGGUUAGCUCACGGCCCUCUUCCUUUUCAUACUGUACACCAUUGCCUACUCCUAAUCGCAACUAACAACACUUGUGUUUCAUUCUUAGGACCACCCAAGGGACGUUGAGUUCCUCAAAACACCCAUCUAGAACUACAGCCAGGUGCAACAUAUCUUCUCCUUCGGGCUGGCAACUGGGAAGCAUGCCAUGGGCUCGGGUGAGCCUCUUGGUUCUCCCAUGCUAGACUUCCCCGGGACACCGGACGUCGAGGUCCUUGAUGGCCCUGCAAGCCCGCUGCGAAGCCCUUCGACAAGCCAUUUGACCCCAUCCAUGAUAGGAAGAGGAAGAGAGGAGGCCUGAUGGAGGAGGAGAUCAAUGUCUUUUGCAGCAUGACUGAGGCGAUGAAGGAGGUGGCAACAACCAUCAGGGAGUGCAAGCCCCCCGACGUCCACCCUGACUUGUAUGGCGUUGUCAUGACCCAGGGUGGCUUCAGCGACGAGGCUCUCAUGGCAGCUCUCAGCCACCUGCUUGACAACAAGGCCCAGGGUGUUGGGUUCGUUGCCAUGGCCGACGCUCACAGGGUGCUGUGUCUCAGGAGCUGGUCGGGCAAGCACUACUACUAGAGUAGUGCUGCCUGUGAGCGUGCAUGAUCCCCGACGGCGAUGGCGGUGACGACGACGACGACAAUGACGAUGAAGACGUACACUUUGUGUAGCUAGGGCUCAAAAACUAUUUGAUGGUCUGUAUAUUUUGGUGAGGUGGUAUAUACUAACCCCUCACGCUGAUGGUGAACUUGCGGCGGUAGGACGACACCCUCUUUUGGAUGUGGUGGUAGGUUAACACCAAGGUAGUGCUAGAUUGAACUUGCUAUGCCGUAUGAUCAUGCAGGCUUUACUUCUCCUGCUCCAUUGUUGUUUGUGUGCUACUUUACUUGCUACAUGUGCUCCAUUGAUUUGCUGCUUCAACUCUUGCUCUUGUGCAUUGCUAGGGCAAGUGGUAUGCCGUGUUCAUCGGUGAGGUUCCAGGGGUUUAUAGUUCAUGGGAAGAAGUCAAUGCACAAGUGGCAUCGUAUAACAAUAGCAACUAUAGAGGGUUCAAGACUAGGCAGGCAACGGAACAAGCUUACUCCGCCUGGGUGCGAAAGCACGGAGGCAGCAGUGUUGACAGUGCCAAGGUUGGAGCUGUCAAAGUGGAAACUGCUAAGGUGGAUCGUCAGUUUGGGCUGAAGCUGAAGAACUUCAUCAUCUUCGCCCAGUUCGUCACCAUUGCUCUGUUGUGGUGUUGGUGUGAUCAUUGUGGGUAACUCACCAACUAGGGUACAAGGUAAGCACAACGUGUACGCCGUAUGCAACCAAACACCAUGUUCAUGUGCCGCUAGGGCCAAUGCAGCCAACCAAACAAAUUGCACUUGCGUAUUACCUAAUGCAGGGACACUAGAUGUGGGCAACCAAACAAAUUGCAUAUGGCGUAUUAGGCCCUGUUUUUGCUCAACCAGGCUGGGUUGAGAAGUGUAUGCGAUGCAGGCAUUGUAGCAAACGCCAACCAAACACGCCCCUAGUCCCUCCAUCGCCGAGAGCCACUGACAUGUGGGCCGGUGACACGCGAGCGGUGCAUGCCGUGGAAUACGUCUGGAGGCACUGUAUUUGAACCACAUGACAAGUUGCGGCACCACUUUUGCGUAUUUCAAGGUCAGGGGCAUCAAACCGAUCGCACGGAACAAGUUUAGACACUCACAGCGUAUUUAACUAUUUCUUUGGGGAAAACGAACAGCGCUGAGCUUGGUGGCAACGGAAACAAGGCAAACAUUGGUUUGGUAUAAAAAUACGAUCGAUGCCCGCGUGUGAGAGAGAUCGAGUCGGACGAGUAAAAAACAAGGGGGUUUGUUACAGUAUCGUUUACCGGUGGUACGAUCGAUGUUGUUGGCCUCGAGUUUUGGACGGUUCGUAUCAUCGUGUGCGUAUGGGCACGAAUCUUUCUUUUCUUUUGCCCGCCCGACGGAUAGACACUUUCAAUGGGUCCUGUUCUUGGGGUGCGACGUGCAUAGGACCGUGGAUGCGCCGGCCGGCUCCGUGCCAAGUGCGUGUCGACCCGUGGUGCGACAGAAUUUGGUAAACAACGUUGACGAGUACAUACGAUCAGCUACAAGUACUCGGGGCGGAGAGGCCAAACACGCCGUGCCCCACGGUGUCACGGGGACAUUAACAUUUCGAAUUUAUUUGUUUACUCCCUCCGUCUAGGGGUGUAAGUCAUCUCAUGAAAACCAAAUAAUCCCAAAACACGUAGGCGCGAUGCAUUAACUUCUACCUCGUUUCUUGUUUCUUAACAUAUCAACCAAUAAGAGAUGAGGGUGUGCAUGCUUUUAAUGACCUGAGACUAUCAAACAUGACAUGCAGUGGUUAGUUCAUUGCAUGCAAUACUAUUAAUUAGCAAAUAAACAUUAAUGUCUCUCGUUUUCCCCUCCUCCUUGGUCACGGUGCACAGCCUAAGAUGACUUACUCACCUAGACGGAGGGAGUACGAUCCACUUCCUACUCGUAGUAGUACUACUACAAGGCGCAGCGUACUGUACAAACUUGGGGCCUUUCACGUAGGUGGAAAACUGCAAUAAAUGAGGAAAACUGCAGUAAAUGGACGCCGAUAUGAGGAAAGGGCGCACCUCGCCCGCCUGCCACCGCGACAGGCGGCCAGUGCUCCGGCCAGUGGACGCGCGCACACGGGGCCCGCUUACUACAAGCGCAGGUGUGCACCGUGCGACCAGAAUCGCACGGCCUGGAUCCCUCGUCAAAACCGCAUUGACCACCCGCCAACGGCGUCCGAGGGCGGGGAACCCGGGAAGCGAUGCCAUUGCCUUGCCAGCCCCACCGCCCACCUCGCCCCCGCGUGCCGCCGUGCAGGCGCACUGCCCCACGCCACGGACCACCGCCACCGCUCUCCUCCUCCUCUACCUCCGCGCCAUUGCGCCUCCCCAACAUUUAAACAGCCAGACCAAACAAAUUCACACACGCCGCCCCGUACUGCUCCACUGUACCACCACCCACACAGUCCCACUCUCCCACUAGCUCCAGCUCCAGCACGCUGCCACGCCGGCAAUGGCGCCCCCCUGCUUCCUCCCCGCCCUCCUCCUCGUCACCCUCGCGGCGCUGUCCCCUACCCCGGCCGCGGCCGCGCGGUUCGCGUGCAACGCGACGGCGCCGCGGGCGUCCACCUGCCAGGCCCUGGUCUCCUACUCGCCGCCCAACGCCACCACUCUGGCGGCCGUCCGCGCGCUCUUCCAGCUCCGCUCGCACCGGGCGCUGCUCGCCUCCAACAACCUCCCGCUCUCCACGCCCACCACCGCCCCGGCCCCGUCCCCGGUCCGCGUCCGCCUGCCCUGCCUCUGCUCCGGCGGGGCCGGCGCCACCUUCCAGCGGCCCACGUACAAGGUCCGCGCGGGCGACACGCUCGACGCCGUCGCGCGCGGCGCCUUCGCGGGGCUCGUCACGUACCGCGACAUCGCCGCCGCCAACAACGUGUCCGACCCCAACCGGGUCGCCGUGGGGCAGGAGCUCUGGGUGCCGCUGCCCUGCAGCUGCGACCCCGUCGGAGGGGAGCCCGUCGUGCACCUCACGUACGUCGCGCCUGCCGGGAGCUCCGUCGCCGGGAUUGCGGAGGAGUACGGGACCACGGAGGAGACGUUACUGGCGCUCAACCGCAUGCCCGACGCCAAGAGCCUCCUCGCCGGCCAGGUCCUCGACGUGCCGCUCCGAGGUAGUGCCGCCACAAAGACCUCUGUCUCUCUUUUCUUGUUGCUAACUUGCCAUUGCUCCAAGAUUCAGCUUUUUUUUUCUUCCUAUAUAUGCAUUUUGCCUCCUCUUUUUUGUUGUUCAAUGAUAAACCGUUAGGAUAUCUCUUCUUUUUGCGAUAGUUUGCUACUGAUAGCUUGUGCGAUAUGUACUUCUUUAUUAUUGGUGGAUCCAACAAAUUAUAGGAUACAAUGGCAGUUGCUGAUGUGAAGCUGCAUCUAUCAAACAUUUUCUGAACUCUUUUUAGGUUCUUUCUACUGGUAAAAGUGGAGGGAGCCAUGGAGAUGCUUUGCCAACACAAAGUUGAAAGUUCUACUAUCUCUUUUCUUGACCCUCUUUGACUCUUUGUAGAUUGUAGUACGAGUAGUAGUACUUUUUCACAAUGUCCCGAGGUUGCUUUUCAGAUUGUUUACCCUGAAAAGUUGUGCUUGUGAUGGGCAAAAAGGGGUUUUCUACCUAGCAAGUUGCAACACAUAUCAUACCUCGGUUCAGAUUAGAGUCUUGGAUAUGCUGCCACUUGAAUCUGAAGUUAUGAACAGUUAACAUUUCUCGUAUGGUAUGGUUGAUUCCAGGAGGUUAUACAUCUUCUUUCUCCGAGGAAAAAAAUUGGACCAAAAGAAUUGUAGUACUACUAGCCGGGUUAAAUGAUCGUAGCAGGACCAAAUAAUUCAGUCAAGAAUCUAUCUGUCUUCUAAUUUGCAAGUCAUUUGAUAUGUUCAUACAUAUACCACCUGGUUAAUUUGGGUUCUCCGAUUCAUGACAAAGCUUGUAUAUGUUGAGAUGCUCGUUACAGUUUACUUUCUGCUCUUUAUCUCUCUGAAUUUGACUGAACUGCUGUCAUCAAGCUUAACCUGGCAUAGUGUCACGAACAUUGUAACGCUUCCGCAAGUUAAUACUCCAUAUAAUAUAUACUACUGUACUUUUUGUUUGCGAGGGACAUGGUAUACCUUCGAAUUGUACAGUUACUCAUACAGAGUUCAGUUUAGAAAUUCUGGUUUAACAUACCGUGAUACUUGUGUGCAGCUUGCUCUUCUGCCAUUAGCAGCUCGGCCAUCGAUCGCAACCUCCGCGUCCCUAACGCGAGCUACAUCCUGACGGCCAACAAUUGCAUCAUGUGCGGCUGCAGCUCCACCACUUGGCAGUGAGUACUUCCUGGGCCAGUCAGCUUCUUCUCAUUCCUACUAAAUUAUACUCCCUCCUUGUCCCAAGCUUGUCCCAGGGACAAGCUUCUCCGGACGGAGGGAGUACUGUACGUGCUACUGAAACUGACGAAAUCUGAACUUGGCAAUGCUCUGAAAAUGUUCAGGCUGGACUGCCAGCCGACGCAAGGGUUGACACCCUCCUGCCCGGCGGCGAAAUGCGGAGACCUGUUCCUCGGGAACACGUCGACGUCCGCCACCUCGACCUGCGAGAGCACAACGUGCUCCUACGCCGGCUACACGAACAGCACCUCGUUCACCAUCCUCGCCAACCUCACCACCAGCUCCGUGUGCAACGGUGAGCGCUUAGCCAUUGGCUGUACAUUGUCAUUGUUGUGUACAAAUGCCAUUGUCAUUGACACCGGCUUGUUGGUUGUGGCAGCUGCUGGGGUAUCGCCGGCCGCACAGCCGUCGCACUCCUCGGCGUCCAGAUUGGGGUCGCCGGUGCGGUGGUCGGAGCUGAUCGUCGGGCUUCAUAUCGCUCUGCUGUGCCUCGGGUUUCUGCGCCGUGAUUGAGUAGCAAUUCAGAUUCUUGUCGCUGGACGUGUAGGUUUUAGUUCUGUCCUGUGAGUAAUUUGGGACGCGCUGCGUGUGCGGCUUCGGUUUGCAGGAUGUGUUGGAAGGCAGACGUGAGGGGAACACUCGUUCUGUGUUAGUAGAAGGUACUCGUAGAUCAGAUCGGGGCAGAUUUGUAGUGCCGAACAGUAUUUCCAUCGUUUUUUGGUUUUAGCCUGGUGUUAUCACUCUAUAAAAUCGGGAUAAAUGGGAGACCCUCUUUGUUUUAGGAUUUCGCUACAAGCCGAACUCCAGGCUUUUAACCAUGACAAAUCAAACGUGUUUUUAGGAUGGCAAUUCUUUUUACUCCCUCCGUUUCUAAAUAUUUGUCUUUCUAGACAUUCAAAUGGAUUACAACAUACGGAUGUAUGUAGACAUAUUUUAGAGUGUAGAUUCACUCAUUUUACUCUGUAUGUAGUCACUUGUUGAAAUCUCUAAAAAGACAACUAUUUAGGAACGGAGGGAGUAGCAAGCAUGGCAAUUCCUUCAGUUUUUGGCAAUGAUUUGCUAUGCUUCUUAGAGGGAAUUUUCAUCCUUGUGUCAACUUAAUUUGCCAUUAAAAAAGCGUUAGCUAUGGAUUCUUCGCCGUUAAAGACAGAUAAGAAAUCAGAUUCGGGGGUGAGAAGUGGCUAGUCAAUGCUAGACUCGGAGAACAAUAUCCGGCUCUAUAUAAUAUAGUACAUCAUUUUGAAAUCAUGAGCAAAUUACGAUGAGAUUUAAUCCGAAUAAACACAAAAUAAAUCAUGACAGCAAUAUCAGAGAUUGAAUUAAUCGUGCGGAUUAGCAUAGUAGAUGAACAGAUCGAAUCUAAGGCAUAAACCAGAAUCAUGAAUUCUAAGGCAUAGACCAGAAUCAUGAAUUCUACCACGAUGUCGAACAAGAGGGACAGAAUCACAUACGGUGCAAUGGGAGCAGAACCAUUGGCAUUGACGUUGUCGCCCAUGUCGUUGAGGAAGAGGUUGGCGAGGUCAGGGAAGAAGUCGUCGUUGCUAACAGUCGCGCGAGUGCGCUCCCCGAAAAUCUGAUCGUCCCUCCCCCGUAAAGGAUCACGAGAGGCGAGGUUCGGAGGCCUGUUGUCCCUUCUCACGGUGCACGCCGGAAAGAGGGAUGAAGAAGACUUGCGUGGCGGCGCAAUGAUCUGAAACGGUGCGAAACCAUAUGAUGCGAUGGUGUCUAGGGUAGAUGUCUGCCUGACUAUAUAAUACGGGUCGGGUAGGUCGUGGGAGUAAACCCCACGCCAAGUCGCGAUCCAAAAAAAUCAGAACGAUUCGGUAAUUAAAGCGUCUAUUAAUUAUUAAUUAAUGACGCAUUAAUUUUCCCGAGUAUAAAAAUAUAGACAACGUGCAUAGCUUUGCUCUCCGCUCGGCUCAUUCCCGAAACGCAAGCGCGGCGCGGAGGAGGAGGAGGAGCGCGCGUGUAGGUCUCCUCUUCUGAUGCUCAUACAAGUGUUAGAAGAGUUCACCUUACGAAGAGGUGCAACUCCCAUUCAACUUCCGGGGUGGGACUAAACUUUAGUUCCACUCACGGCCAUGCAUGAAUGGGCAUGAGAAUUUUAGAUUUUUAGUUGGGCUUUGGGCCAAAGGCCUACUAACAAAUUCCAACAAUCCCUCACAAAAUCUCACUGGCACAUGUCAUCAUUUAGUUCCAAAACAUUGUAUAUAUAUCGAUGGUUAGUGGCGAAAACUCAAAACGGUGCCCGGGCUCAUCUGCUCCCUCUCAGCAAAAAAUUCAAAAAAAAAAAUACUAGAAAAAUUCAAAAAAAAAUCCAAUUUUUUGUGGUGGUAGAUAAUUUGACGCGUGAGGUUCGCCCCAAAAUUCAACUUAUUUGGACAUCUGAGCAGCUUUCGGCAAAAAAGACAAAUCUGGUCAAAACAGUGCGUGAACAGUAAACAUUUUUACAGACCCUCAUUUUGUCUUUUUUGCCGAGAGCUGCUCAGAUGCUCAAAUGAGUUGAGUUUUGGGGCGCACCUCACGCGUCAAAUUAUCUACCACCACAAAAAAAAAUUGGAAUUUUUUAAAUUUUUCUAGUAUUUGUUUUGAAUUUUUUUCUAAGCAUGGGUGCAGAUUAGCCGCACUCUGUUUAGUGGAGACUAUUAAGUUGAACUUUUACUUAGAACUUUAUGAUACGCUAGACCACAACUUGAAUAGUGGACUAUGCCUUGAACUACAAGUUUUUUGCGGGACUAGUUUCGCACAAAUUCUUGACCGAUAUUAGGCUGCCGCAAGACUUUCCCGCGGGUGGAGCGUAUACGUCAUACUCCAGGGCCUUUCAUGAAAUUUAUUAGAGAACACCCAAUCUCACACACUGCGACUUUUAACAGUCAAAUUCAUAUAGGUAUGUUUCUCAGGAGAUGUUCUGCAGGACGGCAUCUCUUUAACUAAAAUAAGCCACUCACAACACAAUAAGAUAACUAUCAACCUGCCAUGCAGAUCAGGAGAGUAUUGCAUCUUCACGGAGUGGGGUCAUUAAUAUUGGGAUACUCUCCUCCCCGCUGACCAACAGCUUGUCUCCCACUUCUACUUCACGGGAUCUCCGAUCACUUAGAGUGGGUUACCACUGUGGACAACUCAUACGGUGGGUCUCAAACCCAUCUCCAUCGAUGCAUUAUCUAUCACAUUACUUUAUAAACCCUUUAUGAAGGGAUUUUCCAAGUUUUUCAACAUUUGGAUAUAAUCCAACAUAAUAACUCCGGAGUUCUUCAAUUUUCUAACAGAUUUUAAUCUCCCCUUCACAUGCCUCGAGGACUUAAUAUUAUCCUUAGAACUGUUUAUCUUGACGAUCACAGUUUGAUUAUCACAAUUCAUCAGGGUAGGGGGUAUUCGUUUUUCAACCAAGGUAAGUCCAUCAAGAGCUAAUGAAGCCACUCUGCUUCAACAAUGGCAGUGUCUAAUGUUGUUAGUUCUGCUUCCAUAGUUGACCUCGUUAAGAUGGCCUGCUUGCAAGACUUCCAGGAAACAGCGUCACCACCAAGUGUAAAAACAUAACCACUUGUGGCCUUAAUCUCAUCAGCAUCAGAUAUCCAGUUUGAGUCACUAUAACCCUCCAGUACCCUCGGAUACCCGAUGUAGUGAACCCCAUAGCUCGUAGUGCCUUUCAAAUAGCUCAUAACUCUCUCAAGCACAUGCCAAUGAUCAUCUCCCGGUUUUGACACAAACCAGCUCAGUUUUCUCACAGCAAACAAGAUGUCAGGCCUCAUGGCACUCGCCAGAUACAUAAGCGAGCAAAUAAUCUGAGAAUAUCUCAGUUGAUCUAUAGCAAUCUGUCGAUUCUUUCGAAGCAACACACUAGCAUCAUAUGGGGCUGGAGAGGGCUUGUAGUCAGUAUACCCAAAACGACUCAAGACCUUUUCCACAUAGUGAGAUUGAAGCAGUGUAAUCCCACCAUUCUCAUCCCUCAACAACUUGAUGUACAGAAUAACAUCAACUACUCCUAGAUCCUUCAUCUCAAAACAUCAAGAUAAGAAAUCCUUAACCUCCUUGAUUAAAUCAAGUUUGGUUCCAAAGAUCAGUAUGGCAUCGACAUACAGACAAAGAAAAAUCCUUCGCCCCCACCAUGGCGAUAGUACACACACUUGUCACCUUUGUUUAGAACAAAGCCUGUAGCAGUUAAUGUUGUUUCAAACUUCUCAUGCCACUCCUUAGGAGCUUGUUUAAGGCUAUAUAAAGACUUUAAUAGCUUGCACACCUUUCCUUCCUGACCAGGUACUAAAAAACCAUUUGGCUAAUCCAUGUAAAUUUCCUCGUUCAACUCUCCAUUCAGGAAGUCGUCUUAAUGUCCAUUUGAUGAACAAGAAGACCGUGUGAGGCAACCAGUGAUAGUAGCACCCGAAUAGUGGUCAGUCUAGCCGCAAGUGAGUAAAUGUCAAAGAAGUCUUCUCCUUCUUUCUGGGUAUAACCCUUGGCCACAAGCCGUGCCUUGUACUUUUCAAUCGUACCAUCAGGUCUAAGUUUUUUCUUGAACACCCACUUACAUCCUACAGGUUUAUACCCAUAAGGAUGAUUAGUGAUUUCCCAGGUUCUGUUAGUUAAAAUGGAAUCCAUCUCGCUGUGGACAACUUCUUCCGGUAGUCAGCAUCGGGAGAUGCAUAGGCUUAUGAAAUAGUCCUGGGUGUGUCAUCCACGAGGUACACAAUAAAAUCAUCACCAAAGGACUUCAUAGUCCUCUGUCUCUUACUCUUUAUAGGAGUUUCAUUGUCAUCCGCCACAGGAUUCUCAACAUAUUCCAUCGCAAUGGUGCAUUCAAGAAUUAUACCUAAUUCCUAACUUGAUAGAGUAGAUAAAUCCUGGUUUGAUGAACUCGACAUAUCCUUCAUAGGAAAUAUGUCCUCAAAGAAAGUCGCAUCAUUCGACUCCAUAAUUGUACCAACAUGCAUAGCCCAGAAGAACACAAUUCACGGUUUUUGGUCCAAAUUUGUGCUUCAUGGGAAUUGGUAUAUUGACUUUUGCCAAACAACCCCAAGUACGUAGGUAGGAGAGUUUCAAUCUUUUCAUUUCCCAUUCCUAAAAUGGAGUCAUGGUCUUAUGAUUUGUGGGAACUCGGUUUAGGACAUGACAUGCAGUCAUUAGCGCCUCCCCCCACCAUGCCUUGGAGAGACCCGAUGUGUCUAACACGGCGUUAACCAAAUCAGUUAGAGUUUGGUUCUUUCUUUCGGCCACCCCAUUUGACUGAGGUGAGUAGGGAGGCAUCCUCUCAUGAUUUAUACCAUGUUUCGCACAAAACAAAUCAAAUUCAUUGGAAAAAUACUCCACCAUGAUCAGACCUAAAUCGUUUAAAUUUUUAAUCAAGUUGGUUCUCUGCUUCAGCCUUAUACUACCUCCGUCCGGGUUUAGAGGGCCGGAGAGCUAGUACAGCAGGACCAAGGCACUUGCGCGUGAUGCUUUGGUCUUCCCCCAAAGGCUGCACCCUACAUGCAUGCACCCAGUGAAUAGCCGGCAUGCAGCAGAGUAAUUCUCUCCCCUGCCUGCAUGCAGUGCGCUCAGCCAAUCUUCUCGCGAGCCAGCAGGGCAAUUAAAGCAUCCGGCCUUGUAAUUGUGUACGACAUGGGCUGGCUAACCGGACUUGUAUACCCGGGCGGAGGUAGUAGUUUUUAAAGAAAUUUAAAGCCUCGUCUUUUGAUUUCAGAAGAUACACAUAACAAUAUCUAGUGGAGUCAUCAAUCAACGUCAUGAAGUAUUUCUUUCCACCUUUUAUCAACACGCCAUUCAUCUCACAAAGAUCAGAAUGUAUAAGCUCUAGUGGCGCCAAGUAUCUUGCCUCUGCAGUCUUAUGGGAUUUGUGAGGUUUCUUAGCUUGAACACACACACUUGGCACUUGGUGAAGGAAAUAUGCCCUAGAGGCAAUAAUAAAGUUAUUAUUUAUUUCCUCAUAUCAUGAUAAAUGUUUAUUAUUCAUGCUAGAAUUGUAUUAACCGGAAACAUAAUACAUGUGUGAAUACAUAGACCAACAUAACGUCACUAGUAUGCAUGUACUUGACUAGCUCAUUAAUCAAAGAUGGUUAUGUUUCCUAACCAUAAACAUGUGUUGUCAUUUGAUUAAUGGGAUCACAUCAUUAGGAGAAUGAUGUGAUUGACAUGACCCAUUCCAUUAGCCUAGCACUUGAUCGUUUAGUAUAUUGCUAUUGCUUUCUUCAUGACUUAUACAUGUUCCUGUAACUAUCAGAUUAUGCAACUCCCGUUUACCGGAGGAACACUUUGGGUGCUACCAAACUUCACAACGUAACUGGGUGAUUAUAAAGGAGUACUACAGGUGUCUCCAAAGGUACAUGUUGGGUUGGCGUAUUUCGAGAUUAGGUUUUGUCACUCCGAUUGUCGGAGAGGUAUCUCUGGGCCCUCUCGGUAAUGCACAUCACUAUAAGCCUUGCAAGCAAUGUAGCUAAUUAGUUAGUUACGGAAUGAUGCAUUACGUAAUGAAUAAAGAGACUUGCCGAUAACGAGAUUGAACUAGGUAUUGGAUACCGACGAUCGAAUCUCGGGCAAGUAACAUACCGAUGACAAAGGGAACAAUGUAUGUUGUUAUGCGGUUUGACCGAUAAAGAUCUUCGUAGAAUAUGUAGGAGCCAAUAUGAGCAUCCAGGUUCCGCUAUUGGUUAUUGACCGAGAAUAGUUCUAGGUCAUGUCUACAUAGUUCUCGAACCCGUAGGGUCCGCACGCUUAACGUUACGAUGAUAGUUUUAUUAUGAGUUCAUAAGUUUUGAUGUACCGAAGUUUGUUCGGAUUCCCGGAUGUGAUCACGGACAUGACAAGGAGUCUCUAAAUGGUCAAGACAUAAAUAUUGAUAUAUUGGAAGCCUAUGUUUGGACAUCGGAAGUGUUUCGGGUGAAAUUGGCAUUUUACCGGAGUACCGGGAGGUUACCGGAACCCCCCGGUGACCUAAUGGGCCUUAGUGGGGCUAGUGGAGGAAGAGGAGAAGGGGCCAAGGGGCAGCCGCGCGCCCCUCCCCCCAAGUCCGAAUAGGACAAGGAGGGGGGCGGCGCCCCCCCUUUCCUUUCCCCCUCUCCUCCUUCCCCCCAAGUCCUAGUCCAACUAGGGAAGGGGGGAGUCCUACUCCCGGUGGGAGUAGGACUCCUCCGGCGCACCUCCUACUAGGGCCGGCUGCACCCCCCCUUGCUCCUUUAUAUACGGGGGUAGGAGGCACCCCAUGACACACAAGUUGAUCUACGGAUCGUUCCUUAGCCGUGUGCGGUGCCCCCCUCCACCAUAUUCCACCUCGGUCAUAUCGUCGCGGAGUUUAGGCGAAGCCCUGCGCCGGUAAAGCAUCAUCAUCGUCACCACGCUGUCGUGCUGACGGAACUCAUCCCCGACACUUUGCUGGAUCGGAGUCCGGGGAUCGUCAUCGAGCUGAACGUGUGCUGAACUUGGAGGUGCCGUACGUUCGGUACUUGGAUCGGUCGGAUCGUGAAGACGUACGACUACAUCAACCGCGUUGUCAUAACGCUUCCGCUUACGGUCUACGUGGGUACGUGGACAACACUCUCCCCUCUCGUUGCUAUGCCAUCACCAUGAUAUUGCGUGUGCGUAGGAUUUUUUUUGAAAUUACUAUGUUCCCCAACAGUGGCAUCCGAGCCUAGGUUUUAUGGGUUGAUGUUAUAUGCACGAGUAGAACACAAGUGAGUUGUGGGCGAUACAAGUCAUACUGCUUACCGGCAUGUCAUACUUUGGUUCAGCGGUAUUGUUGGAUGAAGCGGCCCAGACCGACAUUACGCGUACGCUUACGCAAGACUGGUUUUACCAUCGUGCUUUGCACACAGGUGACUAGCGGGUGUCUGUUUCUCCAACUUUAGUUGAACCGAGUGUGGCUACGCCCGGCCCUUGCGAAGGUUAAAACAGCACCAACUUGACGGACUAUCGUUGUGGUUUUGAUGCGUAGGUAAGAACGGUUCUUGCUCAGCCCGUAGCAGCCACGUAAAACUUGCAACAACAAAGUAGAGGACGUCUAACUUGUUUUUGCAGGGCAUGUUGUGAUGUGAUAUGGUCAAGACGUGAUGAGAUAUAAGUUGUUGUAUGAGAUGAUCAUGUUUUGUUGAAGUUAUCGACAACUGGCAGAAGUCAUAUGGUUGUCUGUUUGUUGUAUAAGAUGCAAGUGCCAAAUAAUUGCUUUACUUUAUCGCUAUACGAUAGCAAUAGUUGCAAGAGCAAUAGUUGGCGAGACGACCAUGUGACGACACAUUGAUAUAGAUCAAGAUGAUGAAGAUCAUGGUGUCGUGCCGGUGACGAUAGAGAUCAUGACAGUACUUUGGAGAUGGAGAUCAAAGGCGCAAGAUGAUCAUGGCCAUAUCAUGUCACAUAUUUUGAUUGCAUAUGAUGUUUAUCUUUUAUACAUCUUAUUUUGCUUAGUUUGACGGUAGCAUUUUAAGAUGAUCUCUCACUAAUUAUCAGGAAGUGUUCUCCCUGAGUAUGCACCGUUGCGAAAGUUCUUCGUGCUGAGACACCACGUGAUGAUCGGGUGUGAUAGGCUCUACGUUCAAAUACAACGGGUGCAAAACAGUUGCACACGCGGAAUACUCAGGUUAAACUUGACGAGCCUAGCAUAUAACAAAUAUGGCCUCGGAACACGGAGACCGAAAGAUCGAGCGUGAAUCAUAUAGUAGAUAUGGUCAACAUAUUGAUGUUCACCGUUGAAACUACUCCAUCUCACGUGAUGAUCGGACAUGAUGUAGUUGAUAUGGAUCACGUAAUCACUUAGAGGAUUAGAGGGAUGUCUAUCUAAGUGAGAGUUCUUAAGUAAUAUGAUUAAUUGAACCUAAAUUUAUCAUGAACUUAGUACCUGAUAGUAUUUUGCUUGUCUAUGUUUGUUGUAGAUAGAUGGCUCGUGUUGUUGUUCCGUUGAAUUUUAAUGCGUUCCUUGAGAAAGCAAAGUUGAAAGAUGAUGGUAGCAAUUACACGGAGUGGGUCCGUAACCUGAGGAUUAUCCUCAUUGCUGCACAGAAGAAUUACGUCGUGGAAGCACCGUUGGGUGCCAGGCCUGCUGCUGAUGCAACUGACGACGUUAAGAACGUCUGGCAGAGCAAAGCUGAUGACUACUCGAUAGUUCAGUGUGCCAUGCUUUACGGCUUAGAACCGGGUCUUCAACGACGUUUUGAACGUCAUGGAGCACAUGAGAUGUUCCAGGAGUUGAAGUUAAUAUUUCAAGCAAAUGCCCGGAUUGAGAGAUAUGAAGUCUCUAAUAAGUUCUAUAGCUGCAAGAUGGAAGAGAAUAGUUUUGUCAGUGAACACAUACUCAAAAUGUCUGGGUAUGAUAAUCACUUGAUUCAACUGGGAGUUAAUCUUCCUGAUGAUAGUGUCAUUGACAGAAUUCUUCAAUCACUGCCACCAAGCUAUAAGAGCUUCAUGAUGAACUAUAAUAUGCAAGGGAUGGACAAGACUAUCCCCGAGCUCUUCGUUAUGCUAAAAGCCACGGAGGUAGAAAUCAAGAAGGAGCAUCAAGUGUUGAUGGUUAACAAGACCACCAGUUUCAAGAAAAAGGGCAAAGGGAAGAAGAAGGGGAACUUCAAGAAGAACAGCAAACAAGUUGCUGCUCAAGAGAAGAAACCCAAGUCUGAACCUAAGCCUGAGACUGAGUGCUUCUACUGCAAGCAGACUGGACACUGGAAGCGGAACUGUCCCAAGUAUUUGGCGGAUAAGAAGGAUGGCAAAGUGAACAAAGGUAUAUGUGAUAUACAUGUUAUUUAUGUGUACCUUACUAAUGCUCGCAGUAGUACCUGGGUAUUUGAUACUGGUUCUGUUGCUAAUAUUUGCAACUCGAAACAGGGACUACGGAUUAAGCGAAGAUUGGCUAAGGACGAGGUGACGAUGCGCGUGGGAAAUGGUUCCAAAGUCGAUGUGAUCGCGGUCGGCACGCUACCUCUACAUCUACCAUCGGGAUUAGUUUUAGACCUAAAUAAUUGUUAUUUGGUGCCAGUGUUGAGCAUGAACAUUAUAUCUGGAUCUUGUUUGAUGCGAGACGGUUAUUCAUUUAAGUCAGAGAAUAAUGGUUGUUCUAUUUAUAUGAGUAAUAUCUUUUAUGGUCAUGCACCCUUGAAGAGUGGUCUAUUUUUAUUGAAUCUCGAUAGUAGUGAUACACAUAUUCAUAGUGUUGAAACCAAAAGAUGUAGAGUUGAUAAUGAUAGUGCAACUUAUUUGUGGCACUGCCGUUUGGGUCAUAUCGGUGUAAAGCGCAUGAAGAAACUCCAUGCUGAUGGGCUUUUGGAAUCACUUGAUUAUGAAUCACUUGGUACUUGCUAACCGUGCCUCAUGGGCAAGAUGACUAAAACGCCAUUCUCCGGAACUAUGGAGCGAGCAACUGAUUUGUUGGAAAUCAUACAUACUGAUGUUUGUGGUCCAAUGAAUGUUGAGGCUCGCGGCGGGUAUCGUUAUUUUCUCACCUUCACAGAUGAUUUGAGCAGAUAUGGGUAUAUCUACUUAAUGAAACACAAGUCUGAAACAUUUGAAAAGUUCAAAGAAUUUCAGAGUGAAGUGGAAAUCAUCGUAACAAGAAAAUAAAAUUUCUACGAUCUGAUCGUGGAGGAGAAUAUUUGAGUUACGAGUUUGGUCUACAUUUGAAACAAUGCGGAAUAGUUUCGCAACUCACGCCACCCAGAACACCACAACGAAAUGGUGUGUCCGAACGUCGUAAUCGUACUUUACUAGAUAUGGUGCGAUCUAUGAUGUCUCUUACUGAUUUACCGCUAUCGUUUUGGGGUUAUGCUUUAGAGACGGCCGCAUUCACGUUAAAUAGGGCACCAUCAAAAUCCGUUGAGACGAUGCCUCAUGAACUGUGGUUUGGCAAGAAACCAAAGUUGUCGUUUCUUAAAGUUUGGGGUUGCGAUGCUUAUGUGAAGAAACUUCAACCAGAUAAGCUCGAACCCAAAUCGGAGAAAUGUGUCUUCAUAGGAUACCCAAAAGAAACUGUUGGGUACACCUUCUAUCACAGAUCUGAGGGCAAGAUUUUCGUUGCUAAAUUCGGAUCCUUUCUAGAGAAGGAGUUUCUCUCGAAAGAAGUGAGUGGGAGGAAAGUAGAAAUUGAUGAGGUAUCUGUACCUGCUCCCUAAUUGGAAAGUAGUUCAUCACAAGAACCGGUUCCUGUGACAACUAAACCAAUUAGUGAGGAAGCUAAUGAUAUUGAUCAUGAAACUUUAGAUCAAGUUUCUACUGAACCUCGUAGGUCUACCAAAGUAAGAUCCGCACUAGAGUGGUACGGUAAUCCUAUUCUGGAAGUCAUGUUACUUGACCAUGACGAACCUACGAACUAUGAGGAAGCGAUGAUGAG
rnacentral:lncRNA from 1 species